rnacentral:lncRNA from 1 species
UUGUCCUGUCCGAUACUUCUCAAACGAUGACCCUUGGUUAUAAUCUCUUUCUCCGUAAUGUUAUAAACCAUUGGGGUUAAUUGUACCUACAGAGCGGAAAGCAAAUCAAAACCGAUACUUCGAUGUUAUUCAUUUUGGUUUCUGUGUGACUUGGUUUAGAAUUCGAGGGAAAUGAUUAAUGUGUAGCUUAAUAAGUUGAUAUUCAUCAUUGGUCAAUUGAUCUUGAAAGUACUGUCUCAGCAUGAAAGAUUAUUUUCUCUUGUUCGAAAAAUCAUGUACUUUGUUGUACAUAUGCAGGUGAAUCAACUAACGAAGAUCAUCCAUUGAUUUAACACUCCCUGUUGUUUUACCGAAGUCUAAAUCCGUACCCGACUUUUCUCCAAGCAACAUGAAGCCUCCAAAUUUCAAUCUUGAAUCAGAAGACGAGUCUGAGGUCAGCAACUGCCAAGUGGGUUCAAACAUAUCCGUCCAAGAAAUUCAUCCUGGUCCUUCCCUUAAUCUUCAGCAGGAAUCAGUUCCUGUUACUCUUGACUUGACUCUUGGCUUCAACAGAAGCGACUCCGAGUUGAAAGCCAAUGGAGAGGUGAGUGACGAAGUAGUACCCCAUCCUCCAACGGCAGCAUUAUCCAGAGUUUUCUCGUGCAAUUUCUGCAGGCGCAAGUUUUACAGCUCCCAGGCGUUGGGCGGACACCAGAAUGCACAUAAGAGGGAGAGGACUUUAGCUAAGAGAGCAAUGCGGAUGGGAAUGUUAUCGGACAGGUACGCUAGCCUAGCAUCAUUGCCCCUUCACGGGGCCGCAUUUCGAUCUCUUGGCGUUGAAGCUCAUGCUUCCGCACACCAACGCGUCUCGCACCAAGAAACGCCUAUUCAUGCAAUUAGAAGCGGGGCGAGAUUUGAACAAGGCUAUUUCGGGAUGCCAGUAUUCGUGGAGGAUGAUGAAGUGGAGGUGUUCUGGCCCGGUAGCUUCAGGCAAAUAGAGGGAAUUGGUGGCAAUAUGGGGUAUAAUUCAGGGCAAAGUUCAAGCAUAAAUUUUGUAGCUGUAGCUCCUCAAACUAGGACAGAUCCAACAUUGCCUGAUCUUAAUUUGAAACUCUGAUGGAUUCUUUUUUUUUUUGCAUUCUAUUCUACUAUUUGUAUCAGAAUUUCAUAAUUGUGGUAUUACAUUAGUGCUCUAUUUGUACAGGAGGUGAAUAUUUGAGACUGUCUUGAGCUUUCAAUUUUGAAUCUUUUUCAUUCCCAAAUUCGUUUAGUUGACCACCUUAUUGUACAAUUAUAUGAUAUUAUUACAUAAGUACAGAUUUGGGACAGUGGUGAUGUUUUUUAGUUUAUGCAAACCUUUAACUUCCUCCCAUUUUAACCCUGUUUAUAAUUACUCGCUAGAUUCACUUCAGAAAGUCUUACAUUGGGAGUAAGAUGUAAGUUUAUAAUUACUCGCUAGAUUCACUUCAGAAACCUUUAACAUACAUUUCCUAACAAAGAUGACUCUAUAUCCAGUAGGGCUCGAACGAGAGGCCUGGAUCAAGGAGUACUACCACUCCACCACAAUGCUUGUUGGUAGUACACCUUGUUUGUAUAGAGUCAUCCAACUGUCCAUAUUAAUAGUGAUAGUUGCCUUUUUCAUGUUCUUAAAAAAAAUGGGGACUGUUCUUCAUCAGAUUCAGGCCUAAUGGGACGCAUAUUGAUUCACAAUUUGGCAUUGAAACCUUCCAAUUGAAAAACUAGAAUCUUAUAAGAGAUUACAGACGAAAUAAGAUUCAUAACUGACAAAAACAGAAAAGAAAACACACAACACAUUGAAUUAAAAUAUGUCCAGAACCAGCAAUGAAAAAAACCAGUAACAAGUUUGUUUAUUGGAAGCAGUAAUCAGAUGAAAUCAGAUGGAAGCGUCGCGUUGUUUCUUUCUUCAUUGUUGUUCUAUCCUUGAGUCCUUUGGGCAUUCUGCAAAUCAUAUAUAGUAUGAUUUAAAUUAAAUGUAUAUAUGUAUGUAGGGGUAACGAUAUAAGAAUUAAUUACCUCUUCUUUCAGCUUCUUCUUCAGCCUCUUCUUCAGCUUCUUCUUCAUAUCUAUAUGGACUUGAGGUCUGUCCUCUCCUGUGAAAGCUUCUACUUGUUUCUUAAUCUCAAUGGCUGAAUCUCCAAGCUCACGCUUAUUAUUAUUUAAAUGAAUGGACUUUAAAGUGUGUAUAUCCAUAAAUGCACAAGGGAUCUCCCUAAGCUUGUAACAAUCUUCUAGUAUUAAUUCCUCAAGCUUGGGAAAGGUUUCCGUAUCAACUUCCCAUUCCGAAUGGUUGACCACUCGCAUAGACAAAGUCUUAAGACGUUGAUAGAUGUGCUCACUUGCAUCCCACUUGUCCUCCACGAAAUUACAGCUGACAAACUCCAGAAUUUCAAGCUGAGGCAAUGCCGCGAUUGCUGACAACAAAUCAGGUCUCAGGGAAAAACCAGACAACCGUAACUCUUUCAAGCUGUUAGGGAAGUAAUAUUCAUUGGGUUGUCGGAUUUUGUCAGGAUAGCCGGAAUUCUCAUAUAUUGCAAUGAGUGAUUUAAGUUUAUUAAGGACAUCAAACUUGGGAAACCAAUCGCAAUGUGUAGGAGGAUCUAUCGGUUCCUUGAUGUGGCAAUGAAGGUGGUGAAGAUUUGGGAACUUCUCCAGAACAUCACUCGUGGCUUCAGUAUAUGAGAUAUCAACUUUAGAUAAAGUUGUCAAGUCUUCUAACUUUGAAUUCUCAGCUUCCAAUAUUCUACUUGGUUGAUGCAUAAUAUUGUCCACAUCCAUUACAUCCUCUUCAAAGAAAGAACUCAUGUCAAUUUUCACAUGUUUCAGCUUUGACAGUUUGAAUAUUCCGGGCAGUAAUACCAUGGUGGAAUAUCUAGUAUUGAUCAACAAAGUUUCCAGAUUCUGGAGGUUCAACCACGACACUGGGAUAGCUUUUACAUCUCGAGUCCGAAUCCUUAAGAACCUCAAAUGAAAUAGUGAGCCUAUUUCUUCCAUUAAAGAAUCUUCCAGAAUAAUGCUAUCCAGUUGCAACACUCUAGCAAGUCCAAAGGAUCUUGUAUGGCAGAUAUAGCUGGAGUUAAGAAGUGAACCGCUAACUUCCAAAGAUAUGAGAUGCUUACUACCAGCUGAACACUUAUUAAAAUUGAACAAAACACAUUUUUUAUGGAGUUGACUGUCGUCAAUAUGAAUGGUUAGACGAUGAUGUAGGAAAUCCGAAGCAUGAAAUCGUGCACCUGGAUUCAUUAACUUGAAAAACUUUUCCUUUUUAGCUUUUUCUGAACAAAAAUCGUGCACAACAUCAUGCACAUAGCAAACCUUGAUCCUAACAGAAAAAGGCAUACUCUUCUUGGAGUGGGUUUGAUCCACCAUUAUCAGGCUACUGGAAACUAAAGCAUCCAAGUAUCUUUGAGUUGCUUCCUCUAAACUACCCUUGGAUGGGAUAUCAUAAUCCACAAACCCUUCGGCCAUCCACAACUGCUUUAACUCAGAGACCGGAGUUCGUUUGUUCUUUUGAGAUCUUGCGAAGUAAAGCAACAACGGCUUCAGGUGGCAUGGUAAAUGGUCAUAACUUAAUUGCAUAACCUUCAUCAUCUGCAAAUUGAUGUUGGCAGAAAUAAAGGAAUCCAGAUUAUGUUGAAUCUUAAGCCACAAAUUCUUUUCCUUUUUCUUUCCUCUAACAAUUACUCCAGCAAUCAAAACAAUAGCCAAGGGAAGUCCUUUACAUUUCUUAACUAUUUGGUGUCCAACAUCUGACAGUUCAGCAGGGCAGCUUCCUUCUCCAAAUACCCUUUUUUCGAAUAGUUCCCAACUUUUUUCAAGUGUUAAAACUUGGAGGUCAAUAGGAUCAGUACGACAUUUAACUUGCGAACCUACCUUACUAAUUCGGCUAGUUAAAAUAACUCUAUCUCCUCUCUUAAGCUUUGGAAAACAUGCUAUUAACAUCUCCCCUGUUGCAAUAUCCCACACAUCAUCCAAGACGAUGAGGUACCUUUUAUCGUACAAUGCUCUUCUUAGCUUUUCAGCAAGGUCGUGAUCCUCACUUUCUUUUUCUUCAGAGCUAGCAACUUGCUGAAGAAUCUCCCGCAACACCUUUGACUUGUUAUACUUUUGGGAAACAGUGCACCAAGCACGAAUCUUGAAAUGACUAGCAACUAAUGUAUUGUUAUACACUUUGUUGGCCAGAGUAGUUUUACCGAGUCCUGGCAUUCCGACAAUUGAAAUGACAUCAAGCUCAGAUUCAUGUUGAUUAAGGAGCUGGCCAAUGAUCUGGGAUUCUUCUUUCUCAUGACCUACUGUUACCUCAACAAAAGGUGAUGAGGUUGACUCAAUUGGCUCGACGAAAGACUUUGCAUCAAGGGGGUGAUCCCCAUUGUUAUCCUCCAGCUGUAAACUGGUGACUUCUGCCACGAUAAGCUUGAUCUUAUCAGUGACACUCGGAAGUGAGAAGAUGAGAUGCGAGAGAGCAUUAUCUCUGACAAGAAUGGAAUUAAUGACAUGUUCUGCCUCAUAUGCCACAUCUAAAGCACGCACCCAACAAUCUUUAACUACUUGGCUAGUGUCAUUCAAUGUUUGCCUGACUUUCUCGAAAGAUGAUCUUAUGAAUUCAAGGCUUUGUUUCACCAUCCCAAUUUCUUUCUUUAUGAGAGAAACUGAAUAAGCAUUGGAAAUGAGCAAAUCAUUUAAAUGUCUGAGUAGAAGAUUCAUGAAGAGGAAACCAUCAUCCAUAGGAAAGCGAAGUUGAGAUGACUCUGGAGCUUUCAAAAAAAUCUGUCUAAUAUCUCGCUUCAUUUGUUCAAUUUCUUGCAACAAGUCUGAAGCUGAAAAGUCCGCUUCAUUGAUAUUAUACUCAGAGCUCUCCUCCAACAGAAUAGAUAUCUUCCUUGUAAGUAGUCCAAUAUGUGCCAACAUAUCAUUCAAUUUGUCAAGAUGGAUAUAUCGCUUUGGUAUAUCAGUGAGAAAGAUCAAUAGGAACUCUAUCAUGACAUUAAUGCUUUGAGUUGGAGCGUAAUUGACAGCUACUGCACCUGCCAUGUGUCCUUGGAUAAGAAUGAGAUAAUUUUGAAGAAUCCUUGGUGAUGCUUUUCGGAUUUGCUUAACAAACCGUUCUAGUUCAGUUGACCUUGAUUCUUUCAUGAGCUUAGAAGUAGAAAUGUAUAAAACCUCCAGCUCAAGAGGGAUUAUGUCGAUGAGUAGAGAAGCAAUCUUGGAAGAGCAUUGAGAGACCUGGUAACCAUCAUAAUAUCGUUUAUACUCUCCAGUCCAAAGAUCAAAACAGAAUUGGGUUACUCUAUCAGCAGUCAAUUGGAGCCAAGGGUAGAGAUAUUCAGUGUGUGCUUUGUUGGCCUUGAGGAUAGGAUAGAAAUCUCUCAGAUGUCGGAAUACUUGCUGAAGAAUCUUGAAGUCACUCAUCAAGGGGAGAAGCAAAUUAGCACUAUAGUUUGGUAGAUCAUGAAGGUGUCUGAAGAGAUAUUGAAACAUUUUCUCUUCAGUCGUCACGGCUACAUAAUAAUCAUUCUCCAAACUCAAAAAAUAACUUUUCAUCUCUUCCAGCAGCAGAGGGGCAAGACACUCCAUGUCGCAUUUCGCUAGGAUUAAUUUAUCAUCUUCAUCUUGAUAGAAAAGUGAGCAACUAAGUUCAUCGAACUCAUCUAUUUUCUCGGACAUUCUGUAAUAAAAGUAAUCCAAACUGGAAUUCCCAAACAGAACAAAUGUUCUUAGGAAUCUCAACUCCAUUCUUAGCUUUUCAAUGUCAUCCAAUUUUGAUGAAGCAAUUAUUUUUUCAUUUUUUAUUUUCUUCAAGCCAUUUAAGAAAUCAUCAAUAUGACUGCUGAUUCUUCUUCUUUCUUCCUCAAAUGGAAGCUGCUAAAUUAAAAACCAAUAAUUAGUCGGGAAAAACCAAGAUUUUCAAAAAAAUUUAAAAGGAACCACAGAUGACUCUAUGAAACAAGACAGCCAAGAGAAGGCUCUAAUACCAUGUCAAUUUUCAGCUGAAUGCCUCUCAAAGUGAGAGAGUCUUUCCAUUAUAUAGAGAAAAUAAAGAUUACACAUCCCUAAAGAUCCGCCAUUCCUAUCCCUAAAGAUUAGCUAUUCUACCUAUACAAAUCUGCCAUUGAAUCCCUCUAAAUCUGCCUUGCUAUCCCUCCAAAUCAGCUAUUCUAUCACAAUAUUUAUUCAUGUGAUUCUACAACAAAUGUAUAUGAUCAUGCUAAUUUAUAUCACUAUAUAAUUACAUUAAUAUAUACAAUCAUUUAGUUGUCUAUCAUGCUAACAUCUCCCCUCAAAUUGAUGCUGGUGGAUCAAGAAGCAUCAAUUUGCCUACUAGAAACUGAUGGCGUUGCCGUGCCAUGGAUUUUGUAAAUGCACCAGCUAUUUGAAGAUCACUGGACACAUGUGGAAGAGUAAUGACUCCUUUAUCUACAGCUUCUCGUAUAUAAUGACAAUCCACUUCGAUGUGUUUGGUCCUCUCAUGAAAAACUGGAUUAGUAGCAAUCUGAAUAGCACUUGUAUUGUCAGCGUGGAGAGGAGUAGGAUGAGAUUGGGGAAAUCCAAUCUCAGCAAGUAAUCCACGAAGCCAUACAACCUCGGAGCAAGCAGUAGACAUGGAUCGAUAUUCAGCCUCUGUUGAAGAUUUUGACACACGAUCUUGCUUUUUACUCUUCCAAGAUAUCAAUGACUCUCCAAGAAAUAUACACCAAGCAGAGACUGAACGACGAGUAUCAGGACAUCCCGCCCAAUCAGAAUCACUAAAAGCAUUAAGACGAAUAGAGGAACCACUUGGAAAGAACAAUCCACGAGUAGAUGUUCCUAGAAGGUACCGAAUGAUGCGACGAACAGCCACCAAGUGGAGAUGACGGGGAGCUUGCAUAAAUUGACUAACUUGUUGAACUGCAAAAGAGAUAUCAGGCCGAGUAAUAGUAAGGUAAUUUAGACUCCCAACUAAUUGUCGAAAUAUAGUUGGUCAGGAAGAUCGCCUUCCUCACCACGAUACUUGACAUUCAUUUCCAGUGGAGUAUUUGCGGAGGAGGAAACUUGAAGACCAGCCAAAGAAAUCAGAUCCUGAGUAUAUUUGUGUUGGUUUAGAAAUACACCUGAAGUAACAUUAUGAACUUCCAAACCCAAAAAAUAAGUAAGAGUACCAAGAUCUUUCAUAUGAAAAGAAUCUUUAAGCUGCUGUUGGAGGCAAGUGAUUAGUGAAGAAUCAGUUCCUGUGAUAAUAAUUUCAUCUACAUACACCAAAAGAAGAACACAACCUGUAGAUGUUUUUCGAAGAAACAAAGAUGAGUCAUUUGUUCUGCUCAAAAGAAAAUUGUAGCAAAGUAGACUGGAACUUAUCAAACCAAGCUCUUGGAGCUUGUUUUGAUCCAUACAAAGACCGCUUCAACUUGCAUACAUCUGAUGUAGGCGAUGAGAACAAACCAGGUGGAGGUUUCAUAUGAAUAUCUUCUUUAAGAUCACCAUGGAGAAAAACAUUUUUGACAUCUAUUUGAUAAAGAGACCAGUUUUGUGAAGCAACAAUGGCAAUAAUAGUUCGUACCGUAGACAUUUUGGCUACCGGUGCAAAAGUCUCCUCAUAGUCCACCCCAUACUCUUGUCUGUUACCAAGAACAACCAAUCAAGCUCAGUACCGAUCAAGAGUUCCAUCAGAAUGAAGUUUGAUUGAAUAAACCCACUUACAUCCAAUAGGGCGGACAUUUGAAGGACAUGAAACAAUGUCCCAUGUGCCAUUUUCUUUAAGAGCCAAAAGUUCUUCCUCCAUUGCUUUCUGCCAACAUUCAUGCUUGGAAGCUUGUGAGUAACAAGAUGGAACAAAUAUGUUGGAUAAAGUAGAGGAAAAGCCAUACCAAUUGGGACUACGAGAUACUCUUGUAGAUCGCUGAGUAGGCAUAACUUCAUAUGAUCCACCAUUUUUUUUCUCGCCUCCUAAGGUAGCAAUUUAUUUAUCAAGAACCCAACACAAAGAAAGGAAAGAUCAAAAUCUUCAUUGUGCGAAGAAUCCACAUAAUUGUUGAGUUUAUACUUAACUAGUAUACGUGCCCGCGUGUUGCACGGAUAUUUUUAAAAUGUAAUAGUAUUUUUAAUUAAAAAUAACUAAUAAAAUUUAUCAUGCACUUAGUAAUGUAUAUUUUAAAUCUUGGGGAAAAUACAUAAAAAAAAACCCAUGAACUUGGCACGAAAACAUGGAUCAUAACAAAUAAAACCUUUUUGUGAAGUACUAUAACUCAUAAAAGCACAUUUAGUAGAUUGUAUAGAAAAUUUAUUGCGUUGCGAAGGAGGCAAAUGCACAAAACAAACACAACCAAAUGUAUGAAAAUCACUAUAGUUAAGAUUUUGGUGAUAAAGACGAAAAUAUGGAGACUCAAGAUUUAGCACUUUAGAUGGCAAUCUAUUAAUUAAAUAGACAACAGUAGACAAAGCUUCCACCCAAUAUUUAGAUGGUACAGAUGACUCAAUCAAUAAAGUACGAGUGACAUCUAAAAGAUGCCGAUUUUUCGUUCAGCAACUCCAUUUUGUUGUGGUGUAUAUGGGCAAGAGUGUUGUGAGACAAUCCCUUUGUCAAGCAAGAAUUUUUGAAUUCAUAAGACAUAUUCUCCACCAGAAUUAGAUCUUAAUAAUUUGAUGCAUGUAGAAAAUUGAGUCUCAAUGUAAGCCAAACAUGUCUUAAACAUGGAAAAUACCUCAGAUUUGGAUCGAAGAAAAUACACCCAUGUAAACCGACUAUAAUCAUCUAUGAAUGUCACAAAGUAUUUGAAAUGAGCAUGAGAAAUAAUUGGUGAAAUGCCCCAAACAUCACUAUGAAUGACAUCAAAACACUUUGUAGCACGACUACCAAAAUUAGGAAAAGGAAGAGUUUUACUUUUGCCUAAUUUACAAGUAGAACAAUCAAUGGAAGCAACUGAAAAUUUAUUUUUAUUUCCCAAUAAACCAGAAUUUGAUAAGUGAGACAACACAACAGAAUUUGGAUGUCCUAGACGCUUAUGCCAAACCUCAGUUUUACUAGCAGUAGAAGUACAAGAAAAAGAUAGAACAUGAGAAAUGAAAAAGUGUAUAGGAAACAAUCGUCCAACUUUAGGCCCCUUCGCGAUUAUCGUCCCCGACACCUGAUCCUGCACAAGACAACCAUUACGAGAAAAAUUCACAUCACAAUUGUUAUCUACCAAUUGUCCAACUGAAAUAAGACUAGUUGAGAGCUUUGGUGAAACAAAAACAUUCUUGAAAGUUGGAGUAAUGUCCCCAACCUUGGUAAUGGGUAAAUUACUACCAUUGGCAAUCUGUAUUUGUGAUGGACCUUGAUACUUACGAACAUUUUUUAGGAUGCUCGUUGAGUUGGUCAUAUGAUUGGAAGCGCCUGAAUCAACAAUCCAAAAAUUAGAUGUAACAUCAUUACCUUGUAAUCCCAAUGCUGAAAAGGCUGACACGAUCAUUUGUUGUACCAUUUCAGGAGUAAGAACUUGUCCUGAAGAUGAGUUAUCAUCAGUGGAACCAUUUAUCCUAGCUUGAAAAGCAUUGAUCCUACGAUUUUGAGGGCGCGUGGGACACUCUUUGAUAAUGUGUCCUUGUUGUUUACAAUAAUUACAGAACUUCUUGCUACAAUUGCUAGCAAUAUGACCAUAUUCCUUGCAACUGUAGCAUUGAGUUCUACUCAUAUCCCUGCCCUUUCCUUUACCUUGAGCAGCAAAUGCAACAGUGACAUCAUUUUCUUUCUUAAAAGCAUUUUGUGUGACAAGACGUUGCUCUUCACGAAGUAAUUCCCUAAAGCAAACAUCCAAAGAGGGAGACGGGUCACGAUUCAUCAAGUUAGAGCGAACACUCUCAAAGUCGGAGCGUAAUUUCAUCAAAAAUUGGUCUCGCUUGCUUUGCUCAUGAACUUCUUGAAUCACUGAUAGGGAUUCAGUAGGUAUUUUGGCAUAGACAAUAUCUGUAAAUUCAGCCCAUAAGUUUUGAAAUCCAGAAAAAUAAUCCUGAACAGAAAGACCUCCUUGAGAGUAAUUAGCAAUUUCAUACUCCAACUGAAAGCGUCUUGCGCUAUUAUCUUGGUUGUAAACCUUUUGUAAGUAAUCCCACAUGGCCUUAGCUGUCUUGUACGACUUGAGAUUAAGAACAAGAAGAGGGUCAAUUGACCCUAGAAUCCAUGUCAUUACCCGAGCAUCUUUAAUCUUCCAUUCACUUAGCUUUGUUGCAUCAGUAGGAGCAGGAUCGCUUCCAUCUAUAUGGUCCCAUAGUUCUUUGCCGGUGACAAACAACUGAAAUUGAAACUCCCAAGAAGAAUAAUUUUUUCCAGUGAAAUGAACACUGAAGGAUUCAAAGUGAUGUGAAUUCAUGCUUUUGAAUAGCUAUAAAACUACAAAGACUCAAGAAAGCAACUAGAAUGACCAAGAACAAAAUUCCCAGGAGGUAGCCAAAAACCAAGAUUUUCAAAAAUUUUUUAAAAGGAACCACAAAUGACUCUAUGAAACAAGACAGCCGAGAGAAGGCUCUAAUACCAUGUCAAUUUUUAGCUGAAUGCCUCUCAAAGUGAGAGAGUCUUUCCAUUAUAUAGAGAAAAUAAAGAUUACACAUCCCUAAAGAUCAGCUAUUCUAUCUAUACAAAUCUGCCAUUGAAUCCCUCUAAAUCUGCGUUGCUAUCCCUCCAAAUCAGCUAUUCUAUCACAAUAUUUAUUCAUGUGAUUCUACAACAAAUGUAUAUGAUCAUGCUAAUUUAUAUCACUAUAUAAUUACAUUAAUAUAUACAAUCAUUUAGUUGUCUAUCAUGCUAACAAUAUAUUAGUGAUAGAUUUUGUUAUUUAGUUACACAAGUGUAGUAAGUAGUUUUUUGAUGUGAUGUAAUAUAAAGUUUAGAGAUGUAAGAUUCUUUGUAGUGAAUUUUAACAUUUUUUUUUGAUAUUAAACUUUUUUAGUAGCUUUUACAGAUAAUUUAUUACUUAUGAGAAUGGGUGAUAUAGUUUUUAAAUUAAAUAAUGAAUUUUUUUUAUUGGUAAUAAUACUACCUCUGUAGACUGUUAUUUGUCAUGCGCUUUUCGAAAGUCAAUUUGACUAAUUUUAAAAAUUAAAUUAGAUUAAUUAAUUCAAUAUUUUAAACAAAAAUUUAGAUAUUCAAAAAAUAUACUAAAAGUACUAUAAAUUGCAAUUUUUUGCAUAUCAAUAUGAUAAAAAAUACAUCAUAAAAUGUUAGCCAAAAUUCUUAUAAUUUGAUUCUAAAAAGAAAACAAUGACAAUUAAAAAUGAAUAGAGGGAAUAGAAAAUAAAAAAGGGUAAAGUGCCCAAUUAAUUAAAUAAAUAAAAAGGAAAGGAAAAAGGGCAACUGCCCAAUAGACAAAAGAAAAUAAAAAGAAGAGUUGAAACACGUGAAACGUCAAACAACAUAAACGAAAAAAAAAAACAACAGUUCAACAAACGCAGUAGAAGAAAAGAAAAGAAAGAGAAAAUAAGAGGAGAAAAUAAAAGAGAAAAAGUGGAUUUUUUAUCUCAAAGUGAUUCUUGUUCUUUUCACAAAAUUUUUAUGUGAUUAUGAACAGAUUUUUAGGAUAGAAAGUGUAGAAUUUAUGCCUAAUUGAGAAAAAUAUAAUUCUAGGGUUUUUAGAACAAAAUCUUGAUUUGAGGGUCAAAUAACUAUCGUCGAAUAACUAUUCGUUUUAACUAAAAUUUAUCAUGCGAGUUUAUUUUAUUAUGAGUGAAAAUAAUCCAAAAGAAAAUUUCAGAUUUGAAUUCGAAGGCUCGGGGUGACUUUUUUCACCCGAUUUUGAGCCAAAAAAAUAAAUAUAAUAGUAUGGGUGUCAUUCGAUUCGUAUUCUUAUGAGAAUUAUAUAUCUAAACAGAUUUUGACCAUUCAAAAGCAUUACAAAAGGACGAAUUGGUAAUUUAACUUUUGAACUUCGGUUUGAGGCAAGUAGAAAUUCCUUCCUUUCUUUGGAGUGUUAGUUUUAUGAAAUAUAUAAAUAUAAUGAUAACGAAUAAUAAGAGGGUCCCGUAUAAAUGUGUAACAACCCGAACCGUUGUUAUUUAGGAGAAAAAAAAAUCCAGAAAAAUCUGGGCCAUUGUACCGCCAUAGCGGGCCAGAUGCCGCUAGGGCGGGAUAAGCGAGGCAGAGCGUAAAUUACGCGAAAUACUAUUUUCCUCCUUCCUAAAAUACCUAAAUAAGUCAUAAUACACCUUAGAAACCCCCAAAAAGCUGCUGCAAGCUUGGGAAGAAGGGAGAGAGAGAUUUCUAGCGUGAGGAUGGUGAUAUCUUGCAGAUUCUUGGCCAAAAUCACCGUCACGAAUCCCAAAAAACAAGAAUCGAAGUCAAUAACUCCGUACAACUGCUUGGCGCCUAGGUAAGCUAGGUUUUAUGAAUUAAGUAGUUUAAAUCUAUGGUUACUGCGUAAUAUAUGUGAAUCAAUGGUAGAAUUUAUGCGUAGGCCUUCGUGCACCGAAUGAUUAUUGAUUUAAACCCUAGAAAGAAGUCUUAGACGAUGAAUCAAGACUGAGAAUGGUCGAAUUAGGGUUACAUGAGGUGUGUUGAUCAAUAAUCCGUUGUGAGGGUGGUGAUUCCAUGAUUUAGUGAUGUAUGCUGUUCUUGCUUCAUUGUGAAAGAACAAUGAGUCAUGAAUUGAUUUACAUGAUUAUGAGGAUAUACUUGUGAUUGUGAUUAUGAUAUGUUGACUGGAUCGGUUGCCACGUUCCGGCAUAAUUAACUGGGAUCGAUUGCCACGUUUCGGCAUAACUUACUGGGAUCGGUUGCCUCAUUCCGGCAUAACUAACUGGAUCGGUUGCCACGUUCCAGCAUAACUAUAGGAUCAGUUGCCACGUUUCGGUAUGCUAACUGUUUAGGUUUGGGUUCCAUGAGAGGACCAAUGAUGUGGCAAAAUAGUGUAUCUUGAGAAAUGUGAAGUUGUUCGUAAGUGUCGUUGAUAUUGCAUAUAUUUGAUAUGCAUAUGUGAGUAUGUUGUUGUAUUGACUUAUAUAUGUUGCAUUCAGUAGGUACAUGUUACGACGACUUAGAUUUGAUGGUUCUUGUGUUGAGCGAGCUGUUUGGGUAUAGUGGAAGGGCAAGGUGUCCAAGGGGCGAAUAAUGGAUAACAAGGGUUGUUCGUGUGUUGUAAUGGUGAGAAGUAGAGGCAGAGUAUGUGAUGAAAUAUGCUUAGGUGGAUUUCACCUUGGGGAAAGAGAUUGGGUUUAGUGGUAAGAAAGCUUGAUAUAAUGUACUAUAUGACCAUGGUUCGGUAAUGUGACGAGGAAGUAAGGGUAUGACAUGAGAGGUUAGUUGAAAUACAACGUGGUGGUUUUUGGGGGAACACUUAAUGUGUUAGAAUGGUUAGGCCAUGAUCAAGUAACCGGUAAGUUGGUUGAGAAGGUAGUUAGUAGUCAGAGUACUAGUGAAAUUUGGAGGUACUUCAAGAAAAGGGUAGAGGUGGAGAAGCGAGUGGUUUAUGUCAUGAUCUUAUUAGUUGGUCCCUUAUGUUAUGUGGUGGGCGUCGGGUUGACCGAUGAUGCCUACCAAUACGUGUGUUUUGUACUGAUACUACUCUCGCUAUGUCUUUUGACAUAGUCUGGAUGCAGGUUGGUGACGUUUCCUUAGGUGAAGACGAAGAAAUUCUCCAGCAGCAUCUGUUUUCGUUCCGCAUGGUGGGAACUGUGUCUUUUGUUUAUCUUGUCUAGAUGUACUAGCUCUUGUAACUGUUUAGACUAGAUCAUUGGGAGUUGUUAAUAACUUUACAAGUUUAAUCAAAAAGAGUGCCUAAAGUUAUUGUACAAAAAAUCAUAUUAUUAUAUUUAUUUCUGUUUUCUUUUAACUUUCCACAUGUUUAACUAUUGGGAUAUGUUCUCCUACUUAGGUGUUAGAGUGGGUGUCCGCACGGCCCGGUGGGUUGGAUUGUGACAAAAUGAGAUAACGAACAUUUAUGCAGGUACGGAUGUUAUAAUAUGGGAAAAUUUACAUUAAUUGUUAUUUAAUUGUUAUGUUGAGGUGAUUUAUUUUAUGAUGUAGUUAUACUUUUACUCUUUUAGAAAAAGAAACUUUUAGAACAUACCUCGUUGUUGCUUCUUAGAAGAGUUAGUAAUCAAAACUUGUUGAAUACACGUAUUUUCCGUACGGAUCACUCUAUACUUGUUACACCUUUUUUCAAGCAGGAACUGAGUCAGGUACUAGCGGUAUUUGAUUUGUUACUGCGACUGAGAUUGAUGGUUGUUGAAAUUUAGGGUGAAUUGAUUUCUCUUCUCUUUGUCUUAUUUCCUUCUAAACAAAUGCAUUUGUUUUCAUGUUUGUUUCGUAUUAGUAGAUGUCAUUGUACUAGUGCCACCAUGUCUAGGAAUAUUUUAUUUUAACUUAUCUAUACAAAUUUUGCAUUGUUAAAUGAUUAAUAGAGGGAUCAGGUUUGCCUACGGGGAUGGUAGGUGCCCUCACGGAUUAAUGAAAUUUUGGAUUGUGACAACAUGGUAUCAAAGCACGGUUCAUAGGUCCCAUUAAGUACAAGAGCAGAGUCUAGUAGAGUCUUGCGGAUCAGUGCGUAGAUCUCCAUUACUUAUCUUCGAGAGUCUAUAGGACUUUAGGAAACUUUUAUUCCUUAUCGUGCAUAUGUGGUUCACUUUAAUAUCUAAAUUCUUUGUUUUAUUCUCUCACCCAUUGUGAGGAUACGUAUAUGAGAGAUGAUGUUACAUGGUGUGGUGCGAGGUGUUAUGAUUUGGUUAGCAGAAUGACCAAAUAAUAGGAAUUGCGAUAUUGAGGAUGUUAGCAUAGUAUGGAUGGUUCGUUUGAGGUGUAACAAUGAUGUUUUAAUUUUUCCAAUUUAUUGGGACAAUCUUAUGACACAAUAGUAUCAAUGAUAAGUUGACAAUUCAAUAUUGGAAUGAUAUAAUAUGGAUGAUAUGAAUAAAAAUGUAAUCUUGGGAGGAUCAAUUGAUUAGAUAAGAAAAUAGUGAUCAUGAUCAAACUAAAAUGAGAAGUUCAGGAAUAGCAAAAAUAUGAGAGGUGAUAAUUUAUAAUGAAGUUAAGAUGGUAGGACUUGUUAUAAGAUAGGUAUGAAAGACUUUCUUACCUUUUGAGUGAAGGUAUACUAAGAAGAAUUCAAAUAGUUCGAGUUGGAUAACACGAUAAUCACAAUGAUAAAGUUUCUUAUGAUGGGAGCCACUAUACAUAGACUAAAUAUAAUAUUGUAUGAGAUUAUGAAGCUAGUUGAGUGUCAACCAACAAGGACACUUUAAGUGGUGAUUAAAUGAUAGAUACUGACAUAUUUACCUGUGAGAUGUCUUUCCGAAGUUGAAUUGAGAAUCAACAAUAUUAGUUGAAACUAAUGAAAAACAUGAUUUGAUUUUGGACAAAGAUACGUGUACAAAACUAUAUGAGAUUGUUCAUAGAGACGUGUAUAGUGGUAAAAGACCGGCCUACAAUUCAUGGACUAAUAUUGUGGUGGUUGGAAAUAUUAUAUCGACAAAUAACUAACUCUAUUGAAGUAAUCAAGGUUUUUCCAAGUAUUGUUUAGUAUGCUCUUGAUCUUUUGUAGUUUUAUUUUGGUCAUUGAUCUAUACUUCUUUUUAUGUAUCAUUUUUUGAAUUUGGAUAUAUUUUGUGACUCUCCUUCUAUUUUUGUACGUAUCUCGACACCCUUAGAUGAUUCUUAGUGGUGGAUUGAUUACAUCGAUUUCAAGUUAUUGAUUUGGUAGAACAAGACAUUUGGAUAGACUUCAUUACUUUGAAUAUGAUAGACUUCGACAUCAUGUUGAAUAUGGAUUGAAUUUUUUCCGUGUCAUGCAUUCAGACUGUUAUGUCAAGACAAAGAUCUCAGUUUUGUUGGGUAUUCCUAAAUUGAAGUUACAUGACACUCUAAGUAUCUAUCUAAGGAAAUAUAGUAUCAUCUUCAAAGGCUUGAUGUAUAUGGUUCUGAGACAUGGUUGUGACAAGUGUUAUGUGAAUUGAGGGAGAAUAAGGAAUUAAAGAUGAUGUACCAUUUUGAGGGGCGUGUCAUGCACUACGAUAAAUAUUAUAAUUUGAGGGACAUGUCAUACGUUGUGAUAAUUUCUAUUAUCGAGAGACGUGUCGCAUGUCGCGACAGAUGUAUAGACAAAUAUGUUCCCCAUGGGUCCAGACUGAGAGACAACAUGUAUGUAUCAUUAGAUCAGACAUGUAUCACCAUAUUUGGCAUUGCAUCUCAUUGUAUUGCAUAUCUUUAUCAUUGUGAACUUGUGAGCGCUUUUCUAUGGAACUUGUAAUUGAUAAACUUUAUCAUGUGUAUUGUUGAUCUGAAAUUGUCGGAGUAUUAUCAUUAAGCUAUGAGCUAUGUAGAUUAUGAAAUGUUAGGUUGAGCUGAUUUUAGGCAGGUUGUAGUUGUGGAUGUUUGGUUGGAGUGUAAGGAGUAACCGUAUUCUAUAUUUUUAGAUUUGUGUUUAGCAGUUUGCUUGAUGAGUAUCGUGUGGUUUGAUACUCACCCUUUGCUUCUAUAUUUGUGUAGGUUACAAGCCCGGAUCUUCGUGAUACUCUCUACCCUGUUUUUGUCCAAUACUUUCUGUGGAGAUUUGUGAGGUAGUUGUUUGUCAUCUCAACAAACUUUCUUACUCCUAUUUUUGAUUUUAUUCUGGUUUAGAGACAAUAUCAUUUGAAGCUUUUGUUUUCUUUCAAAUCUAUUAUAAUACAUUAGAGACUUGUGCACGUGACAACCAAGUUUUGAAAAUUUAGUUAUGUUGACGUGUUAUCCUUAUUAUUAUUUGUCAUUAAACUUUUAUUUAUACGUUAUUUCCUCACUUUAUCGUAAUGGUUGAGUUUUAGGCUGACUUGUCUUUAGUGGGAUAAGACGAGUGUCAUUAUAUUCAUCUUUGGAUGGUCGCAUUCUAAUUCAACACACAAAAUAUGAUAUAUAUUUUGUUAAUUAAAGUGAAUGAACAUGAAAAUAACAAUUUAUCUAUCGUGCACAAGAUUAAUAAAUAUAGGCAUGAUCGAGCGCAUAUUGUCAAGUGUCAACGUGACGGAAGUAGAUCAUAUUUUUUAUACUUGUAUGAAGUUCGUAGAAUUAGAUAGUUUAAUUCCUUAUGAUUAGGUUCAUCUUAAUUAGAUGAUUUUAAAAAAAAUAUAACUAUUUUAAUUGUUGAGUUUAAAUUUAUUUACAUUUUGCCGACAAACCUUUUCAAGAGUCAAUGGUCACAAAUAUUUUAAUGGAUAUUGUUAGCUUUGCUUUUACUAUUUUUGACCUUUUUGUUAAGUGUAAGUUUUAAAAUGAAUCUCAACCAUAAAUUAUUUUAUGAUCCCCAUGACAUUAAUCUAAGAGGUAAUUAAAUAUUACUUGAGGGAAUAGUAGUACUUGACCGAAUCUUUUUCCCGCAAAAUGACUAUAUAUGCCUCUAUAUAUUCGAAUAGGCGUUAGCAUUGCCAUGUAAAAUAUACCAAUAGUAUUGUUACAAAAAUAGGGAAAAGGCAUCAAUUCCUCCUUGAACUUGUUCCGAAAAGUCAGUUACACGCUUAAACUAUCAUAGUGACCUAUUACACACUUAUACUACUCAAAAGUAAAUUUUCUUACCCUCUAAAACUGACGUGACAAAAAAAUAAAACAAAAAAUAGGUGCGUCAAUUUGAAAUUAAAGUUUAUCUAGAAAAGUUUCGGUUGAUUGUUUCUAUCUUUGUCAUUUAUUUGACUUUGUUAAAGAAAUUUUUGUUGUUGAUCAAUUUUUGAGUUUAGUGGUGAUAGCAACUUUAUGGGUUUGGUGGUGAUAGGUGGUGGGUGACAAAAAUUAAAGAGGUAAUUGAAGAUGGUGAUGAAGAAAAAAUCGAUAUUAAUAAUGGUGGUGGUGAUAUUUGGUGUUGGGUGACAAAGAAGAAGAAGAAUUGAAAGUGAUAUAGUGGUGGUGAAGAACAAAAUCAAUAGUGAAGGUGGUCGGAUAUGAUUUUUCUGAUGAAAUGAGAAUUGAAAUGGGUGGGAUUUAGUGAUGAAGAAGAUGUAAUUAUUAGAGAAUUAAAGUAAUUAAUUAGGGAUUAAUUAGAGUAAAAUAUAGUUAACAAAAGAAAAGUUAAUUAAUAAAGAAAAGAAAAGAAAAAAUUAUAAUUUAUGACAUGAUGCUGAUGUAGUGCUGAUGUGGUAGCGAGUGUAAUACACCAUAUAAUGUGAGAGUGGUAUUACACGUCUAAUGGUGGUAAUAAAUUCACUUUUGAGUAUUAAAGGUGUGUAAUAGGUCACUGUAAUAGAUUAAGCGUGUAACUGACUUUUCGAAACAAGUUCAGGGAGAAAUCUAUGCCUUUUCCCUACAAAAAUAUGUAAAACUAGUAAUUGCUAGAAAGGUAACCAGCUUAAUCACUAUUCCUUCCAUUCCUUUUUAGUUGUCAUAGUUUUCUUUUUAAGACUUAAACGAUAUAGAUUUUGACUAAUAUUUUAAGAUGUAUUUUUUUUUAUCAUAUUGAUAUUUUAAAAAAUUGCAAUUUAUAGUAUUUUUCGGCAUAGUUUUUGAAUAUCUAAAAUUUUAUUUUAAAUAUUGAAUGAAUAUAAUCUAAUUUAGCUAUGAAAAUUAGUCAAAUUAACUCUCGAAAAGCAUAACAUGACAAAAAUAAUAAUGAAGAAAGUAUUAAUUUGGAGCAUGUAAAAGUAUUAGUAGACAUACCGAUGACCUUCCUUUUUCCAUUUAAUCUAUAACCUCGAACCAGCCUUCAAUUUCUAGAGAUUUGAUGUUCCAACUAAUCACAUGCACAUUUAAUAAGGAUAAAAAUUAGAAAUACAAGUAAAAAGAACGGCAACAAGAAUGAUAUAUAUGUAAAUAAUAAUUCUGAAUAAAUACAUGAUAUUUCUAUAGAGAAAAUGUUCUCUAAUAUUUAUGACCAACCAAAAUGAAAAAAAUGGAAAACAGUUUAGAGAGGGAAGAGAAGAGGGUCGGAUACUAAUUUUGAUGCUAGGAAAUAAAUUCUUUCAACUACUAUAUAUUGAUGCUUAAUUAUGGACAAUUGCGCUCUGUCGGUGAAAAUCUCCUACUUCACAGCGGGAGAUUGUAUCAGUAAGAAAGUAGACUCACUAUAUCCAUUAUACUCUUACUAAAGUACAUUUGAUCUUUCUUUGUCUCGAACCCCAUACCCCUAUAAUAAUGGUAAAGUCAGGGAUAGCCCCAAAGUGGAAUUGACCGGUAGUACUUGGUUGAAGCUCCAGUAGGUAGCCCACUUGCUAGGAUGAUAAACAUGCUCUCGGCUUCAACCUUAAGAUUGUAAGCAAAAAUGAUAGAAACUCCUACAGAUUAUUCUAUAUAUCCAACAUAUACCUUCUAUAAUUAUCAAGUCAAAAAUAUAAACCAUUUUGCUGUUUCUUAUGUAUGUAUGUAAUCCACAAAUAAAAACAAAAAAGGGAAUAUUACUCUCUCUGCCUUUGAAUUCAAAUAUCACAUGUAAAAAAAUGAAAUAGAAAGAAAAAAUAGUUUACCUUUUUCUUUACUUCCAAGCUGUUAAAACCAUGAAAAUUAACAAGGAAAUGAUGAAUGUGAUAUAUUCUGAGAGAGCUCACAAUAAAACUUAAAUGCUAAUUAAGGCUACCUUGAAUCUAUAUAGCCAUACAAACAGAGAAAAAAGACAAAAGGUUAAGUUGGUCAAUAGCUCACAUACCAUGUUCUUACAAUUUUAUAUUUAUAUUAAAAAAAUUAAAUAGUCAACUAUUUUUCUAUUCAGUUUAAGUGAUAAUAAGAAUUAAUUUCUUCAAAAACCAAACUUACUAAUAGUUAGUUCUAUCAAGAAUAUUUUAAUAAUCUCUCCUUUUUAUGGGUUUUUCACCCGGUGUUCGGAGUCCACAUUGGAGCAUUGCGCACUGCAAGGGCCCAUUUGGGGGUGACGCUCCCAACUGAAUUUUCUCUAUUUCGAUAAAAUUGGAACGAUACAGAGAAGAUUAGCAUGGCCCCUAUGCAAGGAUGACACACAUAAAUCGAGAAAUGGUUCAAAUUUUUAAAGGGGGUUCUCAGGUUUGGAAACACAUGUUGGAGAAUAGAAAAGAUUUAGAACAUCACUUAUGGUGGGAACCUAGAGGGGGUACUUCUAAUAUUUGGUAUGACAACUGGACCAAUCUUGGUCCUUUAUACUUGCACCAGUCUAAUGUGCAUACUUGUCAUCCUAUGAGAGACGUUGGAGAAUCUUAACAGAAGAGGGUUGGGAUUUUGAUGCUUUACCUGAGUUUGUUGUGGAUCAUAUCAAGCUUAACAUGUUUUUUGUGCAGCCAAGUGAUCAGGGUGAUAAACCUUGGUGGACUAAGUCGAGUACAGGCCACACGGAAUUAAGUUUAGUGUUAAAAGUGCUUGAGAGUUGUUGAGACAAAAAGCUGAGAAGAAUGAGGACUUGAAACUAUUAUGGAUUAAAGGAUUUCCAUUCAAAUUAUCCUUUCUAGCUAGGAGAAUUUGGAAUGGUAAAGUUCCAGUAGCAAGUUUAAUGCACUUUUGGAAUCCUACCAUAUCUCAGAAUUGCAGGUGUUGUUCUAUUCCAGUAGAGGAGACUAUAGAACAUCUUUUUCUAACAGGUGAGGUUGCUGCCAGAAUUUGGAAUCAUUAUUUCAGAGUUGCUGGUCUCCUAGGACCUAUGCUUAAUUUGAAACAGACUAUGAGAAGGUGGUGGUCUUCAGAAGGUAUCUAUAGAAUUCAAGUGAUUUUUCAAGUUGUGCCCAUUAUCAUUUUGUGGUGCCUGUGGAAGAGAAGAAACACUAUUUUACAUGGUGGGUCAUUCUCAGAAAGUAAGGUUAUUUGGGAGAUUAAUGACAUUAUUAUGAAGGUGAUUAAAAUCAGAUUCAAAAGAGAUUUUGGAAGAAACAAUUGGCCGGAUAUAAUUACCGAGUUACAAAGGCACAAUAAUUCCUAUAGCAUUAAUAUUGUGAGAUGGAUUCCUCCCCCUAUUAAUUGGGUGAAAUGUAAUACUGAUGGAGCAUCUAGGGGUAAUCCCAGACCUAGAUCUGCAGCCUUCUGUAUUAGAGAUUACUCUGGUUCAUUGUUGUGGCUAAGGAUUUCAAAAUACAUAAUACCUCUAAUUUGGUAGCUGAAGCAAGGGAUAUUAGAGAAGGAUUGUUUUUUUUGUAAGGAGCAUCUGUUAUCACAUGUCAUUAUUGAAACAGAUUCUAUGGCCAUGGUACAAAUUUUGGAAGGAGGGUGGAAUGUCCCUUGGCGUAUGACUUUGGAGGUCAAUUCCAUAAACUACUUGAGAAGAUCCUUAUCAGCACGUGUACAACACACCUUUAGAGAAGGAAAUACUCUUGCGGAUUAUUUUGCUAACCUAGUUUUUGAUUUUGCAGGUGAUUAUCACUUUAGCCAUUUUCAAGACAUUCCUAUGGAAGGACGAAGAAUCCUAAACUUGGAUAAAAGUGGAACUCCUCACAUAAGAAGGAGACAAACGAAUUGAAUCUAUACAACUUCUAUAUGUAGGUUCAAUAAAAUACAAUUCAGUGCAGGAAGGUCCAACAUAAGGUCUAUCAAUUUCAAUUUCAAGUUAGAAAAGCAGGAUCAGAAUUAGACAAGCAGGGAAGUCUAGCGUAUCAUCAUAUUUUGCCAAUAUCCUUGUAAUUCGAGUUAAUAAUGAGCACAAUGUAUUUGAACAAGAGAAUAGUUACCAUUAUGCUCAUGAUGUUGGAAAUAUGUUCGAUUGGUAAGUUUAUCAUGCACCUGGUGAGAGCUUGAGGUGUUGAAAUGGUAUGGUGCCAAGACACAUGAGUUACUGGUAGAAUUUGUUCUUGUCUAAAUACUUAGUGUGCAUUCACGUUUCAUCUGUCAAUUUUAGAAUAAGUAAGGUUACAAUUUUUGUCUUUUAAGAUGGUGGUAUUAACCCAAAUGGGUUCAACCCAUUAAAGGCGAGAAUUAAAAACUUAAUUUGUUCUAAAGAUGAGAGGAAUACCUUGAUGAUUCAAGUGGUUUCAUUUGAAGUUGCUAAUCGAGCUGCACAUCUCCAAGCUAAGCUGAUUAGGAACCAGAAGUUAGGGGGAUUUAUGUGGCAUAGUCAUUAUCAAGAUUAAGAACUGAUAGAUGCGGCAAGUGAAGGAGAUGAUAGCAUAGAAGAAUUACCUGGUAGGUGUGGCGAAGUGAAGGAGAUACAACAGACGAGAGUUGCUGAACGAUUCGUACAUCUCAGAAAUUUGCUCCUGGUGUUUUUUCUCUUGUUUGAGGGGGAAAAGCACACACUCACAAUAGAAGAAGGAUCAGAAAUUGGGGUCUCUCCAGUGAUGGUUCCCCAGCUACCUUGAGCUUUGAUAGACACAUCAAUGGCUGAUCGGACGUAUUGAGAUGGUGUUCGUGAACUUUCUACUUCUCAGCUGCAAUUUUGUGUCUUUUCAGCUGAACCUUCCAUUUUGUUUUUAAUAGUUCCAAGUUUUGAGUUUCUGGACCGGGUCAUUUUUGGAUCCACUCAUGUAUAUACUUUCCCUUAUUUAUUACUAAAAUAUAUAUAAAAAUAAAAUGGGCCAGGAGCCCUCCUUUAAUUUUUUUUUUUUAAAAAAGUCCCAUAUUCCUAAAAAUCUCUCGAUUAUUAGUCAACUAAACAGACAAUGGAUCGGAUCUGCCAAUUAAAUAAAGGACCCAUAUGGUAAUAAUUUUUUUAUUUUUAUUUUGAAAUAACUUUUUAUUUAUUUAUUUAAAUGUGAAGUGUAAAUCUACGAUGAAAUGCCUCCUAAAUUAACCCGGAAAUGUCAACUGACAAAUGCUUAUUCUGUUACUCCAUGUCCCUAAUUACUUGUCCACUUUGAAUUGUCACACAUAUUAAGAAAGUAAUUAAUGACAUAGUGAGUUUACCAGUUUACCCCUAUUAAUUAUGAAGUGGAUGAAAAAUUCUAUAUUGGGACUAUCAGAGAGUUAACACACGAAAUAAGAUUCAUAACUAACAAAUAACAUGUCUUUGAACAAUACAUAGAUAUAUAGUCAAAGCUUAACUACUCCAAAUAAAACAAAUUACUAAUGAGGCAAAGCAAUACACAAUUUACAUGAAAGAAAACACUCAAAACAUUAAGUUAAAACAUCUCCAGAACAAGUUUGUUUAUUGGAAGCAGUAAUCAGAUGAAAUCAGAUGGAAGCGUUGCGUUGUUUUCUUUCUUCAUUGUUGUUCUAUCCUUUGUGUAUUCUGCAAAUUAUAUAUGUAAGUAUAUGAAGUGUAUAUGUAUGGAGGGGUAAAGAUGUAAGAAAUUAAUUACCUCUUCUUGACUUUGUUAGCAAUGGAAUAUAUGGACAUGAAGUCUGUCCUCUCCUGCGAAAUCAAUUACAUCUUUCUUAAUCUCCAUGGCUGAAUCUACAACCUGACUGUUAAUAUUUGUUAAAUGAACGAACUUUAAAGUAUCUAUAUCCGCGAAUGCACAAGGGAUCUCCGUAAACUCCUCACAGUAUUCUACUAUUAAUUCCUCAAGCUUGGGAAAAGUUUCCCUAUCAACUUGCCAUUCUGAAAGGUUGACCAUUCGCAAUGUCAAAGUCUUAAGACUUUGAUACAUGUCCUCACUUGCAUCCCACUUACCCUCCACGAAAUCAGAGUCGAUAAUCACCAGAAUUUCAAGGUGAGGCAAUGCCGCGAUUGCUGACAACAAAGCAGGUCUCACGUGAAAUAAAUUCAACCGUAACUCUUUCAAGCUACUAGGGAAGUGAUAUUCAUUGGGAUGUGGUAUUUGGUAGAUUGACUCGGUGUGAAAUAAGUACUCUUUGGGCAUCCUGUAUUUUGCAAAGAGUGAUUCAAGUUUAUUAAGAACAUCAAGCUUGGGAAACCAAUCGCCGUGUGUAGGAGUAAGAGGGUACCGCGGUUCCACAAUGAUGCGAUGAAGGUGCUGAAGAUUCGGGAACUUCUCCAGAGCAUCACUCGUGGCUUCAGUGUAUGAAGAUUAAAAACUUUGGAUAAAGUUGUCAAGUCUUCUAACUUUGGUUGAUUCAUAAUAUUGUCCGCAUCCUCUUCCUCUUCAAAGAAAGAACUCGUGUCAAUUUUCACAUGUUUCAGCUUGACAGUUUUAAUAUUCUGGGCAGUAAUACCAUGGUGGAAUAUCCAGUACUGAUCAACAGAGUUUCCAGAUUCUGGAGGUUCAACCACGACACUGGGAUAGCUUUUACACCUCGAGUCCGAAUCCUUAAGAACCUCAAAUGAAAUAGGGAGCCAAUUUCUUCCAUUAAAGAAUCAUUCAACUCAAUGCUAUCCAGUUGCAAUACUCUAACAAGUCCAAAGGGUCUUGUGUGACAGAUAUAGCUGGAGUGGAGAAGUGAACCGCUAACUUUCAAAGAUACGAGAUGCUUACUCCCAACUGAACACUUUUUAGACUUGAACAAAACACAUUUUUUGUGGAGUUGGUUGUUGUCAGUACGAAUGGUUAGACGAUGGUGUAGGAAAUAAGAAGCGUGAAAUCGAGCACCUGGAUUGAUUAACUUGAGAAACUUUUCCUUUUUCGCUUUUACAGAACAAAAAUCGUGCACAACAUCAUGCACAUAGCAAACCUUGAUCCUAACAGAAAAAGGCAUAUUCUUCUUGUAGAGCAUAUGAUCCACCAUUAUCAGGCUACUGGAAACUAAAGCAUCCAAGUAUCUUUGAGUUGCUUCCUCUAAACUACACUUGGAUGGGAUAUCAUGGUUCACCAACCCUUCAGCCAUCCACAACUGCAUCAACUUAGAGACUGGAGUUCGUUUGCUCUUUCGAGAUCUUGCAAAGUAAAGCAACAACGGCUUCAGGUGGUAUGGUAAGUGGUCAUAACUUAAUUGCAUAACCUUCAUCAUCUGCAAAUUGAUGUUGGCAGAAAUAAAGGAAUCCAAAUUAUCUUGAAUAUUAAGCCACAAAUCAUUUUCCAUUUUCUUUCCUCUAACAAUUACUCCAGCAAUCAAAACAACAGCCAAAGGAAGCCCCUGACAUUUGUCAACUAUUUGGUGUCCAACUUCUGACAGUUCAGCAGGGCAGCUUCCUUCUCCAAAUACCCUUUUUNNNNNNNNNNNNNNNNNNNNNNNNNNNNNNNNNNNNNNNNNNNNNNNNNNNNNNNNNNNNNNNNNNNNNNNNNNNNNNNNNNNNNNNNNNNNNNNNNNNNNNNNNNNNNNNNNNNNNNNNNNNNNNNNNNNNNNNNNNNNNNNNNNNNNUCUUUUCCUCCCGAGCCAGUAACUUGUAGAAGAAUCUCCCGCAACACCUUUGACUUGUUAUACUUUUGGGAAACAGUGCACCAAGCACGAACAUUGAAAUGAGUAGCAACUAAUGUAUUGUUAUACACUUUGUUGGCCAGAAUAGUUUUACCGAGUCCUGGCAUUCUGACAAUCGAAAUGACAUCAAGCUCGGAUUCAUGUUUAUCAAGGAGCUGGUCAAUCAUCUUGGCUUCAUCUUCUUCAUGACCUACUGUUACCUCAACAAAAGAUGAUGAGGUUGACUCAAUUGGCUCGACGGAAGACUUUGCAUCAAUAGGGUCAUCCCCAUUCUUAUCCUCCAGCUGUAAACUGGUGACUUCUGCCACGAUAAGCUUGAUCUUAUCAGUGACACUCGGAAGUGAGAAAAGGAGAUGCGAGAGAGCAUUAUCUCUGACAAGAAUGGAAUUAAUGACAUGUUCUGCCUCAUAUGCCACAUCUAAAGCACACACCCAACAAUCUUUAACUACUCCACUGGUGUCAUCCAAUGUUUGCCUGAAAGAUGAUGUUAGGUAUUCAAGGCUUUGUUUCACUAUUCCAAUUUCUUUCUUUAUGAGAGAAACUGAAUAAGCAUUGGAAAUGAGCAAAUCAUUUAAAUGUCUGAGUAGAAGAUUCAUGAAGAGGAAACCAUCAUCCAUAGGAAAGCAGAGUUGAGAUGACUGAUCCGGGGCUUUCAAAAAAUUCUGUUUGAUAUCUCCCUUCAUUCGUUCAAUUUCUUGCAACAAGUCUGGAGCUGAAAAGUCUGCUUCAUUCAUAUUAGAGCUCUCCUCCAUGAGAAUAGAUAGAUUCCUUGUAAGUAGUCCGACAUGUGCCAACAUAUCGUUCAAUUUGUCAGGAUGGAUAAAGCGCUUUGGUAUAUCGGUGAGAAAGAUCAAUAGGAACUCGAUCAUGGCAUUAAUACUUUGAGUUUGAGAGUAAUUGACAGCUACCAUGCGUCCUUGGAGAUGAAUGAGAUAAUUUUGAAGAAUCUUUGGAGAUGCUUUUAGGAUUUGCUUCACUAACCGUUUUAGUUGAUGAGUUGACUUUGAUUCUUUGAUGAGCUUAGAAGUAGAAAUGUAUAGAACCUCCAGCUCAAGAGGGAUUAUGUCGAUCAGUAGAGAAGUGACGUUGGAAGAGUAUUCAGAGACUUUGGAUGAGGGAUUAUAGUUUCCAGUCCAAAUAGCAAAAUGGAAUUGUAGAAAUGUAUGGGCGAUGAAUUGGAAGCGAGGAAAGAGAUAUUGAGUGGUAGUUGUUUUGUUGGCCAGGAGGAUAGGAUAGAAAUCUGUCAGACGACGAAAUACUUGGCGAAGAGUGUUGUAGUCAGUCAUCUGCGAGAGAAUCAAAUCAGAAGAAUAGUUUGGUAGAUCAUGGAGGUUUGUGAAGAGGUAUUCAAACAUUUUCUCCUCUGUGGUCAUUGCUACAUAAUUAUCAUUCUUCAAACUUAAAUAACUUUCCAUCUCCUCCAGCAGCAGAGGGACAAGACUAUCCAUGUUGGGACUAUCAGAGAGUUAACACACGAAAUAAGAUUCAUAACUAACAAAUAACAUGUCUUUGAACAAUACAUAGAUAUAUAGUCAAAGCUUAACUACUCCAAAUAAAACAAAUUACUAAUGAGGCAAAGCAAUACACAAUUUACAUGAAAGAAAACACUCAAAACAUUAAGUUAAAACAUCUCCAGAACAAGUUUGUUUAUUGGAAGCAGUAAUCAGAUGAAAUCAGAUGGAAGCGUUGCGUUGUUUUCUUUCUUCAUUGUUGUUCUAUCCUUUGUGUAUUCUGCAAAUUAUAUAUGUAAGUAUAUGAAGUGUAUAUGUAUGGAGGGGUAAAGAUGUAAGAAAUUAAUUACCUCUUCUUGACUUUGUUAGCAAUGGAAUAUAUGGACAUGAAGUCUGUCCUCUCCUGCGAAAUCAAUUACAUCUUUCUUAAUCUCCAUGGCUGAAUCUACAACCUGACUGUUAAUAUUUGUUAAAUGAAUGAACUUUAAAGUGUCUAUAUCCGCGAAUGCACAAGGGAUCUCCAUAAACUCCUCACAGUAUUCUACUAUUAAUUCCUCAAGCUUGGGAAAAGUUCCCUUAUCAACUUCCCAUUCUGAAAGGUUGACCUCUCGCAAACUCAAAGUCUUAAGACUUUGAUACAUGUCCUCACUUGCAUCCCACUUAUCCUCCACGAAAUCAGAGUAGAUAAUCGCCAGGAUUUCAAGGUGAGGCAAUGCCGCGAUUGCUGACAACAAAGCAGGUCUCAUGUGAAAUAAAUUCAACCGUAACUCUUUCAAGCUGCUAGGGAAGUGAUAUUCAUUGGGACGUGUUAUUUGGUAGAUUAACUCGGUGUGAAAUAAGAACUCUUUGGGCAUCCUGUAUAUUGCAAAGAGUGAUUUAGUGAUUCAAGUUUAUUAAGAACAUCAAGCUUGGGAAACCAAUCGCCGUGUGUAGGAGUAAGAGGGUACCGCGGUUCCACAAUGAUGCGAUGAAGGUGCUGAAGAUUCGGGAACUUCUCCAGAGCAUCACUCGUGGCUUCAGUGUAUGAGAUAAAAACUUUGGAUAAAGUUGUCAAGUCUUCUAACUUUGGUUGAUUCAUAAUAUUGUCCGCAUCCUCUUCCUCUUCAAAGAAAGAACUCGUGUCAAUUUUCACAUGUUUCAGCUUUGACAGUUUUAAUAUUCUGGGCAGUAAUACCAUGGUGGAAUAUCCAGUACUGAUCAACAGAGUUUCCAGAUUCUGGAGGUUCAACCACGACACUGGGAUAGCUUUUACACCUCGAGUCCGAAUCCUUAAGAACCUCAAAUAAAAUAGGGAGCCUAUUUCUUCCAUUAAAGAAUCAUUCAACUCAAUGCUAUCCAGUUGCAAUCCUCUAACAAGUCCAAAGGGUUUUGUGUGAUAGAUAUAGCUGGAGUGGAGAAGUGAACCGCUAACUUUCAAAGAUAUGAGAUGCUUACUACCAACUGAACACUUUUUAGACUUGAACAAAACACAUUUUUUGUGGAGUUGGUUGUUGUCAGUACGAAUGGUUAGACGAUGGUGUAGGAAAUAAGAAGCAUGAAAUCGAGCACCUAUAUUGAUUAACUUGAGAAACUUUUCCUUUUUGGCUUUUACUGAACAAAAAUCGUGCACAACAUCAUGCACAUAGCAAACCUUGAUCCUAACAGAAAAAGGCAUAUUCUUCUUGUAGAGCAUAUGAUCCACCAUUAUCAGGCUACUGGAAACUAAAGCAUCCAAGUAUCUUUGAGUUGCUUCCUCUAAACUACACUUGGAUGGGAUAUCAUGGUUCACCAACCCUUCAGCCAUCCACAACUGCAUCAACUUAGAGACUGGAGUUCGUUUGCUCUUUCGAGAUCUUGCAAAGUAAAGCAACAACGGCUUCAGGUGGUAUGGUAAGUGGUCAUAACUUAAUUGCAUAACCUUCAUCAUCUGCAAAUUGAUGUUGGCAGAAAUAAAGGAAUCCAAAUUAUCUUGAAUAUUAAGCCACAAAUCAUUUUCCAUUUUCUUUCCUCUAACAAUUACUCCAGCAAUCAAAACAACAGCCAAAGGAAGCCCUUGACAUUUGUCAACUAUUUGGUGUCCAACUUCUGACAGUUCAGCAGGGCAGCUUCCUUCUCCAAAUACCCUUUUUNNNNNNNNNNNNNNNNNNNNNNNNNNNNNNNNNNNNNNNNNNNNNNNNNNNNNNNNNNNNNNNNNNNNNNNNNNNNNNNNNNNNNNNNNNNNNNNNNNNNNNNNNNNNNNNNNNNNNNNNNNNNNNNNNNNNNNNNNNNNNNNNNNNNNNNNNNNNNNNNNNNNNNNNNNNNNNNCAACUUGCUGAAGAAUCUCCCGCAACACCUUUGACUUGUUAUACUUUUGGGAAACAGUGCACCAAGCACGAAUCUUGAAAUGACUAGCAACUAAUGUAUUGUUAUACACUUUGUUGGCCAGAGUAGUUUUAUCGAGUCCUGGCAUUCCGACAAUAGAAAUGACAUCAAGUUCGGAUUCAUGUUUAUCAAGGAGCUGGUCAAUAAUCUUGGCUUCAUCUUCUUCAUGACCUACUGUUACCUCAACAAAAGAUGAUGAGGUUGACUCAAUUGGCUCGACGGAAGACUUUGCAUCAAGAGGGUCAUCCCCAUUCUUAUCCUCCAGCUGUAAACUGGUCACUUCUGCCACGAUAAGCUUGAUCUUAUCAGUGACACUCGGAAGUGAGAAAAGGAGAUGCGAGAGAGCAUUAUCUCUGACAAGAAUGGAAUUAAUGACAUGUUAUGCCUCAUAUGCCACAUCUAAAGCACGCACCCAACAAUCUUUAACUACUCCACUAGUAUUGUCAUCCAAUGUUUGCCUGAAAGAUGAUGUUAGGAAUUCAAGGCUUUGUUUCACUAUUCAAAUUUCUUUCUUUAUGAGAGAAACUGAAUAAGCAUUGGAAAUGAGCAAAUCAUUUAAAUGUCUGAGUAGAAGAUUCAUGAAGAGGAAACCAUCAUCCAUAGGAAAGCAAAGUUGAGAUGACUGAUCCGGGGCUUUCAAAAAUUCUGUUUGAUAUCUCCCUUCAUUCGUUCAAUUUCUUGCAACAAGUCUGGACUAGCUGAAAAGCCUGCUUCAUUGAUAUUAUUCUCAGAGCUCUCCUCCAACAGAAUAGAUAUCUUCCUUGUAAGUAGUGCGACAUGUGCCAACAUAUCGUUCAAUUUGUUAGGAUGGAUAAAGCGCUUUGGUAUAUCGGUGAGAAAGAUCAAUAGGAACUCGAUCAUGACAUUGAAACUUUGAGUUUGAGAGUAAUUGACAGCUACCAUGCGUCCUUGGAGAUGAAUGAGAUAAUUUUGAAGAAUCUUUGGAGAUGCUUUUAGGAUUUGCUUGACAAACCGUUUUAGUUGAUGAGUUGACGUUGAUUCUUUGAUGAGCUUAGAAGUAGAAAUGUAUAGAACUUCCAGCUCAAGAGGGAUUAUGUUGAUCAGUAGAGAAGUGACAUUGGAAGAGUAUUCAGAGACUUUGGAUGAGGGAUUAUAGUUUCCAGUCCAAAUAGCAAAAUAGAAUUGUAGAAAUGUAUGGGCGAUGAAUUGGAAGCGAGGAAAGAGAUAUUGAGUGGUAGUUGUUUUGUUGGCGAGGAGGAUAGGAUAGAAAUCUGUCAGACGACGGAAUACUUGGCGAAGAAUGUUGUAGUCAGUCAUCUGCGAGAGAGUCAAAUAGUUUGGUAGAUCAUGGAGGUUUGUGAAGAGGUAUUCAAACAUUUUCUCCUCUGUGGUCAUUGCUACAUAAUUAUCAUUCUUCAAACUUAAAUAACUUUCCAUCUCCUCCAGCAGCAGAGGGACAAGACUAUCCAUGUUGUAUUUCUCUAGAGUUACUUCAUCAUUAAGUAGUGACCGAGUCAUAAAACUGAACUUGUUUAUUUUGUUGGACAUCCUCUCAUAAAAGUCAUCCAAACUUGAAUCCCCAAACAGGACAAAUGUUCUUAGGAAUCUCAGAUUCAUUCUUAGCUUUUUAUUGGCACGCCAAUUUGAAUGUCUCAAUACUUCGUCAUUCAUUAUUUUCUUCAAGCCAUUUGAGCAAUCAUCAAUAAGAUUCCUGAUUCUUCUUCUUUUUUCCUCCUAAAUUAAAACAUAAUAUGUAAUUGUUAUCAUUGUUGUUGUUGUUGUUUCAAUAGAGACAAUAACUAAAGAAAUCAAAAUUUAGUAAGACUUGGACAAAUUGAAUUAGCCUAAAUACCCGAUUCUCAGUUUUUCAUGUGUGUUAGCCCAUUAAUAUUUUGGUGAUAUAACUUUCGGACCAUUUUUUAAAAAAAACUUCAUGGACCCUCCGUAAUGAGUUGUGGGAACAGUACGCAUAGUCUCACUAUGAUCCAUGACAUUUUUUGGCAUUUAGAACCCAUUUAACAAGAAUUAAAUCAUUUUCUUAGUUUUUUUGUGUAUUAAGUCCAUGAAUAUUUUGGUGAUAUGAUUUCUGAGCGAUUUUUUGAAGAAACUUUACGUGACCCUCCGUUAUGAGUCGAGAGUGUAGUACGCAUAGCCUCACCACUUACCCGGAUCGGUUAAGCUCCCAAAAACAAGAAAGUGUGGCGCCACAGGUUCGAUCAACCAUGGGAGUAGGCAUCUUUGAGGAAGGAGAACAGGGGAAUCGUUUGGUCUAAGCAGAUGCUUUCCUUUUCCAGAUUCAUCUGAGAGAUUUUUGGUGUUGUCUUUUUUUUUUUUUUUUAAAUAUUAUUAUUUUAAGGGAAAAUUGUAUAUAAUAGCAAACUAUUAAUUCAAAUUAAAUGUUAUAACCACAAUUUGAUUUAAUAGUAACCCGUAGCAAACAAUUGUCAUUCGCCUCUCUCCCUAGGUUUCUCGCUCGCCAGUCUUGCCAUUCUCUCCCUCACCUCUCUCGCUUUUAUACAAACACAAAUGUAUAAAAUGUGUUUGUGUUUGUAUAAAGCGAGAGAAAACUGUAUAUACAAAUAUGAAUACAUAUAUUUUCGUCCUAUACACUUAUAAUUAUACAAAUACAGAUCUUCCUCUGCACAGUUCUCUUUUGCCUUUCUCGCUUUAUAAAAACACAGAUUAUACAAAUUACAGUGUAUAAUUUGUGUUGUAUAAAGCGAGAGAGAGAGAUUUGAUAUACACAUGUUUUAUUUCGAUUCAAUUGUAUACAAAUUCAAAUUUUAUGCAGAUAUAUAAACACAUUGAAUUGAGAGGCUGCCAAUGAUUUAUUCAAACAAAAGGCUGCCAACGAUUUAUACAAAUGGCCUGCCAGUGAAAUUAUACAAAUCUGAAGCUCCUGCCAGCGAGUUAUACAAUCUGAUGCUCCAUAACAAACAUACAAUUUGUUAUAGAGCGCAAUUAUACAAACUAUAGCUAUAACAUACAAAUAUGAUUUUUAUGUUUGCUAUAUAUGAAAGUUACUCUUAUUUUAACUUACUUGGGCUGGCCACUUUUGGGCUUGACACAUUUUGGCUUUAGCUUUGAACCUUUGUGUUCAUAUUAAAUAAAAUGGCCCCAUGGGUUAUUAUUGAAAGAAAAAAAAAAAGAACUUAAGCUCUAACACGCACACAACAAGGGACCUGAUAGAGCUAUUAAGGGCAUCUUUUAUGUGUUGUUGUCUAAAUGAUUGUAAUGUGCUGAUAUUGUAAGCAUUUAUAAAGAAAUGUAUCAAUUUUGUCAGUUGUGUACCAAAUACAAAGCACAAUUAGAGUUAAUUGUGCGAAUUGUAAGUGAAGUCUAUAUUAAUUAGAGUUAGUUAAUAUAGUGGAAAAUGGAGACAUUGCUUUGGCUUAGCUAAGUAAUAGAGUUAUUAUUUGUAGUGAGAUUAGGAGUUUAGUCUCACGUGGUGUACUUGAAGUCUGUAUUCACUUGUUGCUUGAUAGUAGUGAAAACAGUUGGAAAUCCUGUGAGUACAGAUCGUGGUUUUACUCCCUUGAGCAAGGAGGUUUCCACGUAAAAAUCACUUGCCUUUACUGUUCUUUAUAUCUCUUUUACUGCAUUCCAGUAUACCUCGACAUGGUACUAUAGUACACUGUGAGGUAGCACAUCUCAACAAGGAGCAGUACAUAUAAACUCAUCAUGAUCCACGAUACUUUUGGGGUACACAAUCAAUCGAAAAUAUGUACACAAUCAAUCGAAAAGACAAAUAUGACUUACCAGUUCCCAUUUCUUAAUGAGUUUUAAUUGGGGUACCCUUUUAAUUGUUAAUCUUUUUAGCUUCGGUCAUUAAAUAUAUUCAUUCACAACUUUUCAUGUACAUAGUCUCUCUUCCUUUAUAAAUUUGACAAAAAAUUAUUAAUUUACAGCACUUUUUAGCUUCAUCAUCUUAUAAUUCUUAUAUAAUUUUGUUAUUUAUCGGCCAUUCUUUUUUUUUUUCUUAUUAAUAUAUUCAUUUUGUAUGAUAUGACGACAAAUAUAUUGUGUUGCUUUUCACGUUAAUUGACUUGAUUAUAAAUGUUUUCCCUUUUAACUUUCAUUCUAUAUUUCAAUUUUUAUGAUUUUUUUCUUUUAAUUUGUCAUUCUUAUAAAUUAAUACAACAUGUAAUAUUGGAUACAAGUUUUUAUUGUACUGUCCAAUUAUUCAUAUAUACACAUUGUAAUCAUCAGUUUGUUAUUUUAUGGGAUUUUAUCAGCUCAAGUAUAUUAUCUAACCCCUUAGACAAUUUUAACAUAUCAUAUGGUGUUAUCAUUGUUUUAAUUUGUUUCUAUGAUUAUUGAAUGUUGUUUAAAGAUUUUAGCAUAAGUAUUUUUUAUAAAAAAAUCUUAUAAGUAAUUGAGGCCAAACAUGCAACACAUAUUCUCAAAAUAAUUGUUACAAAAAUAAUGUAAAACUAAUAAUUGCUAGAAAAAUAAGUAUAAUUUAUAUGUAAAACUUAAUUACUAAUAAUUUGGAGCAUGUAAAAGUAUUGAUAGACAUACCGAUGACUUUCCUUCUUUUUCCAUUGAAUCUCCAACCUCGAACCAGCCUUCAAUUUCUAAAGAAUUGAUUUUUCAACUUAUGAUCACAUGCACAUUAAAUUAGGAUAAAAAUUAGAAGAUAGUAAUCACAUGCGCACAAGUAAAAGAAAAUGCAAAAUAAUUAUUCCUAGUAAUUUACGGUUUUAAGUAAAUAAAUGAAUUGGUGAAAGUAAUAAAUAGCAUGUCAAAAUAUAUAUUUUACGUUGAUUAGACUUGAUAGGUUACUCAGAGUGGCGCACAAGUAUAUACACUAAUAAUUUUUCAAGAAUUUGGACCAUAAUAUAUACUCCUUCUAUUCUAUAUUAACUGAAUUUGUGAGACAAUGCACACAUAUUAAGAAAAACAUUUAAGAACAUAACUUAAACCAUAAUUUUUACUAUUGUCCUUUGCGAAAUCAUAAAUAUAGCUUUGUAAGUAGUGUAAUUUAUCUCAUAGAAAAUAUAAACUCCAAUAAUUGAAAGGGUAAAUAUGAAAAAAAUUUCAAACAUUCAUUUUGAACUUUGAACAAUUCAAUUAUUCUGAACAAUGAAAAAAAUCUAAAAAAUUUACUAAAUAUGAAAUGGAAGAAGGACUAAAAAGAUGAGAUCUAAAUUUAAACAAACCAUGAGUGCGUUUGGUAUGAACGAAAUUAUUUUCUGAAAAUAUUUUUUUAACUAAUAAGUGGGUUUGUUAUUUUUUUUUGUGUGUGUUUGAUAUGUUUUCUAAAUAAUAAGAGCAUGUUUGGUAUUGCUGUUAAAAAUUGCUUAUUUUUGAAAAGCACUUUUUUAAAAUGACUUUUUAAAAAAGUGCUUUUGAAAAAAAUAAUUUAUGUUUGGCUAAUUCAUUUGAAAAGUGAUUUUGAUAAACAAAUUGUAUUUUGCUAAUCUUUUUAAAAAAAUGCUUUUGAGAGUCAAAUUACGAAAAAGAGUAAGUAUUAAUGUGCUUUUAAUAUUAAUAUUAUUUUAAAGAGAGAAACUAUUUUAAUUAUCUAUUACAAAAAUUUUAGUUACAAUUUUAUUUUAAUGAUAUUAAAAUGUACAUAUUCAUAAAUUUAAAAAUCAUUCCACAAAUUAAACCACUAUAUACAAAAAUUCACCACAAAAAUAAAUAAAGUCUUUCAUAUGUUUAAUCCUACAAAAUAUUGUUGUUACCUUUAUUUCUAGUUCUGUAAAAUAAAACAUAUAAUAAUAUAUAAUAAUCUAUAAAAUAUAAAUAAUAAUAUAUAAACAUUAAAUAAAUAAUUUAUUAUAUAAAAAUAAAAAAUAAAAUACUUUAAUGAAUCUUAACCAAACUUAUAAGAUAUGCUAAUUAGUUAAUAAGGGAUAUAUUGAUAAAUAUGUAUAUAUGAAGGGGAUAUUUUAGUCUUUAAAAAAAUAUUUUUUUGAGAAGUUGAAAUUUUUAACUUCUUCCCAACGACAACAGAAAAUCUGCUUCUGCUUCCAUUUAAAAGCAGUUUUAAGGACUUGCCAAACACUUAAUUUUUCAAAAUAAUUGUUUUUUCCUAAAAAAAUAAUAAUAAUUUUAGCCUCCCAACAGCAAUGCCAAACAAGCUCUAAGUAAUCAAACGAAAACAUUGAAAAAUAUAUAUUUCCUCCGUACUGAACACACCCUAUAUUAAAAGUGUUUUCCGUAUCAAGAUAUAUUAAGAUCUUAAAUAUAGAGCCAACCAAGAUAUAUAUCUACAAAACUACGUUAAAAGGUCUUCUUCUAUAAAUCAUUUUUCUAGUUCUUAUUAUGUAUGUUUCUUUCAAAUCAAGUGAAUCACAGAAAUACAUGUAAAAAAUGAAAUAGAAAACUAGAAAAAUAUUAUAUUAUACCUUUUUGUUUACUUCCAAGCUAAUAAUUCCUCUCAAAUGGUAGUUUGCCUUGUUGCAGAUUUACAGGAAGCAAAUGUUGAAGAACCUAAUUCACUUAUUUAAAAAGCUUUAUUGUUAGAUAUCUGCACAUGUGAAAAUAGAUUAGUUUAAGUUUAGUAUUGUUUUGAAUUAUUAAAGCAAAGUCUUUCUAUAUAAUUUCCGACAGUCCAUAAAAAUAUUUGUUUGAAAAAAGUUAUUCAAUUAGUCCUAAUCAAGUAAGUUGACAAGAAAAAAAAAUGGCAUUUUAAUGUCACAUUAUUAUUAUAAAAUAAUAAUAAAAAAAGCUAUGAUGUUAAUGCACCAACAAUUGCAAUUAUGUAUUUUUUUGUUGUCUUGAUUUUUGGAAUCAAGUGAAGUGGUUGAUGUUUGAUUUUUGGAACCAAUUCUCAACCAGUAUUUGCUUGACUUUUCUUUUUGUUUAUAAAUUAUUUUUCUACAUAAAUAAAAUUUUAAAUUAUUUGUUUUAACUAAAUAUUGUGUAGUUUUGAUUUGAAAAUUUUGAUGUACCUAUUCAUUUACCACUUCUCCAAGUUUGAACACACUUUUUUUUCUUAACUAAUAUUGUCGUUACGCCGUUGUUUUUGCCCCUCACAAUAAAUGGUAUAUUUUUUUUAUUGUAGCUUAAGUUUAUAUUUUUAUAUCAUAAUAUUUUAUAUAAGUUAUGUUUUUAGUUUGUAAACAACUUGGCAUAAAUUUGUGAAGUUGGUCAAAGUGCAAAGUGGAAUUAUUAUUCUAUCUCUAUUCUAAAUAAAAUAUCUAAUUCAUUAAAUAUUAAAUAAUAUCAUAUAUAUUGUACAAAAUACUAAUACCGGAAAGGUGUUAAAUCAAAAAGUUGAAUAAACUUUUAAAUACAAUCAAAUGAGAAAGACAUUAAAAAUAUGAUAAUGAAACGAUCAUGGCUGAUUUUUGGAACCAAUUCUCAGCUAGUAUUUGCUUGACUUUUCUUUUUAUUUUUUAAAAUUAUUUUUCUACAUAAAUAAAUUUUAAUAUUAUUGUUUAACGAAAUAUUGUGUAGUUUGAUUUGAAAAUUUUGAUGCACCUAUUCAUUUUAAAGAAAAGGAAAAUGGUCUGAUAGACCCUGGUACUUGUAUGUGUUUGUAUUCUGAACCUUUCUACUUACCUCUUUGUCAACUGAACCCUUUAACUCAAUAAAAUUCAACAUCUUAAACCCUUUUGACCAUUGACCAAACUUAUGUGGCAACUUAAUUGUUGAGUUGGCAUAAGUACGUGAUUUUAUGUAAAAAAGGAGCGUGAAAAUAAAAAUUUAGACUAAAAAUAAUUAAAAGAAAAAGGAAAUUACAAUAAAAACAACAAAAUAAAAAUAAAAAUUAUAAACUUCACUCUUUCUUCUUUCCUCCACCCCGUUCCAUUUCUUUCACCUUUGUCACGACCUGAGCCUACACCCUGGACAUGGCUGGCACUCGAGAAUCAUUGCUAGUCCCCAAGCGAACCCUCAUCCUGGCUACCUAUAAGUGAAAGACUAACUCAAGCAUACAAAGCUUAAAACAUAAUGAAAUUCAUGAAAAACUUAAAUACAAGCUUUAACUCAAAAGAAAACUCUGAAUAAAAAUAGAAUAUUCAACUAGCCAACAAUAGGCAACUCAAAUCUUUAAUACAUUUAAUAAGAUAAAUGAAACAGACUUCUCAAACUCUACUAUCUAUCUAUGAAGCCUCUAACUGACAAAGAUGAAAGUUAAGACAAGACCCACGACAUCCUAAAAACUGAUAUAACUAAAAAGCAAAUGAAAUCCUCCGGAAUCAAGGAGACUCACCAUAGCUAACUCGAACUCCAUGUGGUAUCAAUAAAGCUCCUGUUGAUGAUCUUGAAUACCUGAAUCUGCAUCAUGAAAGGAUGCAGGCCAAAUGGCUCAGUACAUGGAAUGUACGAACAUGUAAGGGGAAUUCUAAAGCACAACAUAAGCUUGAACUUGAUAAAAAGGAAACAUACUUACCUCUUCUCAACUCACUCAACUAACUCAACUCAGGAAUAAGAUUCUCAACUGAAAGAUAAAAUAUUCAACUCGGUGAAAUAAGGCUCAACUCAAUAAUAAGAUAUUCAACUCAGUGAAAUAUGACUCAACUCAAUAAUAAGACACUCGACUCUUAGUACUCAAACUCUGGAUACUCAACUUUGGAUACUCAUCUCAAUAUAAAGCAACACUAAUAGAUGCAAUAUAUGGAAAGUUUUUAAAACAAUAGAAAGCAACUCAAUGUAUUUAAGAAUACAUUAUACUCAGUUUGUAUGCAAGGAUACAAUAUAAACUCUGUUUGUAUAUGAAAAUACAAGUAAACUUUGUGUAUAUAAAAAUACAAAUAUCUCUAUGGGAGUUUCUCUAACCGACAACCAUCACUUGAGAGCUAUUGUGAUAAUACAACGUUUUGCCUCACGCUGGAAGGGCCGUCCUAUACCUUGCCAAGGGUAUUGAACCUGACUACUAAGUGGAAAGCACUAAGGAAUCAUCUAAAAAGUAUGACCCUUUUCUACCCAUGGUGGCUACAUGGUUUAUGGGGGCUGUGAGUUAUCUGAACUCCCCCCUCCCAUAUCGGUGCUCAAUACUACUCCCAAAAUAUGAUACUAGCUCUUAUGUUUAAAAACAUACUUCUUUCUGUGAUUUGAGAUAAUUGCUCAAAACUUAGCUCAAAGGCUAUCUUGGAAAUCAAAGUUUUAUCUCUCGCUUAAUUGUGAAAGCAUUUACUCUUUUCUGAAAACUAGCUCAAAGGCUCUUUGGAAAUCAAGGUUUCCUUUUCUUGUUUAAAUGUGAAAACAUUUUCUCUUUGGGAAUACUUAGUUCCCAUAUAAUCUUUUGAAGAAACUGAACUUCAAUUUUACUCUUACUAAAACGUUUGUAAAAGACUUCCUAAAAUAUGGUUCAUGCCGAAUUAUGGACGUGAACGACUCAAUGCAAGGUUUUCAAUAACCAUAGAUAGAACUCAAUACUCAAGACUUAGAACUUGAAGAUACUACUCCUCUCAAUGAUGCUCAAUUUAUGGAGUUCAUGUGGAAUUAUAUGCAUGAACGACUCGACUCAAAGGUCUACAUAACUACAUGGAUCUCAUGUAUAUGACUCUUCUCAUUCUCUUACUUACUUCCUCAAAACUUAGUUCAAAGCAAUAGUUGAUCUCAAAGAAUUCACAAUCGAACUCAAAGACUUUCUUGAACUCUACUCUUAAUUCUCUCUUGAAUGUGAAUUAUGAAUUCAAGAGUUAUAGUUCAUGAUAUGAAGGAUCUCGGUGAUAGUGUAGACUCAUGAAAAGAUUCUCCUCACUCAUAUUCACUUACUUGAGUCUUGAAACAAGUUACUAGAAGUUGUAGAAGACUCCUCAAAAGGACUCAAAAGGGCUUUCUUAAAUGUUCAGAAGAACUCUCAAGACUCAACUCUUAACUUUACCUUGAAUUGGAAUUAUUAAUUCAAGGUUAUGAUUCAUGUUAAGAAUUAUUUCUAAGUGUUUAGAAGUAGUUUAGAGUGAUUAAAAUAAAAGGGAGUGAAGGUACACUUAAAUGGGACUCAAACGGGACAACCAACAGAAAAAGAGUGGGGGUAGGCGACCUUGGCGCGUUCCGGGCGUGGGGCGCCAGCCCCAAACUUAAGAGGCUGCAUAUGGGCGCACUGCAAGGGCGCCGCCCCAGCCUCUCCCCAGGCCGAGUUCGACGAAUUUUCCCUCUCGUUUUCUGAUCUUAAAUCGCUUUUAAUCGAUUUCUUUUCUCAAGUUUUCCUUAGAUUCAAUUACCCAACCUAAGUACACACUAACCCACUCAAAAAAACACUCAAAACAAUCACUUUCAUCUCAAGAAAUCAUCAAAACCCUAAUAAAAUAAGAUUUAGAAUGAACUUCAAGAACUUAAAUCAUUCUACUUUUGAGAAUGAAAUUAAGCUGAAAAUAACAUGUUUGGCGUACGGGUGACAAAUCCAACACUAUGGAAGCUUACAUACCUCUUAGGGAUCAAACCCAUGGCGAAAAUCCACGACAAAAAUCAAGAACCUCGACGAACGCCUUGAUCCUUUCUCUUUUCUCCUCUUCUUUUCUCUUCUUGAACUCUCAACUAAAACCCUAGGCGUAUAUUAGGAUUAUAAAACUGAACCUAAUCAGAUUAGACCUAUAAAACAUUACUAAAAAUGAAUUAAAUCUGAUUGGGUAAGGAAAAGACGAAAAUACCUCUCUAAAAUCCGGUUAUGAUUGUCCUUAUCUAGACAACCCAACUUCUAAUGAACAUAUCUCCCUCAUAUGAACUCGAAACUGAGCAAACUCGGUGGCGUUGGAAAUAAUUCAAAUAUUUUUCCUACGGUAUAUGAUAGAACACCUAACUCAUCCUUAGCUACGAGUUAUGGUCGGUUGAAGUCGACCCUAAACUCAUACUUAGCUUAACCAGCAAAAUUUCAGAUUUUGCUAUUUCUAAUUUAGUUCUUUUUGGAACUCAAGGUGCUACAUCUAGUGACCUGACCUUAAUACUUAAGAAAUUUGAAAUUCCUUAGUGAAAUCCUACUCACAACGAAGGAUGAUUAGAGUCUCAGUUCGUAAAAAAUUUCUGGGGUGUUACAACCUUUCUUGAUCUUCCCCCACCCAAUUCCCCAUUACUUUCGUUCUCCCUUCCUGUACUCCUUUCCAUUUCCUUUUCUCUUUUUCCUUUUUCAUUUUAUCUUUCCCAAAUUAGAAAUGAUAUCGUGCAAAAAAUGAGAACAAAAUGAGCAAAGGAAAAUCAAGAAAAUUGAUGCAAUACCCAAAUCCACGGAAGAAAUAUGUCUAAUGAGUAUCAUGAACUCUUUUUGUUGUUAAAAUUGUUAGCAAUUUUAGUGCUCCAUCUUUAAAUUUGUUAUUGUUCUUGAUUUGUCUUUCUUUUCCAUCUUCUAGGGUUAACUGACAAAGAUCCGGUAGUUUUGAAGGAUAAAAGUAAUUGUUGAAUGUAAAUUAGAUGAAGUAUGUUGGAUAAAUAUAAAUAUUAUAAUCUAUUGAAAUACUUCAAUGGUGAUUCAUUGGCAUCCAUGGAGAAAAGGAUUUUACAUGUGUUGGUCAAGUGAUAUGAAGAUGAAGAUGGAGUAAAAAAAGAAGAAAAAAAAUAAUUUAUUUUAAAAAAUUAAAUAAUAAGUGACGUGUCAUAUAAAAUCUGAUGUGGGUGAUGACAUGUCAUUUUUAUUGUGCGUUUGAAGUUCACACAAGGCCAAAGAGAUUUAAAAUGCUGAGUUUUAUUGAGUUUAAGGGUUCAGUUGGUAAAUGGUUAAGUAAAAGGGUUCAAAAUACAAACACAUACAAGUACAAGGGUCCAUCAGACCAUUUCGCCCAAAGAAAAUACCACUUCUCCAUGUUUGAACACUUCUAACUAAUUUUGUGGUCGCGUCAUUGUUUUUGCCCUCACAAUAAAUGAUAAUUGUUUAUUGUGGCUUAAGUUUAUAUUUUUAUAUCAUAAUAUUUCAUUUAAGUUAUGUUUUUAGUUUGUAAACAACUAGGUAUAAAUUUGUUAAGUUGGUCAAAGCGCAAAGUUGGAUUAUCAUAUUAUCUCUAUUCUAAAUAAAAUAUCUAAUUCAUUAAAUGUUAAAUAUAUAUUAUAUUAAAUACUAAUAGAGAGAAGGUGUUAAAUCAAAAAGUUGAAUAAACUUUUAAAUACAAUUAACUGAGAAAGAUAUAUUUAAAUAAAAAGGUUUAAUAAACUUUUAAAUAUAAUUAAAUGAGAAAGACAUUAUGUAACACCCCGGACUUCAAAAGAGCUAAAUAGAGGUUCGUACAAGUUACCCAUCGGUUUUUAGUUUUGGGUCAACUUUAAAUGACCAUAUCUUUAAGCACAUAAAGAAUUAGGUGGACCAUGAGCUAUCAAAUCGAAGGUGUUUGAGUCCUCUUUCCAACGCCACCAAGUUUGCUUAAUUUCGAGCUUGGUGUAAAAAAUUAUGCUCAUUUGAGUGAAGUCUCUGUUUAAGUCUUUUUAUUCUAUUAUAGAAGGGUAUUUUUGUCUUUUCCUUUUCCCACUAGGCCUAGCAUGUUUUUUCUCUCCCAAUUAAGGGUCUAAUGAUAUGCUAAACCACUCUUGAUCGUUUCUAAACACUUAGAAAAAUAAGAGAAGAGUUCAAGAGGAGAAAGAGCUAGGUUUUGAGCGUUCGUCAAGAUCCCGUCGAUUUUCGCCAAGAACAUUGUUGUUUCCAGGUAUGUAAGACUUCUCACAGUGUUGGAAUUGUUCUUCUUCAUCCCAUACAUCUAGUUAUCCACGAAAUCGUUGUAUCUAAAGGCUUCUUGAGUAGUUCUUGAUAUUUGUUCAAUUCCUUAACAAUGGAGGUUGCAAAUUCUUAUGCUUUGUGAAUCUUUAGUAAAAGUUGUGCUUCCCAAAGGGAUUGUGUUGAAUUCCUCAUGUAUUCGUAUUGGGCUUGAGAAUCAAGAAGAGUUAUAGGAGAAUUUUCCCCCAUUCUAACUGAGUUAGGACCCUAAAUUGAGUACAAAAAUUCUUCGACUUUUUGGGUAUCCGGGUGGGGCGGCACGCCACGCCACCAAGGUGCCAGGAAUUUUGGUAUGUAGUUUGGGGCCUGGAGCCCCACGCCAGCAGUGUGCCCCAAACUUUGGUUAGUAGUUUGGGGACUGACUCCCCAUUCCAGCAGUGAGCUAGGGUCGCCUAAACCUUUUUCUUUUCGUGCUUCAUUCCGAACGUGUUCCUUUGAAUCAUGACUACGUUCUCUUCUUUGUAUUAGCUCCUAAAGGCUCCAUUCAUCCUUGAGAGAUCAUAUGUGUCCUAAUCACAUGUCUUAAUUUACAUUCCAAACUAAGUGAGUUUAAGAGGAAAGCUCAAGAGGUGUUUUUGAGUCAUUUUGAGGAUUCUUUAAUCAACAAUGGUUUUGAACUAAGUCUUGAGAAAGUAAAUAUGAGAAAAAAGAAGAGUUGUAUUCAUGAUUGAAAAAGAGUAUAAGGGAAGUAAAUAUUCCCAAAUGUAACACUUUUACGAUUUAAAGAGAGAAACAUUGAUUUCUAAAUGAGUUUAUGAGUUCAGAGAUAUUUUAGAGUAUUGUUUUAUACAUUUGAGCAUGAGUUUAUAUAUUAUAGGGAAUAAUAUUGAGCAUCAAUAUGGGGAUGAGUUCAGACAACUCACAUUCCUCAUAAACCAUGUAGCCAACACGGUUUAUGAGCAUUUUUUGAGUAAUUACUUUAAAUUGAGAAAUAGUUAUGUUUUAUACAUUUGAGCAUGAGUUUAUAUAUUAUAGGGAAUAAUAUUGAGCACGGAUAUGGGGAUAAGUUCAGACAACUCACAAUCCUCAUAAAUCAUAUAGCCAACAGGGGUAAAUGGUUGUACGUACUUUUUAGAUGAUUCCUUAUUGAUUUUAAGCAUAGCUUAGUAGAUCCACUUAGUUGAGGUGUCCUAUACCUCAACAAGGUUUAUGACAGUGUGGGCGAGACACUGUAUAUCACAUAGCUCAUAGUGAUGGUUGCCGGUUAGAGAAUCUCCCAAAUAAGAGUAAAGGAUAACUUAUUGUAUUUUUAUACAUCAUUGAGUUUAUAUUUUCUGUUUUAUAAUGCUUUAAACAUUGCAUCUCUUGUUAUUGCUUUUAUAUUGGAGUUGAGUUGAGGUGAGUGUCUUCCAGUCUUAUUGGUUUAGUUAUCUAUGUUUUCAGUUUCCCCUUACAUGCUCGUACAUUCAAUGUACUGAUGUCAUUCGACCUGCAUCUUAUUAAUGAUGCAGAUACAGGUGUCCAGGGUCAUCAACAAGCGAUUCGUUGAUACCAUUUGCACUCCAACUAGCUUUGGUUAACCUUCUUGUUUUCUAGAGGGCUUCACACUUAUUUCCUUCUUUUGAUUAAGUUGUCGAGGGUUCUGUCCCGACAUCUAUCUUAGUAUUUAGAGGCUUCAUAGAUAGUUAGAGUUGAGGAGUCUCUCAUUAUUUUCCUUAUUGAUGUUUUGAGAUCUUGAGACAGUUACUUAUAUAUUAUUAAGUAUAUCCAGAUGUUCAUUUGAGUUAAGUUCUAUUUGAUACUUUUAAGUUUAAUUAUGCACUUGGAGUUCCCAUUUUGUGUGACAUCUUGGAAUUUGAAAUAACUAUGAAGAAGCUUAUAAUUGGAAAUAGUCAUUUUUGGAAAGAAUGCAAAUCUGGAAAUUUAGUCAAGUAUGGAAAAAAUUGAUUUUUUGGUCAACUUCAAAUGGUCAUAACUCCUAGAUCAGGAUUAUUUAGGUGUAUUUCCAGUUAUGUUUGGAAAGCUCUUGGAAUGAUCUUUCCAACGCCGCUGAGUUUGCACGAUUUCGUGUUCGUAUGAGUGAGUUAUGCCCUUUGGAAGUUGGGCUGUUGGGAUAAGGGAAGUUCAAUCCGAAUUUUUAAGGGGUAGUUUUGGUCUUUUCCCUACCCAUUUCUUUGGUUAUAUUAAGGGUCUAAGCUGAUUUUAUAUCAGUUUUCCCUUUAAAAAGUGAGAGUUAGGGUUGUGAGAGAAGAGAGAAAGAGAGGAGAAAAGAGAAGAAGAAGCAAGGUUCGUCAAGACUCGUCGUGGAUUUCAUCGGGGGUGAUCCCUACUAAGUUAUGUGAGAUCACAUAGUGUGGGGUUGGUUCAGUCCCCCACACGCCAAACUUGUUUCAAUUCCGAGAAAAAGAUUGGUUGUGUUUUGUUGAAUUCUUGUGGUUGUAUUGAAGUUUCUUGUUGAUUUGGUACAUGUUUCCGGGUGUAAUUUUGAGUUGAAUCUAUUGUAUGUUAAGGGUUUUAAUGAUUCUAAGUGUUUGGGGAAAGAACCUUUGAAGUUAACAGGGUUUAGAAUUGGAGAAAUGAAGAAGAAAAGUCGGGUUUUUUUUUUGAAAAAAAGGUGGGGUGUCGCGCCAGCCAGCAAGCCCCAAAAGGGACUCUAAAGUUCCCCCCUUGGGACGACGCGCCAGCCAGUGCGCCCCAACAUGCCCUCUGAAGUUUGAGGGCUGGCGCCCCAAGCCUCUCAGAGCGCCAGGGACACCAAUUCUCCCCAUUCGUUCCCCACUUUUUUUGUACGUGUUCCUUAGUAAUGUACCUAUGUUUUCUAGUUGAUUUCAACACUCUAAGGUACAUCUAAACAUCACAAACUCAUCCAUAAACAUGAGAUCAUGAACCUUGAAUCCAUAAUCCAAAUUCCAAGGAAAGUUAGGAUCAAAGUCAAGUGAAGUUAGAGUCAAGUCUAGAAGUUAAGAAGUAAGUCAAAGCAAGUUUUUAAAGUUUUCAAGAGUCUUUACUGAACGUUUAAACUUCGUUUUAAGGCUCAAGUUUCAAGCAAAGUAUAGAGUUGAGUUCAUUUCUCAAAAGUUAUUAGGGAACUAAGUAUUCCCAAAGAAGUUUAUAAAUGUUUUCUCAUUUGAGUAAGAAAGGAACUAUGUUUUCCAAGAGAGCCGGUGGGCUAGACUUUGAGUAAUUAUCUCAACUAAAGAAAGAGGUGUUUAAAAACACAUAUGAGCUAAAGUAUAUUUUGGGAGUAGUAUUGAGCACCGAAUUGGGGACGCGAGUUCAUCUUAAACUCAACUCUCCAUAAGAACCAUGUAGCCAACAUGGGAUUUAACGGGUCAUACUUUUAAGAUGAUCACGUAAGUUAAGCUAGUGGAUCCACUAAGUUCAGUAAGGUCUUAUAUGUAACACCCUAGAGAAUUUUUCGAACUAAGACUCGAGUCGUCCUUCAUGUGGAGUGAGAUUUUACCGAGGAAUAAAAUUUCUUGAGUGUUAAGUUAAGAUUCCUAGAUGUAGCACAUUGAGUUCCAAGAAGAGUUGAAUUGGAAAUAGUAAUUUUUGGAAAGAAUCUGGAAAAUUUGGCUAUGGAAAAAAAGUGAGUUUUUGGUCAACUUUGAGCAGUCNNNNNNNNNNNNNNNNNNNNNNNNNNNNNNNNNNNNNNNNNNNNNNNNNNNNNNNNNNNGUGUGGGUUGAUCCUUUCCCCCACUCACCAAGCUCAUGUUUAUAGUUUGAGAAAAGGUUGGAUUUGUUGUUGAAGUUGUUAGUUGUUGUUGAUGUUGUUAGUUGUUGUUGAUGUUGUUAGUUGUUGUUGAUGUUGUUAGUUGUUGUUGAUGUUGUUAGUUGUUGUUGAUGUUGUUAGUUGUUGUUGAUGUUGUUAGUUGUUGUUGAUGUUGUUAGUUGUUGUUGAUGUUGUUAGUUGUUGUUGAUGUUGUUAGUUGUUGUUGAUGUUGUUAGUUGUUGUUGAUGUUGUUAGUUGUUGUUGAUGUUGUUAGUUGUGUUGUUGAAGUUAUUGUUGGUUGUGGGACAGGAUUGGGCUGUGUAUUUGAGUUGUGAUCUAUUGUAUGUUGAGAGAUUGAUGAUCCUUAGUGUUGGUUGGUUCAUACCCCCACACACCAACUCGUUUUUAAUUCCAAGAGAAGAUUUAUUGGUUGUUGAAGUUGUAGUGGUGUUGUGUUGAAGUUCUUGCUGGUUUAGUACAGAUUUCUGGCUGUGAUUUUUGAGUUGAAUCUAUUGUAUAUUAAUGGUCUUUAUGAUUCUAUGUGUUGCUGCUGAAACCUUGAGGUUGAGAGAGUUUAGAAUUGGAAAGAAACAAGGGGAAAAAGUCAGAUUUUUGGGGGAAAAGGGCUGGGCUGUUGCGCCAGCCAGCGCACCCAAAAAAAAUGGGAUGCUGAACUUCCCCUUUGGGGCAGAACACCUGGCAGAACGUCCAGCAGUCCCUCUGAAGUUUGAGGGCUGGCGCCCCGCGCCUCUUAGAGCGCCAAGGACGCCAAUCCUUCCCGUUACCUUCAUUCCCCACUUUUUCAUACAUGUUCCUAGGUAUUAUACCUAUGUUUCCUAGUUGUUUCCAACACUCCAAGGUACUUCUAAAAGUCAAGAACUCAUCCGUAACAUGUGAUCAAACACCUUGAAUCCAAAAUUCCAAUUCAAGGAGAGUUAGAUAGAAAUCAAGUGAAGUUAGAUUCCAAGUCAAGUGAAGUUAGAUUUCAAGUUGAGUCAAGAGUUUCAAGUCAAGUCAAAAGUUAAGAGUUUCAAGUUGAGUCAAGAGUUUAAAGUUGAGUUCUUUUCUCAAAGUUAUUAGGGAACUAUGUAUUCCCAAAGAAGUUUUAAAGAAAUGUUUUACAUUUAAACAAGGUUGGAAACUAAGAUUUCCAAAGAGCCUUCGGGAUAGUUUUUUUUGAGUAAUUAUCUCAAUCAGCAGGAAGACAUAUGUUUUAAAAACAUANNNNNNNNNNNNNNNNNNNNNNNNNNNNNNNNNNNNNNNNNNNNNNNNNNNNNNNNNNNNNNNNNNNNNNNNNNNNNNNNNNNNNNNNNNNNNNNNNNNNNNNNNNNNNNNNNNNNNNNNNNNNNNNNNNNNNNNNNNNNNNNNNNNNNNNNNNNNNNNNNNNNNNNNNNNNNNNNNNNNNNNNNNNNNNNNNNNNNNNNNNNNNNNNNNNNNNNNNNNNNNNNNNNNNNNNNNNNNNNNNNNNNNNNNNNNNNNNNNNNNNNNNNNNNNNNNNNNNNNNNNNNNNNNNNNNNNNNNNNNNNNNNNNNNNNNNNNNNNNNNNNNNNNNNNNNNNNNNNNNNNNNNNNNNNNNNNNNNNNNNNNNNNNNNNNNNNNNNNNNNNNNNNNNNNNNNNNNNNNNNNNNNNNNNNNNNNNNNNNNNNNNNNNNNNNNNNNNNNNNNNNNNNNNNNNNNNNNNNNNNNNNNNNNNNNNNNNNNNNNNNNNNNNNNNNNNNNNNNNNNNNNNNNNNNNNNNNNNNNNNNNNNNNNNNNNNNNNNNNNNNNNNNNNNNNNNNNNNNNNNNNNNNNNNNNNNNNNNNNNNNNNNNNNNNNNNNNNNNNNNNNNNNNNNNNNNNNNNNNNNNNNNNNNNNNNNNNNNNNNNNNNNNNNNNNNNNNNNNNNNNNNNNNNNNNNNNNNNNNNNNNNNNNNNNNNNNNNNNNNNNNNNNNNNNNNNNNNNNNNNNNNNNNNNNNNNNNNNNNNNNNNNNNNNNNNNNNNNNNNNNNNNNNNNNNNNNNNNNNNNNNNNNNNNNNNNNNNNNNNNNNNNNNNNNNNNNNNNNNNNNNNNNNNNNNNNNNNNNNNNNNNNNNNNNNNNNNNNNNNNNNNNNNNNNNNNNNNNNNNNNNNNNNNNNNNNNNNNNNNNNNNNNNNNNNNNNNNNNNNNNNNNNNNNNNNNNNNNNNNNNNNNNNNNNNNNNNNNNNNNNNNNNNNNNNNNNNNNNNNNNNNNNNNNNNNNNNNNNNNNNNNNNNNNNNNNNNNNNNNNNNNNNNNNNNNNNNNNNNNNNNNNNNNNNNNNNNNNNNNNNNNNNNNNNNNNNNNNNNNNNNNNNNNNNNNNNNNNNNNNNNNNNNNNNNNNNNNNNNNNNNNNNNNNNNNNNNNNNNNNNNNNNNNNNNNNNNNNNNNNNNNNNNNNNNNNNNNNNNNNNNNNNNNNNNNNNNNNNNNNNNNNNNNNNNNNNNNNNNNNNNNNNNNNNNNNNNNNNNNNNNNNNNNNNNNNNNNNNNNNNNNNNNNNNNNNNNNNNNNNNNNNNNNNNNNNNNNNNNNNNNNNNNNNNNNNNNNNNNNNNNNNNNNNNNNNNNNNNNNNNNNNNNNGUUUUACAAGCUUUAUAUAUUGCAUGUGUCUUAUUGCUUUAUAUUGAGUUCAGCUAUUCAUGAGUUGAACAGAGCCAAGGUAAAUUCUCUUUUAUAUCCCUUUCAAGCUUAAGUUGUUGUUAAGUUGUCCUGCUCGCAUACUCGUACAUUCCAUGUACUGAUGCCAGUUAGCCUGCAUCUUAUUAUGAUGCAGACGCAGGUACCCAGGAUCAUCAUUCAGCACGCCGUUGAUCCAAUUGAGCAUUCCAGAGUCAGUGGUGAGCCUCCUUGCACUCCGGAGGACUCUGUUAUUUCGUUUUCCUAGUUUUGCUUUAUUAGGAUGUUGUGGGGUCUGUCCCAACAUCCAUCUCAGUGUUAUAGAGGUUUCAUAGACAGUCAGACAGUUAGUAUUGAGUCUCUCAUCUAUGUAUUUACAUAUUUUCUAUUUUUGAGACACGAGUUGCCUUUUUGGCCAGAUUUUAUCAUUUAAGUUGCUUUAUGAUCUUUUAUUGUAUUGAGUUGUUCCACUGAGUUUAGUAGCCAGGCCAAUGGUUCGCUUGGGGCCAGCGAUGGUCUUCGAGUGCCAGUCCCGCCCAGGAUGUAGGCUCGGGGCGUGACAUUUUGCAUGAUUAAGUCUUUCGUUAAGUAGUCAGUCAGGCCAAGGGUUCGCUUGAGGUCCAACGAUGGUUCUCAAGUGCCGACCACGUCUAGGGUGUAGGCUCGGAGCAUGACAAACUUGGUGUCAAAGCACAAAGUUGAAGAGUCCAAGGGUGUCUAUCAAGUCGUGUCUAUAGAGUCAUUUUUAUCUAUGUGAAGCGCGUCACAUCUAUGAUUAAGAGGCUACAACAUUUAGAAAACAUUUCACUUUCUUCUUACUCUUGUUCGUGCGAUAGAGUUCAACUUUAUAAAAGUUUCCUCUAACUCGUGCUUAUGCGUGUCUUUUCAGAUCAUGCCUCCAUGAAGAGUUGUUCGAGGAUGUCCUGCUAAAAAGAAGGUGAAUCCUCAAGGUCAAGAAAUUCCCAAUGCACCAGAAGUGCAACCACCUCAAGAGGAUGUCACCAAUACUGGAUUCAGGAAUGCUAUCCAGAUGUUGACUCAAGUGGUGGCAAAUCAGGCUAGUCAACAAAGAGCAGGUCAUUAGGAUGUGACUGGUACAUUCAUAAUCUGUGAGUUCUUGAGAAUGAAUCCCCAGAGUUCAUAGGGUCGAAUAUCACUAAGCAUAAAAAGAACUUUGUGGAAGAAUGUCACGCCCCGAGCUUACACCCUGGACGUGGCUGACACUCGAAGACCAUUGCUGGCCCCAAGCGAAUCCUUGGCCUAGCUUCUUAACUCAGUGAAAACCAAACUCAACAGAAAACUCCAUGCAACGAAAAGUCAUAAAACAACCCAACUGAUAAAAUCUGGCCAAAAAGGCAACUAGAGUCUCAAAAUAGAAUAUUUACAUAUAAACAUAGAUGAGAGACUCAACACUAACUGACUGACUGUCUAUGAAGCCUCUAUAAUACUGAGAUGGAUGUUAGGACAGACCCCACAACAUCCUAAUAAAACAAAACUAGGAAAAACGAAAUAACAGAGUCCUCCGGAAUGCAAGGAGGCUCACCACUGACUCUGGAAUGCUCAAUUGGAUCAACGGCGUGCUGAAUGAUGAUCCUGGGUACCUGCGUCUGCAUCAUAAUAAGAUGCAGGCUAACUGGCAUCAGUACAUGGAAUGUACGAGUAUGCGAGCAGGACAACUUAACAACAACUUAAGCUUGAAAGGGAUAUAAAAGAGAAUUUACCUUGGCUCUGUUCAACUCAUGAAUAGCUGAACUCAAUAUAAAGCAAUAAGACACAUGCAAUAUAUAAAGCUUGUAAAACUAUUUAAAACAUGACGUAAAAAUCAUAUUUAUAAUAUCAUGAAAAUACCAUUCUUCCUCUCAAAGUCUACUUGUGCAAUGCAUGAAUGAAGUCUCAUACCCCCAUCCAUACUAAGCAGAACCCCUCGAGGAAUCAUGCAAUUUCUAUUGUGGAGUUUCUCUAACCGACAACCACCACUACAUGCCUAAGUGGUGAUACAACAUUUACCUCACGUUGCCUAAGGACCAUCCUAUACCUUGCCGUGAUAUAUGACCUUACUUUAACUUUAACUUAGUGGAUCCACUAGCUUAACUUUACGUGAUCAUCUAAAAAGUAUGACCCAUCAAAUCCCAUGUUUGGCUACAUGGUUCUUAUGGAGAGUUGGUUAAUAUGAACUCGUGUCCCCAAUUCGGUGCUCAAGACUACUCCCAAAAAUACUUUAGCUCAUUAGUGUUUUAAACACAUCUUUCUUUAGUUGAGAUAAUUACUCAAAACUUAGCCCAAAGGCUCUUGAAAAACUACUUCUAAAAAGAACAUAUCAAAAACCAUAUUUUAAUAUGAUCAUUGAUGACUCGGGAAAGUCAUACUGCAUAAACAUUGAUGGUAUAUCUAGAGACCAUACUGUUUAACAUUGAUGACAUACUUGAUUUGUCAUACUAAUCAUGUUUUAGAAACUCUUUCGCAAAAACUCAUCUUUUCUCAAAAAGAGAUAGUACUCAAACUUCUCAAAACUCUUUUGGAAAUCUCAGUUUCCUCUCAACUUAAAUGUGAAAACACUUAUAAACUUCCUUGGGAAAUACUUAGUUCCCUAAUUACUUUUGAGAAAUGAACUCAACUCUUGACUCUUGACUUAACUCGAAACUCGAUACUCUUUACUCGACUUGAAACUAUAUGCUCUUUACUCUUUGCUAAACUUGAAACUAUAUCAACUUUAUACUCUUGGCUUAACUUGAAACUCUAUGCUCUUUACUCAACUUGAAACUUUAUGCUCUUUACUCACUUUAUACUCUUGGCUUAACUUGAAACUCUUUACUUAACUUGAAACUCGAGCCUUUAAAUGAAGUUAAAACGUUCAAUAAAGACUCUUGAAAAACUUAAAAGACUUGCUUUGACUUACCUCUUAACUUCUAAGCUUGGCUCUAACUUCACUUGACUUUGAUCCUAACUCGCCUUGAAUUGGAUUAUGGAUUCAAGGUAUAUGAUCACAUGUUUAUGGAUGAGUUCUUGACGUUUAGACGUACCUUGGAGUGUUGAAAACAACUAUAAAACAUAGGUACAUUACCAAGGAACAUGUAUGAAAAAGUGGGGAAUGAAUGGGAAGACUUGGUGUCCUUGGCGCUCUGAGAGGCGCGGGGCGCCAGCCUUCAGAGGGGCCUGCUGGGCGCUCUUCAAGGCGUGCCACCCCAAGAGGGAAACUUCAGAACCCCUGUUGGGGCGCGCUGGCUUGCGCGACGCCCCAACCCUUUCCCCCAAAAAUUCGACUCCUCUCCUUCAUUUUUCCAACUCUAAACCACCUUAACUUCAAAGUUUCCAGCCCCAAACACUUAGAAUCAUAAAACCCCUCAACAUACACUAGAUUCAACUCGAAAUCACAACCGGAAACAUACACCAAGGAACUUCAACAACACCACCAACAACUUCAACAAACACAACCAAUCUUUUUCUCGAAAUUAAAACGAGUUUGGCGUGUGGGGGAAAGAACCAACCCAACACUAUGAUAUCACAUACCUUAAUAGGGAUCACCCCCGACGAAAUCCACGAUGAUCUUGACGAAUCCUUGCUUCUUCUUCUCUUUCUCCUCUUCUUUCCUUUUUUCUCAAGAACCCUAACUCUCACUCUUUUAAAAAGGGAAAUCUGAUUUAAAAUCAGCCUAAACCCUUAAUAUAACCAAAAGAAAUGGCUAGGGAAAAGACCAAAAUACCCUUACAAAUUCGGACUAAACUGCCCUGCCAACACCCAACUUCCAAAGGGAAUAACUCACUCAUACGAACUCGGAAUCGCGCAAACUCGGCGGCGUUGGAAAGAUCACUCCAUGAACUUUCCAAAAAUAACUGGAAAUACACCUAACUCAUCCUUAGCUAGGAGUUAUGACUGCUCAAAGUUGACCAAAAACUCACUUUUUUUCCAUACUUAGCUAAAUUUUCCAGAUUUUUAAUUCUUUCCAAAAAUGACUAUUUCCAAUUCUAAGCUUUUUCAUAGCUAUUUCAAAUUGCUGGAUGUUUACAAAGAACUUCAGAAAGUGUUUGAGGUUAUGCGUGUUGCCGAUGCAGAGAGUGUGGAGUUAGCUUCAUACUAGCUCAAAGGUGUUGGUUAAAUAUUGUUUAAUCAAUUGAGAAGAGCAGGGCAGAGGGGGCACCACUUUUGAGUUGGGCGGUGUUCGAAGGUGCUUUUGUGGGGUGCGUCUUUCCCCUCGAUCUAAGGGAAGCAAAGGUAAGAGAAUUUCUAAAUCUGAAACAGGAGUCCAUGAGUGUCCAAGAGUACAACCUCAAGUUCACUCAGUUAUCCCCUAUGUUCCGGAGAAGACGAUUGAUAUGAGGAGCAGGAUGAGUUUAUUUGUGUCUGGGUUAUCCCGAUUGUCAAGUAAGGAAGGUAAGGCAAACAUAUGUUUUUUCCAUUUCAAAUAAGUCCCGAAACAUGAAAUAGAGAUUUUUCCUUUUGUUCUUGUGUUAUAGUCCAUGGAUAAAAACUGUUUUUCAUAAAUUGAUUUUAUUAUAUUAAAAUUGACAUUUAUAUUUGAAUUACAAAGAUAUUUCCAACUAAAUAUUCAUUUCUUUCAUUUGAUUUAUACCAAAAAAGAAAAACAAUUUUCUAUCAAGUUGGGGAAAAUUCAAAUUUGAAUGGGAUAAAAGUUGUUUUUUAGAAAACAAGAUUGACCAAACCGCCUUAUGGCAGUUUGAAUGCUUAGAUCUCAAAAAAAUACCCGACCUUUAAAAGAAUCGCUUGAAACGGACAUCCGAGGCAAACAUUAUGAAUAUUUGAAGUUUCACCAAUUUACAACUACUUAUUCUAGUUCCACUCCUUAACUUUGAAGACAUGUAAUUGGAUCCCUAAAAAUCAGACCAAAAAAUUAUAUUUCGAAAGAUGGUUUUACGAGUCAAGUCCACUGGUUGUAAAUAGUGUUCGUAGUUGUUAGACAAAAAUAACUGGACUAGGCUAGUCUUUUGGUAAAAUAGUUAUAAUGCUAACUUUAAAUGAUACAAACUUAGUGGUGUUAGAAAGAAAACUCAUAGACCUAUAGUAUGAUAUGUCAUGGGCCACCUAAUUCAUUACGUACUAAAAGAUAUGGUAGUAUAUAUUGUUUGCCUUCAGGAGAGACACUUAUUGAUUACGGGCAGUUUUUUGACCAACUAUUUACUUGGGCAUUCGCGAGGACCUAAAAAAUUGUGUGUGUUAGUUCAGAGGGGUAAAAGUAGGUAUUUUCAAGUUCAAACGAGGCACAAACCAUGAAAUAAGGAUUUUUCUAUUUUUCGUGUGUUAUAAUCCAUGAAUUUUUGUAGGUGUCCGUGAUGAUCUAUUAAAUGGUGUGCGUUGGUUCAGAGGGACAAACAUAGAUUUUUUCAAGUUCAAAUGAGGCCCGAACUUGAAAAUAGAGAUUUUUCCAUUUUUCAUGUAUUGUAGUCCAUGAAUUUUUUGUGGUAUGUGCACUCGAUGAUUUUUUGGCUGAUAUUUUCCAUGGGCGUCUGUAACGACCUAUUAAAUAGCGCGCGUUGGUUUUGAGGGGCAAACAUAAGUUUUUCUUUAAGUUCAAAUGAGACCCGAACUAGGUAAUAGGGAUUUCUUUUUCAUUUUUCAUGUGUUAUAGUCCAUAGAUUUUAUGUUAUAUGUGCGCCCGACAUUUUUUUGGCCAAAUUUUUUCGUGGACAUCCCUGACAACCUAUUAAAUGGCGUGUGUUAGUUCGAAAGGGAAAACAUUGAGUCUUUCCAUUUCAAAUGAGUCCCGAAACAAGAAAUAAGGAUUAUUUAGUUUUUCGUGUGUUAUAGUCCAUGGAUUUUAUUUGAUAUGUCGCAUAGUGGUUUUCUGGGCGAAAUUUCUGUGCGGGUCCGUGACGACCUAUUUAAUCUCUUUUUUUUUUUUUUUGUAAAAAGUGUUGCAUAACAAGGUGGUUGUGGAUCUAAAUCUCACAUUUUACGAGUCCAGUCUACUUGUUGUAACUAGUGUUCAUAGUUGUGAGACACAAUAAACCCGACUAGUCUAGUCUUUGUAAAACGGUCAUAACACUUUACUAUAAAUUUUAAAUUAUACAUUUGGUGGAGUUAGAAAGAAAACUCACAGACCUACAAUUCAGUAUGUCAUGGACCACCUUAUACAUUACGUAUUAAAAUAUAUGGUGGUAUAUAUUGUUUGCCUUCGGUGAGACAUUCAUUGAUUAUGGGCAGAUUUUUGGCCAAGAUUUUUCGUGGGCAUUCGUGACGACCUAAUAAAUUGAGCGUUAGUUUGAAGGGGUAAAUGUAGGUAUUUUCAAGUUCAAACGAGGCACAGAUCAUGAUAUAUGGAUUUUUGCAUUUUUCGUGUGUUAUAAUUCAUGGAUUUUAAGUAAUAUGUGCGCCUGGCGAUAUUUUGUUUGAAAUUUUCCAUGAGCAUCCGUUAUGACCUAUUAAUGGCACGCUUUAGUUCUGAUGGGCAAAUGUAGGGUUUUUUCAAGUUUAAACUUGGCCUGGAAUGGGAAAUUAUGAUUUUUUUUCAUUUUUCUUGUGUUAUAAUCCAUGGAUUUUGUGUGAUAUGUGUGCCAAAUGGUUCUUUGGCCAAAAUUUUCAUGGGCAUCCAUGAAAACCUAUUAAAUGGUGUGCGUUGGUUCAGAGGGUCAAACAUAGGUAUUUCCGAGUUCAAAUGAGGCCUGCACAGGGGAAUAGAGUGUUUUCUAUUUUUCAUGUAUUAUAGUCCAUGGAUUUUGAAUGAUAUGUGCGCCCAAUGGUCUUUUGGCCAAAAAUUUUCAUAGGUGUCCAUGAUGACCUACUAAAUGGUGCGUGUUUGUUCGGAGGGGCAAAAUUAGGUUUUUCAAGUUCAAACAAGGCUCGAACUGGGAAAUAAGGAUUUGUCCAUUUUUCUUGUUUUAUAGUCCAUGUAUUUUGUGUGAUAUGUGCGCCCGACGGUUUUUUGGCAUAAAUUUUUCGUGGACAUUCAUGACAACCUAUUAAAUGGCACGCGUUGGUUCGAUGGGGGGCAAAUUUAGGUUUAUUUAAGUUCAAACGAGGUCCAAAAUGGGAAAUAGUGAUUUUUAAAAAUUUUCGUGUGUUAUAGUCCAUGAAUUUUAAGAGAUAUGUGCUCCUGGUGAUUUUUGGCUGAAAUUUUCCAUGAGCAUUUGUGACGACCUACUUAAUGGCGUGCGUUGGUUUGAGGGGCAAACACUUGUUUUUUUCCAUUUCAAAUAAGUCCCGAAACAAGAAAUAGAGAUUUUUCCAUUUUGCUUGUGUUAUAGUCCAUGGAUAAAAAACUGUUUUUUUUUCAUAAAAAUUGAUUUUAUUAUAUGAAAAUUGACAUUUAUAUUUGAAUUACAAAAAUAUUUCCAACUAAAAAUCCAUUUCUUUCAUUUGAUUUAUACCAAAAAAGAAAAAAACAAUUUUCUAUCAAAUUGGAGAAAAUUCAAAUUUGAAUGGGAUAAAAGUUGUUUUUCAAAAAAGUUGACAUAGUGAUACUGAUACAUAACAAGUGACAAAGGUUUGCCUUUAGAGUUAUGUUAAAUGCUAACUCAUGAUCACAAGUGAUAAUAAAGAUAUUUACAAAGUUGAAACAGAAUAUGAAGUAUGUAUAUUUAAUUUGAUCCACUAUUAUUGUGGGAAGUUUCAGAUAAGAGUAUCAAACUUAUUCAAUUAGUUCUAAUCAAAUAAUUAGGUGACAAGAAAAAAAAUGGGCAUGUUGAUGUUCCUUUAUUUUUAGUAUUGAUAUAAAUUAAUUGAAAACAGUAUGAUUGAAAAUGGUUGGUUGAUUUGCAAUUAUAGUUUUCUUCUUCAAACUAAUACAACUUUUAUUUGAAAACAACUGGGCAUAGUAAUGAUAACUUUUUAUCGUGACAUAGGUUUAUAUUUUCGUAUCAUAAUAUCUCUGAUUUUAGUUUGUAAAUAACUGGGCAUAAAUUUGUUAAGUUGGUCAAUAGCUGAGGAUAACUAUUCACUAGAUUUACUUUAAAAAGUCCCACAUUGGGGGUAAAGACAUUUCCUAACAAAGGUGACUAUGUACUACUAGGGCUCGAAUGCAAGAUCUUUAGUUAAGAAUCAAAAAGUAUUUACCACUGUAUCACAACCCUCGUUGGUAGUAUACCCUGUUCGUGUAGAAGUCAUCCAUAGUAAUAGUGAUAGUUUCCCUUUUCAUUUUAGAAACUACUAUUUUCUUAAGAAAAAUGAUGUUUGGAGAAUACAUUUGGUCACUGUUCUUCAUCAGAUUCAGGCCAGUUGGAACAUAAAAUUUGGCAUUAAAACCUUCCAAAACAUUAAUUUAAACACUCAAAAUACUCUUCAGCUUCUUCUUCAUACACAUCUGAUAUAUGGACUUUUGAAGUCUGUCCUCUCCUGAGAAAUCUACUAUCUGUUUCUUAAUCUCAAUGGCUGAAUCUCCAACCUCACGCUUAUUAUCAGUUAAAUGAAUGGACUUUAAAGUGUGUAUAUGCAUAAAUGCACAAGGGAUCUCCCUAAGAUGGUCACAAUGAUUUAGUAUUAAUUCCUCAAGUUUGGGAAAAGUUUCCGUAUCAACUUGCCAUUCUGAAAGGUUGACCAUUAGCAAAGACAGAGUCUUAAGGCUUUGAUAGAUGUCCUCACUUGCGUCUCAUUCAUCCUCCACGAAUUUACAGUCCAUAAACUCUAGAAUUUCAAGCUCAGGCAAUGCCGCGAUUGCUGACAACAAAUCAGGUCUCAGCAGGGGAAAACUAUACAACCAUAACUCUUUCAACCUGUUAGGGAAGUAAUAUGCAUUGGGUACUUGUCGGAUUUGGUUUGUUAACUUGGGAUAUUCAAAGUAUCUGACAUCUUUGUAUAGGAUAAUCUGUAAAGAUGUUGCACUGAAGGUGCUAAAUUUUUGGGAACUUCUCCAGAACAUCACUCGUGGCUUCAUGAUCUGUAAUAACAACAUUGGAUAAAGUUGUCAAGUGUUCUAACUUUGGUUGAUGCAUAAUAUUGUCUGCAUCUAUUUCCUCUUCCUCUUUCUCUUCAAAGAAAGAACAAAAGUAAAUUUCCACAUGUUUCAGCUUUGACAGUUUUAAUAUUCUGGGCAGUAAUACCAUGGUGGAAUAUCUCGUUUUGAUGAAUAGAGUUUCUAGAUUCUGGAGGUUCAACCGCGACAGUGGGAUAACUUUAACAUCUCGAGUCUACGACACUGUCUCAGCAUGAAAGAUUAUUUUCUCUUGUUCGAAAAACCAUGUACUUUGUUGUACAUAUGCAGGUGAAUCAACUAACGAUGACCAACCAUUGAUUUAACACUCCCUAUUGUUUAACCAAAGUCUAAAUCCAUACCCGACUUAUCUCCAAGCAACAUGAAGCCUCCAAAUUUCAAUCUUGAAUCAGAAGACGAGUCCGAGGUCAACAACUGCCAAGUGGGUUCAAACAUUUCCGUCCAAGAAAUUCAUCCUGGUCCUUCCCUUAAUCUUCAGCAGGAAUCAGUUCCUGUUACUCUUGACUUGAUUCUUGGCUUCAACAGCAGUGACUCCGAGUGCUCGUGGCUUCAUGAUCUGUAAUAACAACAUUGGAUAAAGUUGUCAAGUGUUCUAACUUUGGUUGAUGCAUAAUAUUGUCUGCAUCUAUUUCCUCUUCCUCUUUCUCUUCAAAGAAAGAACAAAAGUAAAUUUCCACAUGUUUCAGCUUUGACAGUUUUAAUAUUCUGGGCAGUAAUACCAUGGUGGAAUAUCUCGUUUUGAUGAAUAGAGUUUCUAGAUUCUGGAGGUUCAACCGCGACAGUGGGAUAACUUUAACAUCUCGAGUCUACGACACUGUCUCAGCAUGAAAGAUUAUUUUCUCUUGUUCGAAAAACCAUGUACUUUGUUGUACAUAUGCAGGUGAAUCAACUAACGAUGACCAACCAUUGAUUUAACACUCCCUAUUGUUUAACCAAAGUCUAAAUCCAUACCCGACUUAUCUCCAAGCAACAUGAAGCCUCCAAAUUUCAAUCUUGAAUCAGAAGACGAGUCCGAGGUCAACAACUGCCAAGUGGGUUCAAACAUUUCCGUCCAAGAAAUUCAUCCUGGUCCUUCCCUUAAUCUUCAGCAGGAAUCAGUUCCUGUUACUCUUGACUUGAUUCUUGGCUUCAACAGCUGUGACUCCGAGUUGAAAGCCAACGGAGAGGCGAGUGACGAAGUAGUACCCCAUCCUCCAACGGCAGCACUAUCCAGAGUUUUCUCGUGCAAUUUCUGCAGGCGCAAGUUUUACAGCUCACAGGCGUUGGGCGGACAUCAGAACGCACAUAAGAGGGAGAGGACUUUAGCUAAGAGAGCAAUGCGGAUGGGAAUGUUAUCGGACAGGUACGCUAGCUUAGCAUCAUUGCCCCUUCACGGGACUGCAUUUCGAUCUCUUGGCGUUGAAGCUCAUGCUUCCGCACACCAACGCAUCUCGCACCAAGAAACGCCUAUUCAUGCAGUUAGAAGCGGGGCUAGAUUUGAACAAGGCUAUUUCGGGAUGCCAGUAUUCGUGGAGGAUGAUGAAGUGGAGGUGUUCUGGCCCGGUAGCUUCAGGCAAAUAGAGGGAAUUGGUGGCAAUAUGGGGUAUAAUUCAGGGCAAAGUUCAAGCAUAAAUUUUGUAGCUGUAGCUCCUCAAACUAGGACAGAUCAAACAUUGCCUGAUCUUAAUUUGAAACUCUGAUGGUCUUUUUUUUUUUGCAUUCUAUUCUACUUUUUUGUAUCAGAAUUUUCAUAAUUGUGGUAUUACAUUAGUGCUCUAUUUGUACAGGAGGUGAAUAUUUGAGACUGUCUUGAGCUUUCAAUUUUGAAUCUUUUUCAUUCCCAAAUUUGUUUAGUUGACCAACUUAUUGUACAACUAGUCUAUGGGAACGUGCGUUGCACGUUUGUUCCUUAACACUAUUAUAGAACUUUGAUAUAUUUAAAAAAAAUUAAGUUAUGAAAUAGCAAAUUUUAAAAUUAACAAUAUUAAUUUUAUAUUUGUAUUUUAUUCAUUAAAUAAAUUACAUAAAAGUGGGACAUGACAUUUUUCAUGAAACAAAAAAUAUGUGAAGUCAAUUAUGACAGUAUAGUCUCUAAUGGUCUAAAUAUGUCGAUGAAUUGUUGAAUUGAAAAUUAAUAAAUUCAUGUAAAUGUCUCUAACGAAAUUUUCAAAUACAUGAACAUACGAACAAAUACCAAAAACGUAAAAUAAUAAUACUGAAAUUUUAUCAUAGUAACAAAAAUAAUAUGUAUAUCCAUUCACUAAAAUUACACGCUAGCUCUAAAUUUUAUAAUCCAAAUGGGUUGACAAACAAAGUUAGUUAAUUGUAUGACAAAAACAAGAGUCAUACACUUGAUCUUGAUAUAAUGUAAGAUCUCCAAAAAUGGUCAAAAAUACAAAAGCACAUAUUAUAUUAUAUAUAUGAAUAAAGCCUUUUAAUUCACAUUGCUUUACACUAAUGAAGACGAUGAUAAUUUAUUAUCGAUUUAUCAUGUUUACAAAUUGGUAGCUCAUAAAUCAAACAAUAAUACAUAAUUCGAUUCAGAAAAAAUCCAAAAGAAAAGAAAAAUAUAUAAAGUCUAAUUAACUUGACACUCACAAUACCCUUCAAUUGUUAAAACGUGUAGUGUGGUGAUAUUGUAAUUAAUAGAGGCUGCACAUAAAACUAAAAACAAAUAAAUACCACCUUAAUUGUUAAAAAACAUGACUUUUGAGCUUCUUGAAACCAAAUUAAUAAAGAAAUAAAGAAAAUAUAGUAGAAAAAUAUAAAGAGACAUUCAGGGUUCUUUUAAAAUAUUAAAUAAAUAAUAGAAAAUUAAUAACAAAAGAGAAAGGAAAAAUUUAAUGCACAGCAAAAUAGAGUUUAACACCAUUUUAUUCCUCUAGACGCAUUGAGUCGUUGAGAUAUACGACGUUUCAGUCAUCAUUAAAAAUUGAAAUGAAAACACUUAAAAGCACAUUUAAUAUUAUAAUUAAAAAUUUAAAUGAUUGUUUUGAAGUUCUUUUACUCUAGCAUAAUAUAUUGUAUAUGUUCACAAUAAGUAUUACACGGAAAAGUAACUCCGGAAAAUUGAAAAGAAUACAAUAAAUUUAGUUUCUCAACUAAAUAAUUCAUUCUAAAUAUUUAAUGUUCUAAUAAUAUUUAUUAUAAUAUAAGUUUAUUUUUUUAAUAAAUAAAAUAUUUAUAGAAAUAAUUUUAGCUUGAGGGUAAAAUGGUAAUCCAACUUUGAUUAUUGAAGCUUCCCACUUAUAAUAAUAUAUGAUAUGAUUAUAUGAUGUUAUUCAAAAUACAGAUUUGGGACUGUGGUGAUUUUUUUUAGUUUAUGCAAACCUUUAACUUCCUCCCAUUUUAACCAUGUUUAUUAUUAUUCGCUAGAUUCACUUCAGAAAGUCUCACAUUGAGGGUAAGACAUACAUUCCCUAACAAAAGGGACUCUAUAUCCGGUAUGGCUUAAACGCGAGACCUCUAAUUAAGGAUCAAAGAGUACUACCACUCCACCACAAUGCUUGUUGGCAGUAGUCAUCUAAUUAUCCAUAUUCUUAAAAAAAAAAGAGGGAUAGUUGCCUUUUUCAUGUUCUUGAAAAAAAAAAGGGGGAAUUGUCCAUUGAUGACUGUUCUUCAUCAGAUUCAGGCCAAAUGGGACAUAUAUUGAUUCACAAUUUGGCAUUGAAACCUUCCAAUUGAAAACCUAGAAUCUUAUAUGAGAGAUUACAGACAAAAUAAGAUUCAUAACUAACAAAAAACAGGAAAGAAAACACACAACACAUUAAAUUAAAAUAUAUCCAAAACCAGCAAUGAAAAAAACCAGUAACAAGUUUGUUUAUUGGAAGCAGUAAUCAGAUGGAAGCGUCGCGUUGUUUCUUUCUUCAUUGUUGUUCUAUCCUUGAGUCCUUUGGGCAUUCUGCAAAUCAUAUAUAGUAUGAUUUAAAUUAAAUGAAGUAUAUAUGUAUGUAGGGGUAACGAUAUAAGAAUUAAUUACCUCUUCUUCAGCCUCUUCUUCAGCUUCUUCUUCAGCCUCUUCUUCAUCUUCUUCUUCAGUCUCUUCUUCAUCUUCUUCUUCAUACAAAUCUUCUAUAUGGACUUGAGGUCUGUCCUCUCCUGUGAAAGCUUCUACUUGUUUCUUAAUCUCAAUGGCUGAAUCUCCAAUCUCACGCUUAUUAUUAGUUAAAUGAAUGGACUUUAAAGUGUGUAUAUCUAUAAAUGCAGAAGGGAUCUCCGUAAGCUUGUAACAAUGUUCUAGUCUUAAUUCCUCAAGCUUGGGAAAGGUUUCCAUAUCAAAUUGCCAUUCCGAAUGAUUGACCACUUGCAUAGACAAAGUUUUAAGACUUUGAUAGAUAUCCUCACUUGCGUCCCACUUGUCCUCUAUGAAUUCACAGUCAAUAAACUCCAGAAUUUCAAGCUCAGGCAAUGCCGUGAUUAAUGACAACAAAUCAGGUCUCAGGGGAAAACCAUACAACCGUAACUCUUUCAAGCUGUUAGGGAAGUAAUAUUCAUUGGGUUGUCGGAUUUUGUCUGCUAACUCGGGAUAGCCAACAUUCUCGUACAUUGCAAUGAGUGAUUCAAGUUUAUCAAGGACAUCAAACUUGGGAAACCAAUCACCCUGUGUAAGAGGAUCUAUCGGUUCCUUGAUGUGGCAAUGAAGGUGCUGAAGAUUUGGGAACUUCUCUAGAACAUCACUCGNNNNNNNNNNNNNNNNNNNNNNNNNNNNNNNNNNNNNNNNNNNNNNNNNNNNNGUUGUCAAGUCUUCUAACUUUGAAUUCUCAGCUUCCAAUAUUCUACUUGGUUGAUGCAUAAUAUUGUCCACAUCCAUUACAUCCUCUUCAAAGAAAGAACUCAUGUCAAUUUUCACAUGUUUCAGCUUUGACAGUUUGAAUAUUAUAGGAAGUAAUACCAUGGUGGAAUAUCCAGUAUUGAUCAACAAAGUUUCCAGAUUCUGGAGGUUCAACCACGACAAUGGGAUAGCUUUUACAUCUUGAGUUCGAAUCCUUAAGAACCUCAAAUGAAAUAGGGAGCCUAUUUCUUCCAUUAAAGAAUCUUCCAGAAUAAUGCUAUCCAGUUGCAACACUCUAGCAAGUCCAAAAGGUCUUGUAUGGCAGAUAUAGCUGGAGUUAAGAGGCCAACCGCUAACUUUCAAAGAUAUGAGAUGCUUACUACCAGCUGAACACUUAUUAGAAUUGAACAAAACACAUUUUUUGUGGAGUUGACUGUCGUAAAUAUGAAUGGUUAGACGAUGAUGUAGGAAAUCCGAAGCAUGAAAUCGAGCACCUGGAUUCAUUAACUUGAAAAACUUUGCCUUUAUAGAUUUUUCUAAACAAAAAUCGUGCACAACAUCAUGCACAUAGCAAACCUUGAUCCUAACAGAAAAAGGCAUACUCUUCUUGGAGGGGAUUUGAUCCACCAUUAUCAGGCUACUGGAAACUAAAGCAUCCAAGUCACUUUGAGUUGCUUCCUCUAAACUACUCUUGGAUCGGAUAUCAUGAUCCACAAACCCUUCGGCCAUCCACAACUGCUUUAACUUAGAGACCGGAGUUCGUUUGUUCUUUUGUGAUCUUGCGAAGUAAAGCAACAAUGGCUUCAGGUGGCAUGGUAAAUGGUCAUAACUUAAUUGCAUAACCUUCAUCAUCUGCAAAUUGAUGUUGGCAGAAAUAAAGGAAUCCAGAUUAUCUUGAAUCUUAAGCCACAAAUAAAACAAUAGCCAAGGGAAGUCCUUUACAUUUCUUAACUAUUUUGUGUCCAACAUCUGACAGUUCAGCAGGGCAGCUUCCUUCUCCAAAUACCCUUUUUUCGAAUAGUUCCCAACUUUUUUCAAGUGUUAAAACUUGGAGGUCGAUAGGAUCAGUACUAUAUUUAACUUGCGAACCAACCUUACUAAUUCGGCUAGUUAAAAUAACUCUAUCUCCUCUCUUAAGCUUUGGAAAACAUGCUAUUAACAUCUCCCCUGUUGCAAUAUCCCACACAUCAUCCAAGACGAUGAGGUACCUUCUAUCGUACAGUGCUCUUCGUAGCUUUUCAGCAAGGUCAUCCUCACUUCCUUUUACUUCAGAGCCAGUAACUUGCUGAAGAAUCUCCCGCAACACCUUUGACUUGUUAUACUUUUGGGAAACAGUGCACCAAGCACGAAUCUUGAAAUGACUAGCAACUAAUGUAUUGUUAUACACUUUGUUGGCCAGAGUAGUUUUACCGAGUCCUAGCAUUCCGACAAUCGAAAUGACAUCAAGCUCAGAUUCAUGUUGAUUAAGGAGUUGGCCAAUGAUCUUGGAUUCUUCUUUCUCAUGACCUACUGUUACCUCAACAAAAGGUGAUGAGGUUGACUCAAUUGGCUCGACGAAAGACUUUGCCUCAAGGGGGUCAUCCCCAUUCUUAUCCUCCAGCUGUAAACUGGUGACUUGUGUCACGAUAAGCUUGAUCUUAUUAGUGACACUCGGAAGUGAGAAGAUGAGAUGCGAGAGAGCUUUAUCUCUGACAAGAAUGGAAUUAAUGACAUGUUCUGCCUCAUAUGCCACAUCUAAAACACGUACCUAACAAUCUUUAACUACUCCACUAGUGUCAUCCAAUGUUUGCCUGGCUUUCCCAAAAGAUGAUCUUAGGAAUUCAAGGCAUUCUUUCACCAUCCCUAUUUCGUUCUUUAUCAGAGAAACUGAAUAAGCAUUGGAAAUGAGUAAAUCAUUUAAAUGUCUGAAUAGAAUAUUUAUGAAGAAGAAACCAUCAUCUAUAGGAAAGGAAAGUUGAGAUGACUCUGGGGCUUUCAAGAAAAUCUGUCUGAUAUCUCCCUUCAUUCGUUCAAUUUCUUGCAAAAAGUCUGGAGCUGAAAAAUCCGCUAUGUUGAUAUUAUUCUCUGAGCUCUCCUCCAACAGCUUGCUCACCAGAAUCUUAGUUGCGCGGACUCUUCACUUUUGAUGCCGCACCCGUCUCGGAUUCUCCAAAAAUACACUACUUUUGGCGAAUCCGACACGCACCCGUUGGCACUUUUGAAGAGUCCGAGCAACAUAGACCAGAAUAGACAUCUUCCUUGUAAGUACUCUGAUAUGUGCCAAUAUAUCGUUCAAUUUGCCAGAAUGGAUAAAGCUCUUUGGUAUAUCGGUUAGAAAGAUCUAGGAACUCCAUCAUGAGAUUAAUGCUUUGAGUUGGAGUGUAAUUGACAGUUACUACGCCUGCCAUGCGUCCUUGGAGAAGAAUAAGAUAAUUUUGAAGAAUCCUUGGAGAUGCUUUUAGGAUUUGCUUAACAAAGAUUUGUAGUUCAGUUGACCUUGAUUCUUUCAUGAGCUUAAAAGUACAAAUGUAUUGAACCUCCAGCUCAAGAGGGAUUAUGUCGAUGAGUAGAGAAGUGAUCACGGAAGAGCAUUGAGAGACGUCGUCACACACCUUGUAACCAUCAUAAUAUCGUUUAUACUUUCCAGUCCAAAGAUCAAAACAGAAUUGUGUUACUCUAUCAGCAGUCAAUUGGAGCCAAGGGUAGAGAUAUUCAGUGUUUGCUUUGUUGGCCUUGAGGAUAGGAUAGAAAUCUCUCAGAUGUCGGAAUACUUGCUGAAGAAUAUUGAAGACACUCAUCAAGGGGAGAAGCAAAUUAGCACGAUAGUUUGGUAGAUCAUGAAGGUGUCUGAAGAGAUAUUGAAACAUUUUCUCUUCAGUCGUCAUGGCUACAUAAUAAUCAUUCUCCAAACUCCAAAAAUAGCUUUUCAUCUCUUCCAGCAGCAGAGGGGCAAGACACUCCAUGUCGCAUUUCGCUAGGAUUAAUUUGCCAUCUUCAUCUUGAUAGAAAAGUGAGCAACUAAGUUCAUAGAACUUGUCUAUUCUCUCGGACAUGCUGGAAUAAAAAUAAUCCAAACUCGAAUUCCCAAACAGAACAAAUGUUCUUAGGAAUCUCAAUUCCAUUCUUAGCUUUACAAUGUCAUCCAAUUUUGAUGAAGCAAUUAUUUUUUCAUUCUUUAUUUUCUUCAAGCCAUUGAAGAAAUCGUCAAUAUGAUUGCUGAUUCUUCUUCUUUCUUCCUCAAAUGGAAGCUGCUAAAUUAAAAAACAAUCAUUAGUUGGGAUAUAUUAGUGACAUAUUUUGUUAUUUAGUUACACAAGUGUAGUAAGUAGUUUUUUGAAAUGAUGUAAUAUAAAGUUUGAGUAAUAUCUCAGAUGGUCACUCAACUAUGCAGUCUUCUCUCAGAAAAUCACUCAACUUUCAAUUUUAACUCAAAAGUUACUCAACUAUGCACUUUUCUCUCAAAAAGUCACUCAACUUUGAAUUUUAACUCAAAAGUUACUCAACUAUCCACUCUUCUCUCAGAAUGUCACUCAAUUUAUUUAAUUGUUUAUUAAAUGAAAAUUUGCUGAUAUUAAAUUUUUAUAUAACAAACCAAAAUUUUAAAAAAUAAAAAUACCAUUUAAACCAUUUAAUGAUCCGCUCCACUUGACCCGACCUGCUAAAAUAUAAUAUUGACCCAUUUGAUGGGGUGAUACAGACUGUUAUGAUGUGUUACAUAGGCAUUUGAUGGUGAGUAGAGGUUUUGAGCUUAUAGUAUACCAAAUUAUUAGAGUGACCAACAAUUUCUCAAGUGUUGGUAUGAUGCAUAUGAUAGUUUUGAAUAUUAGUUGAAAUUUGGUAUCUGAAAGUUUACGUGGAGUUGACAUUGUACGUGAUUCAAUAACUUUGUAUUGAUGGGAAAAUACUUUUAGAUCUGAAAUCAGUGCUAUCAGUCUUGGGUGUGACCCGUAUCUGUCAUAAAAUAUUUAUUUAGAUAGAGAGAGCGCCAUAGUUUGGAAAUUUUGGAGGCGAUAAUGUGUUUGUUAAGAAGACUUUUAUACUAGUGACGAUUUGAGAGUAAGGUAAAUGGCGGGUGUGAUUAUGAUGUUUGUUUAGUAUUAACAGUGUUGACUUUAGUGGAGUACUGUGAGAAGUAUGUGGGAUUCCAUGAAUCGAGUAUGUGUACGAUUGUAAUGAGGACUAGACUAAUUGAUUGUGGGUGGCUAAAAAUCAAGGGGAUAGAGUUAGAUGGAUGUAAAUGUUUGAUAUGGACAUUAUGGAAAGAGUAUCUUGUGUUAUUCGACUUUGGUUCUGUACGUUAUUAUGUGACCACCCUUGUAACAUCCGACAAUUUGAAAUAACUAUGAAGAGGCUUAGAAUUGGAAUUAAUUAUUUUUGGAAGGAAUUCAAAAAUCUGGAAAUUUGGCUAAGUAUGGGAAAAAGUGAGUUUUUGGCCAACUUCGAACAGUCAUAACUCCUAGAUCAGGAUGAUUUAUGUGUAGUUCCAGUUAUUUUUACGAAGCUCAUUGAAUGAUCUUUCCAACGCCACCGAGUUUGCUCGAUUCCGAGUUCGUAUGAGUGAGUUAUGCCCUUUGGAAGUUGGGUAGUUGGUAGGGAAGUCCGUCCGGAAAUUUUAAGGGUAUUUUGGUCUUUUCCCUAACCAAUUAUUUUGGUUAUAUUAGUUUGUUAGACUGAUUUUAUAUCAGUUCUUCUUCUUUUUUUAAGAGUGAGAGUGAGGGUUUGUGAGUGAAGAGGAGAAGAAGAGGAGAAAGAGAAGAUCAAGCAAGGUUUCGUCAAAGAUCGUCGUGGAUAUCGUCGGGGGUGAUCCCUACUAGGUAUGUGAGUUCAUAGUGUUGGGUUGGUUCUUUCCCCCACACCCCAAACUCGUUUUAUUUCCGAGAAAAGAAUGGUUGUGUUGUUGAAGUUGUUGGGUUGUGUUGUUGAUGUUGUUGAUGUUGUUGAAGUUGUUGGUUGUGUUGUUGAUGUUGUUGAUUGUGUUGUUGAAGUUCCUUGUUGAUUUGGGACAUGUUUCCGGUUGUGUUUUUGAGUUGAAAUCUAUUGUGUGUUGAGGGGUUUAUGAUUCUAGGUGUUUGGUGUGGGUGAUCCCUACUAGGUAUGUGAGUUCAUAGUGUUGGGUUGGUUCUUUCCCCCACACCCCAAACUCGUUUUAUUUCCGAGAAAAGAAUGGUUGUGUUGUUGAAGUUGUUGGGUUGUGUUGUUGAUGUUGUUGAUUGUGUUGUUGAAGUUCCUUGUUGAUUUGGGACAUGUUUCCGGUUGUGUUUUUGAGUUGAAAUCUAUUGUGUGUUGAGGGGUUUAUGAUUCUAGGUGUUUGGUGUGGGAACCUUUGAAGUUUAGAAGGUUUAGAGUUGGAGAAAAGAAGGAGAAAAGUCGAGUUUUCGGGGAAAAGGGGNNNNNNNNNNNNNNNNNNNNNNNNNNUCGGGGAAAAGGGGUGGCGCGUCGCGCCUUGCAGAGCGCCCCAAGAAGUUCUCUGAACUUCUCCCCUUGGGGUGCCGUGCCUAGCAGUGCGCCCCAGCUGCCCUUCUGAGCUUUGUGGUCUGGCGCCCCGUGCCUCUCAGAGCGCCAAGGACGCCAACCUUUCCCAUUCAUUCUCCACUUUUACGUGCAUGUUCCUUGGUAUUGUACCUAUGUUUCCUAGUUGUUUCCAACACUCGAAGGUACGUCUAAACGUCAAGAACUCAUCUAUAAACAUGUGAUCAUAUACUUUGAAUCCACAAUUCAAUUCAAGGCGAGUUAGGAUCAAGUCAAAGUGAAGUCGGAGUCAAGUCAAGCAAAGUCAAGAAGUAAGUCCAAGCAAGUCUUUAAAGCUUUUCAAGAGUCGUUACUAAACGUUUUAACUUCGUUUUAAGGCUCAAGUUUCAAGUCAAGUAAAGAGUCUCAAGUUUCAAGUUAAGUCAAGAGCAUAAAGUUGAGUCCAUUUCUCAAAAGCUAUUAGGGAACUAAGUAUUCCCAAAGAAGUUUAUAAAUGUUUUUUUUUUACAUUUGAGCAAGAAAGGGAACGUCGAUUCCAAGAGAGAUUUUAAGUUAAGUUUUGAGUAAUUAUCUCAACUAAAGAAAGAUGUGUUUAAAGACACUUAUGGGCCAAAGUAUUUUUGGGAGUAGUAUUGAGCACCGAAUUGGGGACGUAAGUUCAUAUUAACUCAACUCUCCAUAAGAACCAUGCGCCAACAUGGGACUUGACGGAUCAUUCUUUUUAGAUGAUCACGUAAGAUUAAGCUAGUGGAUCCACUAAGUAAAGUAAGGUCCUAUAUCACGGCAAGGUAUAGGAUGGUCCUUGGGCAACGUGAGGUAAAACGUUGUAUCAUCACUAGGGCUGAUAGGUGGUUGCCGGUUAAAGAACCUCCCACAAAAGUUAUAUUACUUUUAUAUAUAAGUAAGGUUGAGUUUGUUAUUGUUUUAUCAUUAACGAACUAAGUUGUUUAUACUAUUUUACAAGCCAUUUAACAUCUCAGGCUUAUUGUAUCCUUGUAUACACACAGAGUUUAUAGCAUGUUUUAAACAGUCUUUCUUUAUAUCGCACUUGUUUUAAAUUGCCUUAUAUUGAAAGAAGUCAGUCAGGUUGAGUUGAGUUGAGCCAGGUAAUCUUUUCAGGUUCUUCUAGAGUUUUCCUUCUAGCCUUUGUUGCUUAGUUUUCCAGCUCGCAUACUCGUACAUUCCAUGUACUGAUGCCAGUUGGCCUGCAUCGUUUUAUGAUGCAGAUGCAGGUACCCAGGAUCAGCAUCCAGCACGCCGUUGAUCCAGUUGAGCACUCUAGAGUCAGUGGUGAGCCUCCUUGCCUUACGGAGGACUCAGUUAUUUUGUGUUCUUAAGUUUUGUUUUAUUAGGAUGUUGCGGGGUCUGUCCCAACAUCCAUCUCAGUAUUUUAGAGGCUUCAUAGACAGUCAGUCAGUUAGAUUUGAGUCUCUCAUCUAUGUACAUAUAUAAUAUUCUAUCUUUUUUUUGAGACUCGAGUUGCCUUUUGGCAGAUUUUAUCAGUUGGUUGUUUUAUAACCUUUUCAUUGCAUUGAGUUAUGCUGUUGAGUUAAGUUUUCGCUGAGUUAAGAAAGCCAGGCCAAAGGUUCGCUUGGGGGCUAGCAAUGGUCUUCGAGUGCCGGUCCCGCCCAGGGUGUAGGCUCGGGGCGUGACAACCCUCAUCGUUUUGGACAUUAUUUAGAGUUUGAUUCAUUGUCUAUGUCACGCGUGUUUUGGGUGAAUUUCUAGUGGUGGAUCGGGUGUACCGAUCCUGUGAUUGGCCUCUUAGUAGGGUGACAUUCUUGGUAGAGUUUGUCAUCUUAGUUAUGAUAGAUUUGGUGUUGUUUGGGAUAGUUGAAGUAUACCAGUAGUUCUACAUGCACAUCCUUGCCUAUGAGAACUUAUACAAGAGCUACUAUGAAGAGUUACAAUUGUCUAAGAGUAUUGUUAGAGGUUCUACAUUUUGUAGUGUAUCGUUUGUUGGGUGGUUACUUGAUCUUUUCCUUCUUUGGGUUAGACAAAUUUGAUCCUCCCUUGAUGAGUACCCGAUAUCUAAAGAUCAUAGUUUUAUAACUUAAAUUCGUGAAAAGAAAAUUUUGAUAAGAUCUGUGAUGGUUUGUGCAUUAUGAGUGUAUGGUGGUUGGUUUAAGUUCGCUUCUAGUUGUAGCGGGUAUCAAUUCAAAAUAUUAUCUUGGUUAUGUUAGAAAAGAUUCGUCGUGAUGGUUGUGUUAAGGUCCAGUAGGUUUCAGUUUAGAUUUGAUUCAUGCGUUAGUUUGUGGCUUGAAAAAAAUCACUCUUGAUUUAUAGAUCUUCAAAAGUUUGAUUCGAAAGUUCAGUUCUUAGUAGUUGAUCUUGAUGGAAUGGUCUUAAGGAGGAGCUCACUUGGAGACAUGAACACCAAUUGGUAGGUCAUGACUCAAGCUUUUGGUAAUGCCAGUUAUUCUUCCUUCUUAUUCCUUAUGUUCGAGGACGAACAUGAUUUUUAGUGGUGGAUAAUGUAAUGACCCAGAAGGUCAUUUUUAGAAAUUUUGAAUAUUCGUUUAACUAGAGUUAAUUAAUUGAUAAUUAAUUAUUAAAUAUCUAGUUUUAGUUAAUGCUUAAUGGGUUUAAGUUUAUAGUUUGGUUAAUACCAUAUAGCACUUGACCCAUAUAGGAAAAUAAAUUAUUAGGGUUGAGAAUUUUGGUUCAUAAUUUAAGAAAAGAAAAGGAGUCAGACUUACCUGCGUAAAGCUGCUACCGACGAGAGAAUACUUCAUGUCCAGGUAAUAUGCAACCACGCCAAAUAUAUGCAAUUGUGUGUAUGGAAUGGAGUAUAUUAUUGUUAUUAUUAUAAUGAUGAACAACAUAAUCUUUUAUAGUGCAUUAAUGACUGCAAACUAUGAUUUGAAUUGGAAAAUCAAGGUCAUUUAUUGCGGGCUAAUGAGAAAAUAAUGUUUGACUGAUUAUUGGCUACAUAUAGUUGAAAUUGAGUUAUGUCUCGUGUGGAAGUGACAGGCGAGGAGUUGGGUUCCUUGGCUUAUGCGAUUCCAUCACUGGUUUCGUAACCAGUGGUUCUCAUAUUUAUUAAUUCUUAUUUUAUUAUCACAUAAUUAUUCAAGUUAUGAUAUAUUGAGACACUUAAUUAUAUAUUAAGUGUAUUACAUUAUAUGAAAGCUAUUAGGGUUGUAGUGUCACGCCCCGAGCCUACACCCUGGGUGGGACCGACACCCGGAGACCAUUGCUGGCCCCAAGCGAACCCUUGGCCUGGCCUUCUUAUCUCAGCGGAAACCUAACUCAACAGAAUAACUUCAUGCAAUGCAAAGUCAUAAGACAACUUAACUGAUACAAAUCUGGCCAAAAAGGCACCUCGAGUCUCAAAAUAGAAUAUUUACAUAUAUACAUAUAGAUGAGAGACUCAAAACUAACUGACUGACUAUCUAUGAAGCCUCUAAUACUGAGAUGGAUGUUGGGACAGACCCCGCAACACCCUAAUAAAACAAAACUAAGAACACAAAAUAAUUCAGUCCUCCGGAAUACAAGGAGGCUCACCACUGACUCUGGAGUGCUCCGCUGGAUCAACGACGUGCAGGAUGCUGAUCCGGGGUACCUAUAUCUGCAUCAUAAUAAGAUACAGGCCAACUGGCAUCAGUACAUGGAAUGUACGAGUAUGCGAGCUGGAAAACUAAGCAACAAAGUCUAGAAGGAAAACUGGAAGAAACUGAAUACCUUACCUGGCUCAACUCAACUCAACCUGACUGACUUCUUUCAAUAUAAGGCAAUUUAAAACAAGUGCAAUAUAAAGAAAGACUGCUUAAAACAUGCUAUAAACUCUGUGUGUAUACAAAGAUACAAUAAGCCUGAGCUGUAUAUAGAAAUACAAAUGAUCUGAUCUAUAUAAAAAUACAAUAAUCUCUAUGUAUGAAUAUACGAUAACUGCUGUGGGAGUUUCUCUAACCGACAACCAUCAUAUAAGAGCUAUAGUGAUGAUACAACGAUCGACCUCACGCUGCCAGAGCAUCUUAUACCCGGCCAAAGGUAUAAGACCUGAAAUGCCUAAUGGAUCCACUAGUCUAUCUGGAAAGGAUUCAUCUAAAAAGUAUGAUCCUUUUCUACCCAUGGUGGCUAACAUGGUUCUAUGGGGGCUGUGGGUUCUUUGAACGCUCCCCCAAUUCGGUGCUCGAUACUACUCCCAAAAAUGUACUGGCUCUUAUGUUUUUAAAGCAUAUGUUUGUCCUGCUGAUUGAGAUAAUUACUCAAAAACUAGCCCUAAGGCUCUUUGGAAAUCUCAGUUUCCAACCUUGUUUAAAUGUAAAAACAUUUCUUUAAACUUUCUUUGGGAAUACAUAGUUCCCUAAUAACUUUGAGAAAUGAACUCAACUUUAUGCUCUUGAUUUAACUGACAACUCGAUACCCUUUACUCGACUUGAAACUCUAUGCUCUUUACUCUUUACUUAAUUUGAAACUCUUAGCUUGACUUGAAACUCUUGACUUAACUUGACUUGUAACUAGAGCCUUAAAAUGAAGUUAAAACAUUCAACAAAGACUCUUGAAAAGCUUUAGAAACUUGCUUUGACUUCCUUCUUAAACUUCUAGACUCAAACUCUUAACUUCACUUGACUUGGAAACUAACUCUCCUUGAAUUGGAAUUAUGAAUUCAAGGUGUUUGAUCACAUGUUACGGAUGAGUUCUUGACGUUUAAACGUACCUUGGGGUGUUGCAAAACAACUAGGAAACAUAGGUACAAUACCUAGGAACAUAUAUGAGAAAGUGGGGAAAGAAUGAGAAGACUUGGCGCUUUUGGCGCUCUUAGAGGCGCGGCGCACCAGACCUCAAACUUCAGAGAGGUCUGGUUGGGGCUCUGGUAUGGGUGGCGCCCCAGGGGCUAGACCUUAGAGUCCCUCUUGGGGCGCGCUGGCUGGCGCGACGCCCCAGCCUUUUUCCCCGAAAACUUGACUUUUCUCCUUCCUUUUCCAACUCUAAACCUCCCUUACCUUCAAUGGUUUCAACCCCCAAACACUAAGGAUCAUAAAAACCCUCAACAAACACUAGAUUCAACUCAAAAACACAACCAAAUCAUGUCCCACAACCAACAAUAACUUCAACAACACAAUCAACAACAUCAACAACACAACCCAACAACUUCAACAACAUAUCAAAUCUUUCUCAAUAAUGAAAAUGAGCUUGGUGUGUGGGGAAAGGAUCAACCCACACUAAAUACUCACAUACCUUGAUAGGGAUCAACCCCGACGAAAAUCCACGACGGAAAUUUGUUGAUCUCCUUUUUCUCCUCUUCUUCUUCUCUUCUUCACUCUCAAGAACCCUAACUCUUUCUCUUUUAAAAUGGGAUAAAAAUGAUCCAAAAUAAGCCUAACACACAAUAUAACCUCAAAAUAAAUGGCUAGGGAAAAGACCAAGAUGCCCUUAAAAUUUCCGGACGGAUUCCCUGCCAACUGCCUAACUUUCAAUGGCCAUAACUCGCUCAUACGAACUCAUAAUCGAGCAAACUCGGUGGUGUUGGAAAGAUCAUUCCACAAGAUUCGCAACCAUAACUGGAACUACUCCUAAAUCAUCCUGAGCUAGGAGUUACGACUGCUCAAACUUGUCCAAAAAAAUCACUGAUUUCCACACUUAGCCAAAUUUUCCAGAUUUUUGAAUUUUUUCCAAAAAUGACUAUUUCCAAUUUCAAACUUUUCCUAGCUAUUUCAAAUUGUCGGAUGUUACAAUAUCUCCCCCUUGUGAACAUUCGUCCUCCAAUGAGGUUACUCUUACAAGGCUAAAGGUGUAACAUCAAACUCAAACACCCAACAAGAAAUCAUACAAAAGCAACAACAACAACAUGCUCAUUAUAAUUAAAAGAGCACUAAAAAGGAAAUUAAUAUCUUAAUCUGCAUUUCCUCCGGAUUCAAAGAGAUGUAGAUAUCUCUUCUUCAUGUCCUCUUCGGCUUCCCAAGUAGCUUCCUCAACAAAUUGGUUCCUCCAAAGGACCUUGACUGAGGCUACAUCUUUCGUUCUCAAUCUACGAACUUGACGAUCUAAAAUCUGAACAGGAACCUCCUCAUAAGAUAAGUUAUCCUUGAUCCUAAUACUUUCAGUUGGUAGGAUCAAUGAAGGAUCGCCUAUGCACUUCUUCAACAUGGAGAUGUGAAAUACUGGAUGAACCGCUUCUAGUUCCUGCGGCAACUCCAACUCAUAUGCAACAUUGCCAAUCCUCUUGGCUAUGUGGUAAGGUCCAACAUACCGGGGACUAAGUUUCCCCUUCUUACCAAACCUCAUAACCCCCUUCAUGGGUGAAACUUUCAAAUAUACCCAAUCGUCUACUUCAAACUCUAACGCCCUUCUCCUAACAUCGGUGUAGGAUUUUUCGGCGAAUCUGUGCCGUCUUCAACCUUUCUUGAAUCACCUUCACCUUCUCCAUAGCUUGGUGAACUAAAUAUGGUCCUAUCAACCCUGCUUCGCCAACUUCUAACCAUUCAAUAGGAAAUCUACAUAUUCUCGUGCCAACUACGCAACUUCCAAAGGGCAUAGCUCACGCAUACGAACUCGGAAUCGAGCAAACUCAGUGGCGUUGGAAAGAUCGUUUUUGAAAUCGAUCACACAAGCCCUCAACAUAUCUUCUAAAGUCUGAAUAGUGUGCUCUGCUUGCCCAUCCGUCUGAGGAUGAAAGGCAGUACUCAAGUUCACCUUGGAACCCAAGCCUUUCUGAAAAGAUUUCCAGAACUGUGCAGUGAACUGUGCACCUCUAUCUGAAAUAAUGGAGAUUGGAACUCCAUGAAGUCUCACCACCUCUUGAAUAUAUAACUUGGCAUAAUCUUCUGAUGUAUUAGUAGUCUUUACCGGUAGAAAAUGAGUUGACUUUGUCAUUCCGUCAACAAUCACCCAAAUGGAAUCAUGUUGUCUGCGAGACCUUGGCAACCCCAUGAUGAAAUCCAUAUUGAUCAUCUCCCACUUCCACUCUGGAAGUUCUAUCCUCUGAGCCAAACCACCGGGUCAUUGGUGUUCAACUUUCACCUGUUGGCAAUUUGGACAUUUAGCAACAAACUCUGCAAUGCCCUUCUUUAUGCAAUUCCACCAAUAAACUUCUCUCAAGUCACNNNNNNNNNNNNNNNNNNNNNNNNNNNNNNNNNNNNNNNNNNNNNNNNNNNNNNNNNNNNNNNNNNNNNNNNNNNNNNNNNNNNNNNNNNNNNNNNNNNNNNNNNNNNNNNNNNNNNNNNNNNNNNNNNNNNNNNNNNNNNNNNNNNNNNNNNNNNNNNNNNNNNNNNNNNNNNNNNNNNNNNNNNNNNNNNNNNNNNNNNNNNNNNNNNNNNNNNNNNNNNNNNNNNNNNNNNNNNNNNNNNNNNNNNNNNNNNNNNNNNNNNNNNNNNNNNNNNNNNNNNNNNNNNNNNNNNNNNNNNNNNNNNNNNNNNNNNNNNNNNNNNNNNNNNNNNNNNNNNNNNNNNNNNNNNNNNNNNNNNNNNNNNNNNNNNNNNNNNNNNNNNNNNNNNNNNNNNNNNNNNNNNNNNNNNNNNNNNNNNNNNNNNNNNNNNNNNNNNNNNNNNNNNNNNNNNNNNNNNNNNNNNNNNNNNNNNNNNNNNNNNNNNNNNNNNNNNNNNNNNNNNNNNNNNNNNNNNNNNNNNNNNNNNNNNNNNNNNNNNNNNNNNNNNNNNNNNNNNNNNNNNNNNNNNNNNNNNNNNNNNNNNNNNNNNNNNNNNNNNNNNNNNNNNNNNNNNNNNNNNNNNNNNNNNNNNNNNNNNNNNNNNNNNNNNNNNNNNNNNNNNNNNNNNNNNNNNNNNNNNNNNNNNNNNNNNNNNNNNNNNNNNNNNNNNNNNNNNNNNNNNNNNNNNNNNNNNNNNNNNNNNNNNNNNNNNNNNNNNNNNNNNNNNNNNNNNNNNNNNNNNNNNNNNNNNNNNNNNNNNNNNNNNNNNNNNNNNNNNNNNNNNNNNNNNNNNNNNNNNNNNNNNNNNNNNNNNNNNNNNNNNNNNNNNNNNNNNNNNNNNNNNNNNNNNNNNNNNNNNNNNNNNNNNNNNNNNNNNNNNNNNNNNNNNNNNNNNNNNNNNNNNNNNNNNNNNNNNNNNNNNNNNNNNNNNNNNNNNNNNNNNNNNNNNNNNNNNNNNNNNNNNNNNNNNNNNNNNNNNNNNNNNNNNNNNNNNNNNNNNNNNNNNNNNNNNNNNNNNNNNNNNNNNNNNNNNNNNNNNNNNNNNNNNNNNNNNNNNNNNNNNNNNNNNNNNNNNNNNNNNNNNNNNNNNNNNNNNNNNNNNNNNNNNNNNNNNNNNNNNNNNNNNNNNNNNNNNNNNNNNNNNNNNNNNNNNNNNNNNNNNNNNNNNNNNNNNNNNNNNNNNNNNNNNNNNNNNNNNNNNNNNNNNNNNNNNNNNNNNNNNNNNNNNNNNNNNNNNNNNNNNNNNNNNNNNNNNNNNNNNNNNNNNNNNNNNNNNNNNNNNNNNNNNNNNNNNNNNNNNNNNNNNNNNNNNNNNNNNNNNNNNNNNNNNNNNNNNNNNNNNNNNNNNNNNNNNNNNNNNNNNNNNNNNNNNNNNNNNNNNNNNNNNNNNNNNNNNNNNNNNNNNNNNNNNNNNNNNNNNNNNNNNNNNNNNNNNNNNNNNNNNNNNNNNNNNNNNNNNNNNNNNNNNNNNNNNNNNNNNNNNNNNNNNNNNNNNNNNNNNNNNNNNNNNNNNNNNNNNNNNNNNNNNNNNNNNNNNNNNNNNNNNNNNNNNNNNNNNNNNNNNNNNNNNNNNNNNNNNNNNNNNNNNNNNNNNNNNNNNNNNNNNNNNNNNNNNNNNNNNNNNNNNNNNNNNNNNNNNNNNNNNNNNNNNNNNNNNNNNNNNNNNNNNNNNNNNNNNNNNNNNNNNNNNNNNNNNNNNNNNNNNNNNNNNNNNNNNNNNNNNNNNNNNNNNNNNNNNNNNNNNNNNNNNNNNNNNNNNNNNNNNNNNNNNNNNNNNNNNNNNNNNNNNNNNNNNNNNNNNNNNNNNNNNNNNNNNNNNNNNNNNNNNNNNNNNNNNNNNNNNNNNNNNNNNNNNNNNNNNNNNNNNNNNNNNNNNNNNNNNNNNNNNNNNNNNNNNNNNNNNNNNNNNNNNNNNNNNNNNNNNNNNNNNNNNNNNNNNNNNNNNNNNNNNNNNNNNNNNNNNNNNNNNNNNNNNNNNNNNNNNNNNNNNNNNNNNNNNNNNNNNNNNNNNNNNNNNNNNNNNNNNNNNNNNNNNNNNNNNNNNNNNNNNNNNNNNNNNNNNNNNNNNNNNNNNNNNNNNNNNNNNNNNNNNNNNNNNNNNNNNNNNNNNNNNNNNNNNNNNNNNNNNNNNNNNNNNNNNNNNNNNNNNNNNNNNNNNNNNNNNNNNNNNNNNNNNNNNNNNNNNNNNNNNNNNNNNNNNNNNNNNNNNNNNNNNNNNNNNNNNNNNNNNNNNNNNNNNNNNNNNNNNNNNNNNNNNNNNNNNNNNNNNNNNNNNNNNNNNNNNNNNNNNNNNNNNNNNNNNNNNNNNNNNNNNNNNNNNNNNNNNNNNNNNNNNNNNNNNNNNNNNNNNNNNNNNNNNNNNNNNNNNNNNNNNNNNNNNNNNNNNNNNNNNNNNNNNNNNNNNNNNNNNNNNNNNNNNNNNNNNNNNNNNNNNNNNNNNNNNNNNNNNNNNNNNNNNNNNNNNNNNNNNNNNNNNNNNNNNNNNNNNNNNNNNNNNNNNNNNNNNNNNNNNNNNNNNNUGAUGACUCGGCCCUGUUCGUCACCGCUAUUCCUCCUUCUGCGGAAUCUGUAAAUCUGACUCCCAGGCAUGCCAGUCCGUGCACAUCUUUUGCUAACUCUCUCUUCUCUUCUCUAAUAUGUGCGGUGCUACCCAUAGACAACCUGCUCAAUGAACCAGCAACAACUUUAGCCUUACCUGGGUGGUAAAGAAUACUCAGGUCAUAAUCCUUGAGUAGCUCUAACCACCUCCUCUGUCUGAGAUUAAGCUCUUUCUGAGUAAGCACAUAUUGAAGGCUCUUGUGAUCAGUGAAUAUGUCAACAUGUACACCAUACAAGUAAUGACACCAUAUCUUCAAAGCGAACACUACUGCCGCUAACUCUAAGUCAUGGGUUGGGUAGUUCUUCUCAUGGACCUUCAACUGUCUGGAGGCAUAAGCUAUAACCUUGCCACUCUGCAUUAAGAAUCAACCCAAACCAACUCUAGAUGCAUCACAAUACACCACAAAACCUUGAGUACAUUCUGGUAGCGUCAAAACUGGAGCUGUAAUCAAUCUCUUUUUCAAUUCCUGAAAGCUCUCCUCACAUGCUUCAGACCACUGAAAUUUCACUGCCUUCUGAGUCAACUUUGUCAAAGGAGAUGCAAUAGAUAAGAACACCUCAACAAACCUUCUAUAAUAACCAGCUAAUCCCAAGAAACUCCUAAUUUCAGUUUGGAGAUGUGGGUCUAGGCCAAUUCUGCACUGCCUCAAUUUUCCGAGUAUUAACUUUAAUUCUGUCACCGGACACAAUGUGGCCUAGGAAUGCCACAGACUUAAGCCAAAAACUCACACUUAGAGAACUUGGCAUAUAACUCCUUAUCUUUCAAAGUCUGAAGAACUGUUUUGAGAUGACUAGCAUGAUCUUCUUCUAUUCCUUAGAAUAGACUAGUAUGUCAUCAAUGAAGACUAUAACAAACGUAUCUAAGUAAGGUUUGAAGACUCGAUUCAUCAAGUCCUUGAAAGCUGCCGGUGCAUUGGUCAACCCAAAGGACAUAACUAAAAACUCAUAAUGACCNNNNNNNNNNNNNNNNNNNNNNNNNNNNNNNNNNNNNNNNNNNNNNNNNNNNNNNNNNNNNNNNNNNNNNNNNNNNNNNNNNNNNNNNNNNNNNNNNNNNNNNNNNNNNNNNNNNNNNNNNNNNNNNNNNNNNNNNNNNNNNNNNNNNNNNNNNNNNNNNNNNNNNNNNNNNNNNNNNNNNNNNNNNNNNNNNNNNNNNNNNNNNNNNNNNNNNNNNNNNNNNNNNNNNNNNNNNNNNNNNNNNNNNNNNNNNNNNNNNNNNNNNNNNNNNNNNNNNNNNNNNNNNNNNNNNNNNNNNNNNNNNNNNNNNNNNNNNNNNNNNNNNNNNNNNNNNNNNNNNNNNNNNNNNNNNNNNNNNNNNNNNNNNNNNNNNNNNNNNNNNNNNNNNNNNNNNNNNNNNNNNNNNNNNNNNNNNNNNNNNNNNNNNNNNNNNNNNNNNNNNNNNNNNNNNNNNNNNNNNNNNNNNNNNNNNNNNNNNNNNNNNNNNNNNNNNNNNNNNNNNNNNNNNNNNGGUAUCUCAGCACUAGAGUCAUUAACUCGGACUAAGUGAUAGAUACAACCCUUUGAAACUAACUUUCUUGCCUUAAGGUACGAAAUAAAACGACCCUUAGGCACUGCGGAACUGCUACUCCAUUCUAUGACUGACUCAUUCGGAAACUGAAACUUGACUGCUCGAGUUCUACAAUCUAUCGAUACAUAACAAGCAUGAAGCCAAUCCAUACCUAGAAUGACUUCGAAAUUUACCAUGUCUAACUCAACCCAAUCAGCCAUGGUGCUCUUGUGAUUGAUAGAUACAGGACAAUCACGAUAAACUCUUUCUGCUAGAAUAGACUCCCCAACAGGUGUAGAAACACAAAAGGGUUCACAAAGUCUUUCAGGUUGAACCUCAAACUUAUUUGCAACAUAAGGAGUUACAAAAGAUAAACUUGCUCCUGGGUCUAGCAAAGCAUACACAUCAAAAGCAAAGACUUUGAUCAUACCAGUGACAACACUUCGGAGAAUUCUCUUGCUCAUGGCGACUGGUGAUAGAAUAAAGGCGGUUUGCUCCUCCACCAGUACUAGAAGUAGCUACUCUAGGUGUCGUCCUGUCUGGUGGAACAACUGAAGAAGACUGUGCUUUAUUGCCCCCAUUAUCCUACCUAUUCUUUGGACACUCUCGCAUGAAAUGUCCAUUCUGACCACACCUGAAACAACCAAUGGAGCCCUCUAGACAAAUACCUGAGUGGUUCCUACCACACUUGGCGUAGGCAGGAGGCUUACUACUCCCUUGCGCCACACUACCCGAAGAUUGUGCUGGUCUAGCCCUGAAGUCCUUCGAAUUCUGGAUAUUAAAUUCACCUUUGUAUCUGGGUGUAGGUGCUCUAGCAAAUGAUGGAGCAGGUCCCUUUUUCCUUUGCUGAAAGGAGGAACGACUUGAAUUGCCUUUCUGCUGCCCGGACUCAUUACCGGACUUUGCUCUCUUAUUUCUGAACUCUUCUCUGUCCCUCAACUUCUCUUCCUCAACCUGCUGUACAUAGAUCAUUAAUCUAGAUAUGUCUAUGUCCCCGAUAAGCAUUGCAGCCCUACCUUCAUUACUUGACAGCUGAGACAGCCCAUCAACAAACAAACUCAUUCUAUUCCUCAUGUCCGCAACCAUCUCCGGAGCAUAGCGGGAUAGUUGGGUGAACUUCAGACUGUACUCUAGAACACUCAAAGACUCUUGCUUAAGUGUGAGGAACUCACGUACCUUGGCCUCUCUCAAUUCUCGAGGAAAGAAAUUCCCCAAGAAAGCUUCCUCAAAAUAGGCCCAACUCACAGGUGGUGCAUUCUCAGCUCUGCCCCCUUUCCACUGAUCGAACCAAGUUCAAGCAAUAUCUUUCAGUUGAUACGCAGCUAGUUCAACCCGCUCAGUGUCUGCCACAUGCAUCACAUCAAAAAUCUUCUUCAACUCCUCAAUAAAGUUCUCUGGAUCCUCAGUAGUACUCGAACCCAUGAAACUCGGAGGAUUCAUCCCCAAGAAUUCACGAAUUCUAGAAGUGUCAGCUCAUUCAUGUCGAGCUCCCUUUUGCUGACCAAUCUGAUUUGUUACAACUUGACUCAGAAUUCUAAUUGCCUCUCUGAACUCGGCAUUAGAAAACUUCCCAUUGAUCUUGCACUCCCGGUGCAUAGGGUAACUCUUGCUCAUCAACAUAACGUCUAGGAAGACGCCCUCUACCAACUCUUCGUAGAGGCAUGACUGUCUGAAAAACGCGCAAGCACAGAUUAGAAAGAAACUCUUUAGAGAUAAACUCUAACGCACAAGAUGAGUGUGAAAGAAAUGAGAAAUCUUCCUAAAUGUUGUAGCCUCCCAAUUAUAGAUGUGGCGCGCUUCACACUGAUAACUAGGACUCUACAGACACGGCUUCAUAGACUCCCUAGGACUCUUGAACUCUGGCCUCUGAUACCAAGUUUGUCAGGCGCCGAGCCUACACCCUGGGCGGGACUGGCACCCGGAGACCAUUGCUGGCCCCAAGCGAACCCUUGGCCUGGCCUUCUUAACUCAGCGGAAACCUAACUCAGCAGAAUAACUUCAUGCAAUGCAAAAUCAUAAAACAACUUAACUGAUACAAAUCUAGCCAAAAAGGCACUUCGAGUCUCAAAAUAGAAUAUUUACAUAUAUACAUAUAGAUGAGAGACUCAAAACUAACUGACUGACUGUCUAUGAAGCCUCUAAUACUGAGAUGGAUAUUGGGACAGACCCCGCAACACCCUAUUAAAACAAAACUAAGAACACAAAAUAAUUCAGUCCUCCGGAAUACAAGGAGGCUCACCACUGACUCUGGAGUGCUCCGCUGGAUCAACGACGUGCAGGAUGCUGAUUCGGGGUACCUAUAUAUGCAUCAUUAUAAGAUACAGGCCAACUGGCAUCAGUACAUGGAAUGUACGAGUAUGCGAGCUGGAAAGCUAAACCACAACUUAAGCUUGAAAAGAGUACAAGAGAACACUUACCUUGGCUCUGUUCAACUCAUAAAUAACUAAACAUGCAAUAUAUAUAUAUAAAGCUUGUAAAACUAUUCAAAACAUGACGUAAAAAUCAUAUUUAUAAUAUCAUGAAAAUACCAUGCUUCCUCUCAAGGUCUACUUGUGCAAUGUAUGAAUGAAGUCCCAUACCCCCAUCCAUACUAAGCAGAACCCUCGAGGAACCAUGCUCUUUCUACUGUGGGAGCUUCUCUAACCGACAAACCACCACUAUGAAUCUGAGUGGUGAUACAACGUUUUACCUCACGUUGCCCGAGGACCAUCCUAUACCUUGCCGUGAUAUAGGAAACUAACUUUACUAAGUGGAUCCACUAGCUUAACUUUACGGGUUCAUCUAAAAAGUAUGACCCGUUAACUCCCAUGUUGGCUACAUGGUUCUUAUGGAGAGUUGAGUUUAAUAUGAACUCGCGUCUCCAAAUCGGUGCUCGAUACUACUCCCAAAAUACUUUAGCUCAUAAGUGUUUUAAACACAACUUUCUUUANNNNNNNNNNNNNNNNNNNNNNNNNNNNNNNNNNNNNNNNNNNNNNNNNNNNNNNNNNNNNNNNNNNNNNNGCUCUUUUGGAAUCAUAGUUCCUUUCUUACUCAAAUGUAAAAACAUUUAGAAACUUCUUUGGGAAUACAUAGUUCCCUAAUAACUUUGAGAAAUGAACUCAACUUUAUGCUCUAGACUUAACUGACAACUCGAUACCCUUUACUCGACUUGAAACUCUAUCCCCUUUACUCUUUACUUAACUUGAAACUCUUAGCUUGACUUGAAACUCUUGACUUAACUUGACUUGUAACUAGAGCCUUAAAAUGAAGUUAAAACAUUCAACAAAGACUCUUGAAAAGCUUUAGAAACUUGCUUUGACUUCCUUCUUGAACUUCUAGACUCAACUCUUAACUUCACUUGACUUGGAAACUAACUCUCCUGAAUUGGAAUUAUGAAUUCAAGGUGUUUGAUCACAUGUUACAGAUGAGUUCUUGACGUUUAAACGUACCUUGGGGUGUUGGAAACAACUAGGAAACAUAGGUACAAUACCUAGGAACAUAUAUGAGAAAGUGGGGAAAGAAUGAGAAGACUUGGCGCUCUUGGCGCUCUGAGAAGCGCGGCGCGCCAGACCUCAAACUUCAGAGAGGUCUGGUUGGGGCUCUGGUAGGGGCUGGACCUCAGAGUCCCUCUUGGGGCGUGCUGGUUGGCGCGACGCCCCAGGCCUUUUCCCCGAAAACUUGACUUUUCUCCUUCCUUUUCCAUCUCUAAACCUCCCUUACCUUCAAUGGUUUUAACCCCCAAACACUAAGUAUCAUAAAAACCCUCAACACACACUAGAUUCAACUAAAAAACACAACCAAAUCAUGUCCCACAACCAACAAUAACUUCAACAACACAAUCAACAACAUCAACAACACAACCCAACAACUUCAACAACAUAUCCAAUCUUUCUCAAUAAUGAAAAUGAGCUUGGUGUGUGGGGCAAGGAUCAACCCACACUAAAUACUCACAUACCUUGAUAGGGAUCACCCCCGACGAAAAUCCACGACGGAAACUUGUUGAUCUCCUCUUUCUCCUCUUCUUCUUCUCUUUUUCACUCUCAAGAACCCUAACUCUUUCUCUUUUAAAAUGGGAUAAAAAUGAUCCAAAAUCAGCCUAACACACAAUAUAACCUCAGAAGAAAUGGCUUGGGAAAAGACCAAAAUGCCCUUAAAAUUUCCGGACGGAUUCCCUGCCAACUGCCCAACUUUCAAUGGCCAUAACUCGCUCAUACAAACUCGGAAUCGAGAAAACUUGGUGGCCUUGGAAAGAUCAUUCCACAAGCUUCGCAACCAUAACUGUAACUACUCCUAAAUCAUCCUGAUCUAGGAUUUACGGUUUCUCAAAGUUGGCCAAAAAAAUCACUAAUUUCCACAUUUAGCCAAAUUUUCCAGAUUUUUGAAUUUUUUCCAAAAAUGACUAUUUCCAAUUUCAAACUUUUCCUAGCUAUUUCAAAUUGUCGGAUAUUACAUGUAGUGUUUGGAGAAAUUAUGACUUAAUCCUAGGCUUGAAAUUCGGAAAACAUGAGAGUUGACAUGUUAAUUGGCACCGAGAUUAGGAACUUGAUUAUAAAUUGAGUGAGUGUUUGGGUCUAGGCUAGACCUAUAGUAAUUUGAGUGUGGUUAGUUUCGAAAUCUUAUUGUGAUUAAUAAUGUGAGUAGAUUGCUUUGAGUUGGAAGUUCAACGAAAGGGAAGACUCAAGUCUCGGAGUGAUUGUUCGACUAUUUGAGGCAAGUGGAUUUCUAAACUCUUGUUAAGUGUAUGGAAUUCGUGUAUUUCCUUGUAAUAUGUGUUUCGGGGGUAACGAGACUUGGUGAUGGGUUGACUUGUCCACAUUGAUUAAUUCUAAUGAUGAAAAGUUCAACGAAAGGGAAGACUCAAGUCUCGGAGUAAUUGUUCGACUAUUUGAGGCAAGUGGAUUUCAAAACUCUUGUUAAGUGUAUGAANNNNNNNNNNNNNNNNNNNNNNNNNNNNNNNNNNNNNNNNNNNNNNNNNNNNNNNNNNNNNNNNNNNNNNNNNNNNNNNNNNNNNNNNNNNNNNNNNNNNNNNNNNNNNNNNNNNNNNNNNNNNNNNNNNNNNNNNNAAAAGGCAAUAUGAUCAAUUGUUUGUGUGAUGUGUUGAGAAUUGUUUGAAAGGCUUGUUGAAUCUUUGUUGAUGUUGUAUCAUGAUUGUGUUGUUGUGAAUUGUGCAAUGUUAUGAAAAUGGUCAUCUCCUCAUUAUUUGUGUGAACAUGUCAUUUGCAUUGUUCUGAGACAUGGUUGUGACAAGUGUUAUGUGAAUUGAGAAAGAAUAAGAAAUGAAAGAGGACGUACCAUUUCGAGGGAUGUAUCACGCGUCGCAAUGGAUACUAUAUUUCGAGGGACGUAUCGUGCGCCGCGAUGAAUACUAUAUUUCGAGGGUCGUAUCGCGCGCUGCGAUGGUUACUAUUAUCGAGGGUCGUAUCACGCUCCGCGAUGGAUGCAUGGACAGAUAUGUCCCCCAUGGGUCCCGAAUUGAGAGACAAUGGGUGUGUAUCACUAGGUCAGACAUGCAUCAUUAUACUUGACAUUGCAUUCCAUUGCAUUGCACAUACUUAUCAUUAGUGAACUUGAUAUUGUGUUUUGCUAAUCUUGUGAGUGCCUCUCUGUGGAACUUUGUGAGUGCCUUUCUGUAGAAUUUGAUUGAUGAAUAUUGAGGAUAUGUAAUUGUUAGAGUGUUGUGGUUGAGCUGUGUGCUAUGUGAAUUAUGAGCUGUUAGGUUGGACUGGUUUUAAGCAGGUUGUAGUUGUGGAGGUUGUAAUUGAUGAAUCCUGAGCUUGUUGUGUAGAAUAUGUGAUUGUUAGAAUGUUGUUGUUGAGAUAUGUGCUUGUAAAUUGUGAAUUGUUAGGUUGGGCUGGUUUUAUGCAGGUUGUAGUUAUGAAGGUUCGGUUGGGGUGUAAGGAGUACCCGUAUUCUAUCCCCUUAGCUUGUGUUUAGAGGUUUACUUGCUGAGUAUCGUGUGGUUUGGUACUCAUCCCUUGCUACUACAUUUUUUUGUAGGUUAUUAGCCCGGACCUUUGUGAUAUUUUCUCUUCUCCUUGUCUGAGGCUUCUUGUGGAGGUUUGUGAGGUAGCUGCUUGUCAUUUUCAGCGGACUUUUCUUUCUCCUUAAUUAUGAUCUUGUUCUAUUCUAGAAACAGGGUCAUUUGAGACUUGUGUUUUUCUUUUGAAUAAAUUGUAUUACUUUAGAGGCAUGUACACGUGACAACCAGAUGUUGGGGGUAUUUUUGAGUUGAUUAUAAAAUUUCCGCAUUUUAUUGUAAUGGUUGAGUUUUAGGCUGACUUGUCUUGAUGGGAUAAGACGAGUGCCAUCACGUCCAUUUUUGGGUCGUGACAAUAUGCCUCUAUAUAUUUUAAUAGGCGUUAACAUUGCCAUGUAAAACAUACCAAUAGUAUUGUUACGAAAAUAUGUAAAACUAGUAAUUGCUAGAGAAGUAACCAGCUUAAUCACUACUAAUUCCAUUCCUUUUUAGUUGUCAUAGUUUUCUUUUUAAGACUCAAACGAUAUAGAUUUUGACUAAUAUUUUAAGUUGUAUUUUUUCAUCAUAUUGAUAUAAAAAAAAUUACAAUUUAUAGUACUUUCGGCAUAUUUUUUGAAUAUCUAAAAUUUUAUUUUAAAUAUUGAAUGAAUAUAAUCUAAUUUAGCUAUGAAAAUUAGUCAAAUUAACUCUCAAAAAGCAUAACAUGACAAAAAAAAACGAAGAAAGUAUUAAUUUGGAGCAUGUAAAAGUAUUAGUAGACAUACCGAUGACGUUCCUUUUUCCAUUUAAUCUCUAACCUCGAACCAGCCUUCAAUUUCUAGAGAUUUGAUGUUUCAACUAAUCACAUGCACAUUUAAUAAGGAUAAAAAUUAGAAAUGCAAGUAAAAAGAACGGCAACAAGCAAAAAUUGUGAAUGUAAACUAUUAAAUUUAUAGGUUUUGAAUUAAUAAAAUGAUAUAUAUGUAAAUAAUAAUUCAGGAUAAAUACAUGAUAUUUUUUUUAGAGAAAAUGUUCUCUAAAAUUUUUGACCAACCAAAAUGAGAAAAUUGAAAAAACAGUUUAGAGAGGGAAGAGAAGAGGGUCGGAGACUAAUCUUGAUGCUAGGAUAUAAACUCUUUCAACUACUAUAUAUUGAUGCUUAAUUAUCGACAAUUGUGCUCUAUCGGUGAAAAUCUCCUACUUCACAGCAGGAGAUCAUAUCGGGUAAGAAAGUAGGCUCACUAUAUCCAUUAUACUCUUACUAAAGUACAUUUGAUCUUUCUUUGUCUCGAACCCAUACCCCUAUAAUAAUGGUAGAGUCAGGGGUAGCCCCAAAUUAAGCGAAAUUGACCGGUAGUGCUUGGUCGAAGCUCCAGUAGGUAGCCCACUUGCUAGGAUGAUAAACUCAUAAACAUGCUCUCGCCUUCAACCUUAAGAUUGUAAGCAAAGAUGGUAGAAACUCCUACAUAUCAUUCUAUAUAUCCAACAUAUACAUUCUAUAAUUAUCAAGUCAAAAAUAUAAACCAUUUUUCUGUUUCUUAUGUAUGUAUGUAAUCCACAAAUAAAUACAAAAAGGGGAUAUUACUCUCUCUGCCUUUGUAUUCAAAUAUUACAUGUAAAAAAAUGAAAUAGAAAAAAAAAUAGUUUACCUUUUUCUUUACUUCCAAGCUGUUAAAACCAUGAAAAUUAACAAGGAAAUGAUGAAUGUGAUAUAUUAUGAGAGAGCUCACAAUAAAACUUAAAUGCUAAUUAAGGCUACCUUGAAUUUAUAUGACUAUAUAGCCAUACAUACAAUAAGAGAAAAAUGACAAAAGGUUAAGUUGGUCAAUAGCUCACAAUACCAUGUUCUUACAAUUUUAUAUUUAUAUUAAUUUUUUUGAAACAGUCAACUUUUUUUCUAUUUAGUUUAAUUGAUAAUAAGAAUUAAUUUCUUCAAAAAAUAGACUUACUAAUAGUUAGUUCUAUCAAGAAUUUUUAGAUAACAAUUGUUCACAUUCCUAAAAAUCUCUCUUUUUUAUGGGUUUUUCACCCGGUGUCCGGAGUCUAUAUUGGAGCAUUGCGCAACACUGCAAAAGCUCAUUUGGGUUUGACGCUCCCAACAAAAUCUUCUUUAUUUCGAACUCUCUGUUUAAGGUGAAACAGCCCCAUAUUCCUAAAAAUCUCUCCAUUAUUAGUCAACUAAACAGACAAUGGAUCUGCCAAUAAAAUAAAGGACCCAUUUGGUAAUAAAAAUUAUUUAUUUAUUUUAUUUAAAUGUUAGUGUAAAUCUACGAUGAAAUGCAUCCUAAAUUAAUCCGGGAAAUGUCAACUGAUAAUGCUUAUUCUGCUAUUCACUUGCAAAUAUAUUUAUGGAGACUGUCAGCUAUCAUUUCGAUUUUCGAGUAGAAAGAUUUGGUUUUAAUUAAUUAUCAAAGUAAUUAUAAACUUAAAUUAAUCAAUUUUAGAUCUAGACUUUGAUUAGACUAAUUGAAAGUUCACGUUAAGGCUGCAAACAUAAAUCAAACAUUACAUAUUCUACAACAAGUACUAUUGGGUCAUUUGCACUUUUAUCCUUGUUUUAUGGUGCUCUUUAAUUUUUGCUUAGUGGAGUUAUCGUAUCGUAAAGAUGGUUAGACGAAUAUUAUUCAUUGAUCUCAAAUUUCAUAUCCUAACAGUUAAUUGAAAUCAUAACUUCAUAUAACUUAGCUUAAUAGCUUCCGCUUAUCUAAGUUAACAUGAUAUGAAAGCGCAUAUACGAAUCUGCACUAAUUGAAGAAUUGAUCGUAGUAGCUUAAGGACAUAAAUCUAGUCUAGGUAACAUAAGAGCAUAAAUUGAUCAUAAUCAUCCACUUUAUCUUCAACCUAAUGAUACUCCACGUAGUUCUCUCAUCCCUCUUCAGUUAAUUGGAUCUGAGAAUUAUGACCAUUUUUUCUAACAGAAUUUAGUGGUAUUUAAAACUACGGUGUCAUCGAACCACUCAAUUGCAGUAAAGUACAUUUAGAAUACUAGAAUUUAGUAGUAGAAGAAGAAGUCGAGAAAAUCGUUGUUGAGUAAAAAGUUAUGAUCAUUUAGGAAAGGUUACAACCCUUUAUAGAAGUCGAAAGUCAAAACCCUUCUUAAAAAUAACAAAUCUUCACAAAUCACACCUUAUGGAAAAAUCACAAAUCUUCACAAAAAUAAAUGAUAGUGUGAACAUGUGUUUAUAGUGCCUUAUCGGAAAGUCACACAACCCUUUAGAAAAGUGAAAAGUCAUAACCCUUCGUAAAAAUCACACCUUACGGAAAAAUCACAAAUCUUCACAAAAAUCACAACCCUUCAAGUUAACAAAAAAACUAGAAUCUUAUAUCAGAGAUUAGAGACGAAAUAAGAUUCAUAACUAACAAAAAAACAUGAAAGAAAACUCUCAAAACAUUAAUUUUGAGCAUCUCCAGAACCACGCAGAUGAACUGAGACUGCAAAUGCAUGUGUUGUUUCUUUCAUCAUUGUUGUUCUAUCCUUGUGUCCUUUGGGCAUUCUGCAAGUUAUAUAUAGUAUGAUUUUAAUUAAAUGAAGUAUAUAUGUAUGUAGGGGUAAAGAUGUAAUAAUUAAUUACCUCUGUUUCAUCCUCUUCUUCAGCUUCUAUAAUUCAUACAACACAUCUGAUAAAUGGACUUGAAGUCUGUCCUCUCCUGCGAAUUCUAUUAUCUGUUUCUUAAUCUCAAUGGCUGAAUCUUCAACCUCACGGUUCAUAUUCAUUAAAUGAAUGGACUUUAAAGUUUCUCUAUCCGCAAAUGCACAAGGGAUCUCCGUAAGCUUGUAACAAUUAUCUAGUAUUAAUUCCUCAAGCUUGGGAAAAGCUCCCCUAUUAACUUCCCAUUCUGAAAGGUUGACCAGUCGCAAACUCAAAGUCUUAAGACUUUGAUACAUGCCCUCACUUGCAUACCACUUAUCCUUCACUAAAUCAGAGUCGAUAAUCGCCAGAAUUUCAAGCUGAGGUAAUGCCACGAUUGCAGACAACAAAGCAGGUGUCAUGGUAAACCGAUACAACCGUAACUCUUUCAAGCUGCUAGGGAAGUGAUAUUUUUUGGGUUGAGGGAUUAACUCGGGGCAACAGUAUAUUGCUAUGAAUGAUUCAAGUUUAUUAAGCACAUCAAGCUUGGGAAACCAAUCGUCCUGGGUAGGAGGGUGCUGCGCUUCCACUAUGGUGCAAUCAAGGUGCUGAAGAUUUGGGAACUUCUCCAGAGCAUCAUUCGUGCCUACAGAAUAUGAGAUAUUGACUUGGGAUAAAGUUGUCAGCUUUGAAUUCUCACCUUUCAAUAUUCUACUUUGGAUUUUUUUCGCGUCCUCUUCCUCUUCAAAGAAACAACUCAUGUCAAUUUUCACAUGUUUCAGCUUUGACAGUUGUAACAUUCUGGGCAGUAAUACCAUGGUGGAAUCUCCAGUAUUGAUCAACAGAGUUUCCAGAUUCUGGAGGUUCAACCACGAUUCUGGGAUAGCUUUUCCAUUAAGAGUAUGAAUCCUUAAGAACCUCAAAUGAAAUAGGGACCCUAUUUCUUCCAUUAAAAAAUCUUUCAAAAGGAUGCUACCCAGUUGCAACACUCUAACAAGUCCAAAGUGUCUUGUAUGACAGAUAUACCUGAAGUGGAGAAGCGAACCGCUAACUUUCAAAGAUAUGAGAUGCUUACUACCAAAUGAACACUUCUUAGACUUGAACAAAACACAUUUUUUGUGGAGUUGGCCCUCCUCAAUAUGAAUGGUUAGACGAUGGUGUAGGAAAUCAGAAACAUGAAAUCGAUUACCCGGAUUGAUUAUCGUGAAAAACUUUUCCUUUUUCGCUUUUACUGAACAAAAAUCAUGCACAACAUCAUGCACAUAGCAAACCUUGAUCUUUACAAAAAAUGGGUGACUCCCCUUGAUAUGAUCCACCAUUAUCAGGCUACUGGAAAUUAAAGCAUCCAAGUAACUUUGAGUUACUUCCUCUAAACUAUUCUUGGAUCGGAUAUCAUGGUCCAGAAAACCUUCAGCCAUCCACAACUGCAUCAACUUAGAGACUGGAGUUCGUUUGCCCUUUCGAGAUCUUGCAAAGUAAAGCAACAACGGCUUCAGGUGGUAUGGUAAAUGGUCAUAACUUAAUUGCAUAACCUUCAUAAUCUCUAAAUUGUUGUUGGCAGAAAUAUCCAAAUUAUGUUGAAUCUUAAGCCACAAAUCCUUUUCCUCUUUCUUUCCUCUAACAAUUACUCCAGCAAUCAAAACAACAGCCAAAGGAAGCCCUUGACAUUUCUUAACUAUUUGGUGUCCAACAUCCAACAGUUCAGCAGGGCAGCUUUCUUUUCCAAAUACCAUUUUUUCGAAUAACUCCCAACUUUUUCCAAAUGUUAAAAGUUGAAGGCAGAGAAGAUCACUAUGGCAUUUCAGUUUCAAACCUACCUCACUAUUUCGGCUAGUUAAGAUAACUCUAUCUCCUCUCUUAAACUUUGGAAAACAUGCUAUUAACAUCUCCCCUGUUGCAAUAUCCCACACAUCAUCCAAGACGAUGAGGUACCUUUUAUCGUACAAUGCUCUUCGUAGCUUUUCAGCAAGGUCGUGAUCCUCACUUUCGUUUUCUUCAGAGUUAUCAACUUGCUGAAGAAUCUCCCGCAACACCUUUGACUUGUUAUACUUUUGGGAAACAGUGCACCAAGCACGAAUCUUGAAAUGACUAGCAACUAAUGUAUUGUUAUACACUUUGUUGGCCAGAGUAGUUUUACCGAGUCCUGGCAUUCCGACAAUGGAAAUGACAUCAAGCUCGGAUUCAUGUUUAUCAAGGAGCUGGUCAAUCAUCUUGGCUUCAUCUUCUUCAUGACCAACUGUUACCUCAACAAAAGAUGACGAGGUUGACUCAAUUGGCUCGUUGGAAGACUUUGCAUCAAGGGGGCCAUCCCCAUUCUUAUCUUCCAGCUGUAAACAUGUGACUUCUGCCACGAUAAGCUUGAUCUUAUCAGUGACACUCGGAAGUGAGAAGAUGAGAUGCGAGAGAGCUUUAUCUCUGACAAGAAUGGAAUUAAUGACAUGUUCUGCCUCAUAUGCCACAUCUAAAGCACGCACCCAACAAUCUUUAACUACUCCACUACUGUCAUCCAAUGUUUGCCUGACUUUCAUGAAAGAUGAUCUUAGGAAUUCGAGGCUUUCUUUCACCAUCCCAAUUUCUUUCUUUAUCAGCAUAACUGAAUAGACAUUGGAAAUGAGCAAAUCAUUUAAAUGUCUGAGUAGAAGAUUCAUGAAGAGGAAACCAUCAUCCACAUGAAACUGAUCCGGGGCUUUCAAAAAAAUCUUUUUGAUAUCUCCCUUCAUUCGUUCAAUUUCUUGCAACAAGUCUGGAGCUGAAAAAUUUGCUUCAUCCAUAUUAGAGCUCUCCUCCAUGAGAGUAGAUAUCUUCCUUGUAAGUAGUGCGACAUGUGCCAACAUAUCGUUCAAUUUUUCAGGAUGGAUAAAGCGCUUUGGUAUAUCGGUGAGAAAGAUCAAUAGGAACUCGAUCAUGACAUUAAUACUUUGAGUUUGAGAGUAAUUGACAGCUACCAUGCGUCCUUGGAGAUGAAUGAGAUAAUUUUGAAGAAUCUUUGGAGAUGCUUUCAGGAUUUGCUUCACAAACCGUUUUAAUUGAGUUGACGUUGAUUCUUUUAUGAGCUUAGAAGUAGAAAUGUAUAGAACCUCCAGCUCAAGAGGGAUUAUCUUGAUGAGUAGAGAAGAGACUUUGGAAGAGUACUCAUCAGCUUCAUAACUUGGUUUAUACUUUCCAGUCCAAAUAUCAAAAUAGAAUUGUAGAAAUUUACGGGCGAUGAAUUGGAAGCGAGGAAAGAGAUAUUGAGUAGUAGUUGUUUUGUUGGCCAGGAGGAUAGGAUAGAAAUCUGUCAGACGACGGAAUACUUGGCGAAGAAUGUUUAUUUGCUUGGACAUCCUCUCAUAAAAGUCAUCAUCCGAAUAAGAAGUACUGUUUGGUAGAUCAUGAAGGUCUAUCCAGAGGUAUUCAAACAUUUUCUCCUCUGUGGUCAUUGCUACAUAAUUAUCGUUCUUUAAACUCAAAUAACUUUGCAUCUCUUCCAGCAGCAGAGGGACAACACCAUCCAUGUUGUAUUUCUCUAGAAUUACUUCAUCAUUAAGUAGUGACUGAGUCAUAACACUGAACUUGUUUAUUUUGUUGGACAUCCUCUCAUAAAAGUCCUUGCCCAAACUUGAAUUCCCAAACAGGACAAAUGUUCUUAAGAAUCUCACUUCCAUUCUUAGCUUUUCAAUGUCAUACCAUUUUGAAUCAAGGAAUUCUUCUUCUUCUUCAUUCUGAAUUUUCUUCAACCCAUUCAAUAAAUCAUCAAUAAGAUUCCUGAUUCUUCUUCUUUUUUCCUCAAGUGGCACCUCCUAAAUUAAAACAUAGUAAUACGUAAUUGUUGUUUCAAUAGAGACAAUAAUUAAAGAAAUGAAAAUUUAGUAAGAAACUUGGACGAAUUGAAUUAGCCCAAAUGAGUAAUUCUCAGUUUUUCUUCUUUAUUAGCUCAUCAAUAUUUUGGUGAUAUGACUUUUGAAUCAUUUUUAAAAAAAUACUUCACGGAUCCUCAGUAAUUAGUUGUGGAAACAAUACGCAUAGUCUCGAUUUUUUCGUAUGUUAAUCCAUGAAUAUUUUGGUGAUAUAACUUCCAAAUGAUUUUACAAAAAAAAAAAACAUUUAUGGGGCCCUCCCUAAUAAGUUGGGAGGAGCAGUAUUGGGCUACGCAAUCAAUCGAAAUUAUGUACACAAUCAAUCGAAAAGUCAAAUAUGACUUAACAGUUCCCACUUCUUAAUGGGUUUUAAUAUAUUGGGGGUACCCUUUUAAUUGUUAAUCUUUUUAGCUUCGGUAAUUAAAUAUACUCAUUCACAACUUUUCAUGUACAUAUAGUCUCCCUUCCUUCAUAAAUUUGACAAAAAAAUAUUAAUUUACAACAUUUUUGUAUUUUAUCAUCUUAUAAUUCUUAUAUAAUUUUUUAUUUAUUGAUCAUUCUUUUUUUUUUUUCUUAUUAAUAUAUUCAUUUCGUAUGAUAUGACGACAAAUAUAUUGUAUUGCUUUUCACGUUAAUUGACUUGGUUAUAAAUGUUUCCCUUUAACUCUCAUUCUAUAUUUCAAUUUUUUUGAUUUUUUUCUUGUAAGUUUGUCAUUUUUUAUAAAUUAAUUGAACAUGUAAUAUUAGAUUCAAGUUUUUAUUGUACUGUCCAAUUAUUCAUAUAUAUAUAUACACAUAGUAAUCAUUAGUUUGAUAUUUUAUGGGAUUUUAUCAGCUCAAGUAUAUUAUCUAGCCCCUUAGACAAUUUUAACAUAUCAUAUGAUGUCAUCAUUGUUUUAAUUUGUCAUUAUGAUUAUUGAAUGUUGUUUAAAGAUUUUAGCAUAAGUAUUUUUUUUAAAAAAAAAUCUUAUAAGUAAUUGGGGCCAAAUAUGCAACACACAUUCUCAAAAUAAUAGUUACAAAAAUAUGUAAAACUAAUAAUUGCUAGAAAAAUAAGUAUAAUUUAUAUGUAAAACUUAAUUACUACUAAUUUGGAGCAUGUAAAAUUUGUAAUGAUAGACAUACCGAUGGCUUUCCUUCUUUUUCCAUUGAAUCUCCAACCUCGAACCAGCCUUCAAUUUCUAAAGAAUUGAUUUUUCAACUUAUGAUCACAUGCAUAUUUAAUAAGGAUAAAAAUUAGAAGAUAGUAAUCACAUGCACAAGUAAAGGGAAAUGCAAGAAGCAAGAGAGUUAAGAAUGUUAAUUAUUAAGUUUAUAAGUUUUGAAUUAUAAUUAUACCUAGUAAUUUACUGUUUUAAGUAAAUACAUGAAUUGGUGAAAGUAACAAAUAGCAUGUCAAAAUAUAUACUCCCUCUGUCCCAAUUUAUAUGACUUACUUUCCUUUUUAGUCAGUCCCAAAAAGAAUGACACAUUUCUAUUUUAAGUAACAAUUUGCCUAUAAAAUGUCUUUUUUACCCUUAAUGAAAUGAUUUACAACCACACAAAUUUCUAUCAUUCAUUUUGGACCACAAAUUUUAAAAGUCUUUCCAUUUUUCUUAAAGUUUGUGCCAAAUCAAAGUACAUCAUAUAAAAUGGGACGGAGGAAGUACUAUUUUACGUUGAUUAGAUUUGAUAAGGUACUCAGAGUGGCGCACAAGUACACACACUAAUAAAUUUUCAAGAAUUUGGACCAUAAUGUAUACUCCAUUUAUUCCAUAUUAACUGAAUUUGUGAGACAAUGCACACAUAUUAAGCAAAACAUUUAAGAACAUAAUUUAAAUCAUAAUUUCCACUAUUAUCUUUUGAGAAAUCAUAAAUAUAACUUUGUAAGUAGUGUAAUUUAUCUCCUAGAAAAUAUAAAACUCCAAUAAAUAAAAGGGUAAAUAUGGAAAAAUAUUCAAACAUCCUUUUUGAAUUUUAAACAAUUCAAUUAUUCUGAACAAUGAAAAAACCCUAAAAAAAAUUACUUAAUAUGAAAUGGAGGAAGUACUAGAGAGACGAGAUCUCAAAUUAUACAAACCAGGAGUGUGUUUGGUAUGAAAGAAAUUAUUUUCUAAAAAAUAUUAAUUUAACUAAUAAAAUUUGUUAUUUUUUUAUGGGUGUGUUUGAUAUAUUUUCUAAAUACUUAAGUAAUCAAACAUGAAAACAUUGAAAAAUAUAUAUUUCCUCUGUACUGAACACCCUAUAUUAAAAUUGUUUUCCGUAUCAUGAUAUAUUAAGAUCUUAAAUGUAGAGCCAAUCAAGAUAUAUAUCUACAUAAACUACGUUAAAAGGUCUUCUUCAUAUCAUGAUUAGAGAACCUUAAUCUUCCUUUACAAGCUUGGACCCUAUAUGGGUGUGGUUGGUACAAAGGGUUUCGUACUUAUUAAACAUGAGAAAAUUGAACAGUUUAAAAAGGAAAGGGAAGAGGAUUGGGGACCGAUCUUAAAUUAUCAGAUCAUUCUAUAAAUAUUUUUCUAAUUCUUAUUAUGUAUGUUUCUUUCAAAUCAAGUGAAUCACAAAAAUACAUGUAGAAUGAAAUAGAAAAAAUUAUAUCAUACCUUUUUCUUUACUUCCAAGCUAAUAAUUCCUCUCAAAUGGUAGUUUGCCUUGUUGCAGAUUUACAAGAAGCAAAUGUUGAAAAACAUAAUUCACUUAUUUAAAAAGCUUUAUUGUUAGAUAUCUGCAAAUGUGAAAAUAGAUUAGUUUAAGUUUAGUAUUGUUUUGAAUUAUUAAAGUAAAGUCUUUCUAUAUAAUUUCCGACAGUCCAUAAAAAUAUUUGUUAGAAAAACGUUAUUCAAUUAGUCCUUAUCAAGUAAGUUGAGAAGAAGAAAAAAUGGCAUUUUAAUGUUACAUUAUUAUUAUAAAAUAAUAAUAAUAAAAAAGAAGCUAUGAUGUUGAUGCACCAACAACUGCAAUUAUGUAUUUUUUUGUUGUCUUGGUUUUUGGAAUCAAGUGAAGUGGUUGAUGGUUGAUUUUUGGAACCAAUUCUCAAACAGUAUUUGCUUGACUUUUUUUUUUUCUUUUUAAAUUAUUUUUCUACAUAAAUAAAUUUUAAAAUUAUUUGUUUAACUAUAUAUUGUGUAGUUUUGAUUGGAAAAUUUUGAUUCACCUAUUCAUUUUUAAAAAAAUGCCACUUCUUUAAGUAUGAACACACUUUUUUUUCUUAAUUAAUAUUGUCGUUAUGCCGUUGUUUUUGCCUCUCACAAUAAAUGGUAUUUUUUUUUUAUUGUAGCUUAAGUUUAUAUUUUUAUAUCAUAAUAUUUUAUGUAAGUUAUGUUUUUAGUUUGUAAACAACUUGGCAUAAAUUUGUGAACUUCGUCAAAGUGCAAAAUGGAAUUACCACUUUAUCUCUAUUCUAAAUAAAAUAUCUAAUUUAUUAAAUAUCAAAUAAUAUCAUAUAUAUUAUAUAAAAUACUAAUAGCGAAAAGGUGUUAAAUAAAAACGUUGAAUAAACUUUUAAAUAUAAUUAAAUGGGAAAGACAUUAAGAAUAUGAUAAUGAAAAGAUCAUUGUUGAUUUUUGGAACCAAUUCUCAGCCAGUAUUUGCUUGACUUUUCUUUUUAUUUUUAAAAAAAAUAUUUUUCUACAUAAAUAAAUUUUAAUAUUAUUGUUCAACUAAAUAUUGUGUAGUUUGAUUUGAAAAUUUUCAUGCACCUAUUCAUUUUUAAGAAAAUACCACUUCUCCAAGUUUGAACACUUCUAACUAAUUUUGUGGUCGCAUCAUUGUUUUCGCCCCUCACAGUAAAUGAUAAUUGUUUAUUGCAGCUUAAGUUUAUAUUUUUAUAUCAUAAUAUUUCAUUUAAGUUAUGUUUUUAAUUUGUAAACAACUGAGUAUAAAUUUGUUAAGUUGGUCAAAGUGCAAAGUUGGAUUAUCAUAUUAUCUAUAUUCUAAAUAAAAUAUCUAAUACAUUAAUUAUUAAAUAUAUAUUAUAUUAAUGUAACGUCCGGCGAUUUUAAAUUCUAUGAAGAGGUUAAAACUUGGAAAUAGUUUUUUUGAAAGAAUUAAAAAUCUGGAAAAUUUGGUUAAGUAUGGGAAAAAGUGAGUUUUUGGCCAACUUUGACAGUCAUAACUCCUAGCUCAGGAUGAGUUAGGUGUAGUUCCAGUCAUGUUUGCAAAGUCCGUGGAAUGAUCUUUCCAAUGCCGCUGAGUUUUCUCGUUUGCGAGUUCGUAUGAGCGAGUUAUGCCCUUUCGAAGUUGGGCAGUUGGCAGGGAAUCCGUCCGUAAAUUGUAAGGGUAUUUUGGUCUUUUCCCUAGCCUUGACUUUGGAUAUACAUUAAGGUGAGACUGAUUUUGAUCAGUUUUUCCUUUUUUUUAAAAGAGUAAGAGUUAGGGUUCUUGAGAGAAAAUGAGUGAAAGGAGAAGAAGAAGCAAACUUCGUAAAGAUCGUCGUGGUUUUCUUCGGGGUUGAUCCCUAUUAAGGUAUGUGAGUUCAUAGUGUUGGGUUGGUUCUUUCCCCCACACGCCAAGCUCGUUUAAUUUCGAGAAAAGAUUGAGUAUGUUUGUUGAAGUUGUUGGUUGUAAUUGUUGAAGUUGUAGUUGUGUUGUGUUGAAGUUCUUGUUGGUUUAGUUAUGUUUCGGGUGGUGUUUUUGAGUUGAAUCUAUUGUAUGUUGAGAGGUUCAUGAUUUUAAGUGUUUGGGGCUGGAAACUUUGAAGUGUAGAAGGUUUAGAGUUGGAGAAAACUAAGGAGAAAAGUUAGUUUUCGGGGGAAAAGGGUGGGGCGUCGCGCCUGUCAGCACGCCCCAAGAGGGGCUCUGAACUUUCCCCCUUGGGGCGGCGCACCCAUCAGAGCGCCAGCAGGCCUCCUCUGAAGUUUCUGGUCUGGCGCUCUGCGCCUCUCAGAGCGCCAAGUUUUCCUAUUCCUUCCCCACUUUUUCAUACAUGUUCCUAGGUAUUGUACCUAUGUUUCAUAGUUGUUUUCAACACUCCAAGGUAUGUCUAAACGUCAAGAACUCAUCCAUAUCAUGUGAUCAAACACCUUGAAUCUAUAAAUCCAAUUCAAGGAGAGAUAGUUUCCAAGUCAAGUGAAGUUAAGAGUUAAGCUUGGAAGUUAAGAAGCAAGUCAAGCAAGUUUUUAAAGUUAUUCAAGAGUCUUUAUUGAAUGUUUUAACUUCAAUUUAAGGCUCAAGUUUCAAGUCAAGUAAAGAGUAAAGAGUCAAUAGUUUCUAGUAGAGUAAAGAGUUUAAAGUUGAGUUCAUUUCUCAAAAGUAUUAGGGAACUAUGUAUUUCCAAAGAAGUUUCUAAAUGUUUUUACAUUUGAGUAAGAAAAAGGAACUACGUUUCCAAAAGAGCCUUUGGGCUAGUUUUCAAGAAAAAGGAACAUCGAUUCCAAGUGAGCCUUCGGGCAAAGUUUUGAGUAAUUAUCUCAAAUAAAGAAAGAUGUGUUUAAAACACUUAUGAGCUAAGUAUUUUGGGGAGUAGUCUUGAGCACCGAAUUGGGGACACGAGUUCAUAUAAACUCAACUCCAUAAGAACCAUGCGCCAACAUGAGAGUUAACAGGUCAUACUUUUUAGAUGAUUCCGUAAGUUAAGCUAGUGGAUCCACUUAGUAAAGUUAGCUUCCUAUAUCACGGCAAGGUAUAGGAUGGUCCUUGGGCAACGUGAAGUAAAAUGUUGUAUCACCACUAGGGCUCAUAGUGGUGAUUGUCGGUUAAAGAAUCUCCCACUAAAGUUAUAUUACUUUUAUAUAAGUAAAGUGAGUUGUUAUUGUUUUAUCUUUAAACAAGCUAAGUUGUUUACAUUGUUUUACAAGCUUUAUAUAUUGCAUGUGUCUUAUUGCUUUAUAUAUUGAGUUCAGUUAUUCAUGAGUCGAAUAGAGCCAAGGUAAGUGUUCUCUUGCACUCUUUUCAAGCCUAAGUUGUGGUUUAGCUUUCCAACUCGCAUACUCGUACAUUCAAUGUACUGAUGCCAGUUGGCCUGCAUCGUUUUAUGAUGCAGNNNNNNNNNNNNNUCUCAGUAUUGUAGAGGCUUCAUAGACAGUCAGUCAGUUGGUUUUGAGUCUCUAAUCUAUGUAUAUAUGUAAAUAUUCUAUUUUGAGACUUGAGUUGCCUUUUUGGCCAGAUUGUAUCAGUUAGGUUGUUUUAUAACCUUGCAUUGCAUUGAGUUUUCCGCUGAGUUAAGAAAGCCAGGCCAAGGGUUCGCUUGGGGGCCAGCGAUGGUCUUCGAGUGCCAGCCACGUCCAGGGUGUAGGCUCGGGGCGUGACAAUUAAAUACUAAUAGUGAGAAGGUGUUAAAUCAACAAGUUGAAUAAACUUUUAAAUACAAUUAAAUGAGAAAGACAUAUUUAAAUAAAGAGGUUGAAUAAACUUUUAAAUAUAAUUAAAUGAGAAAGACUUUAUGUAAUAACUCCUCGGACUUCGAAAGAGCUAAAUAGAGAUUUGUACAAGUCACCCAUCUGUUUUUAGUUUUGGGUUAACUUCAAAUGAUCAUAUCUUUUAGCACAUAAAGAAUUAGGUGGCCCACGAGCUAUCAAAUCGAAGGUCUUUGAGUCCUCUUUCCAAUGCCAUCGAGUUUGCUUAAUUUCAAACUUGGAGUAAAACAUUAUGCUCUUUUGAGUGAAGUCUCUAUUUAAGGUUUUUCAUUCAGUUGUAGGAGAGUAUUUUGGUCUUUUCCUUUUCCCACUAAGCCUGACAUGUUUUUUCUCACCCAAUUAAGGGUCUAAUUAGAUGCCCACAUUACUAUUUAGAACUAACUAAGGGCUCUCAUUUAGCUAUUUCUCAUAGUAAAACUUCAUUCUCUUCUUCCUCCUCAUUUAUAACCUUAGACAGAAUUAUCAUACCAUCAUUAUCACGAUAGGAUCAUUAACCUUCUCUCUCUAACAUUACUCUGUUACUAAAAGGACCUCUGAAAAGAUAUCUCCCAUACUCCUUUGAGCUCAUUACUAUCUUAUUCUUAACACUUGACUUGAUUUUCAAUCUUAUCAUCUCCUCAUUAGGUCUAAAGCUGACACUUGGAGGCUAUGGACCUAUUCCAACAUCUCUAACUAGUCUACAUCCUUUUUUACCCCCCACCCCCCACCCCCCGCUCCCUAAUCUAUGCUGGUCCACACCCCGAGUUGAUUGGCGGACUGGGUCGCCACCGUUCCACAUCCGAUCGGUACACCUCGUAAUGCUCUUUUUACUCUUGUGACUUAGCCACACUUCACUGCCCUUAUCAAGAGGUUUAGGGUAUCUCACUUGUACCACUCAUAUUUAUUUAGCUAAUCACCUUAAUUCAUCUCCUACUCUGUGUCAGGUCUUCUAGUUCAAAUCUCAAGACAACAUCAUCACCCUCAUGUUGCCAUCCUUUUGAUCAAGACACUCAUCUCAAAUUCAUGCUUAGUGUUUAUUACUAAACCCGAAUAUCAAUAUGAUUGCUCGCUUACUACACUAACUUACAACUACUGGAUGCAAAUUUAGAAACACUCGUCCACUUGGACCUGAUGACAAGUAGUCAAUCCUUAACCUUUAGUCUCCAUACUCACAAAUUACCAUUAUAUUCGACUUCACAACUUAGGUACUACUUACUCACUUACUGCGCAUUAUCUUUCAAAUAGUUCUAUCAUCAUCUGAAUAGCAUGGGGUUUCCCCCUUCAAAAUUCAUAAGCAUAGCUUGGGUCUACUACCUCAUGAAUACUCUGCUCGAUUAUUUAACAUAUGAAUUUAAUCUUCUCUAACACGAUGACACAUUGACAUCAACUCUAUUCUGGUUAAAAAAAUAUACUCUAUCACAUCGUGACUAGUAUCUAUUCCUCUUCCUUCUAUCUAGAACUCUCUACAACAUUAUUAUUACUUAUUUUACUCAUAAGGGAAACUCAUCACUUAUAACUGAUUGGGUGCAUGAUUGCAAUCACAUAAUCUGCCCCAUCACUAUCUCAUUUCCUUAGAUUACUAAACAUCUGCAUACUUUCCUCUAAUUCUUGGCACUUUCACUACUACUGCUCAUAAUCUCAUAAUUCAUACUAUCUUUUAGGGCGAAAAUACUACCCAAGCUCUAAACAUACCAUCCUAUUAAAGGUCUUAGCUGAAUAAGGUUUAGGGAAGAGUGUACAACUCGCUUUUAGCUUAAACGCACGAUUCAUAUGAACAUGAGUGCAUUCCUCUGAAACACAACAAUUAACUCACUCAUGGGCUUCUCUUAAGCCCCUUUGGAGUCUCAUGACUUCCUCAAGACUCUUGCUAAGAGCAACUCAUCGAUAAGGACAGAUCUUUCUUUUCAACCACCUCUAGUAUGAUGGGUAGUCGAAUAAAUCUGAGAAAUGCAUGAGUAUGAAUAAAUCUCUAUGACAUAGCUCUAUUGCACGAUUAAGAGUAUGAAAGAAGUGAGAGAGUUCCUAAAAUGUUGCAGCCUCAUAAUUAUUGAUGUGGCGCGCUUCACACCGAUAACUAGGACUCUACAUACACGACUUCAUAGACACCCUAAGACUUUUGAACUCUGUGCUCUGAUAGCAAGUUUGUCACGACCCGAGCCUACACCCUGGAUGUGAUCGGCACUCAAAGAACCAUUGCUGGUCCCCAAGCGAACCCUCAUCCUGACAGACUACAAACGAAAGACUAACUCAGGCAUACAUAAGCUUAAAACUGAAUUAAAUUCAUUGAACUCUAGUAGUGAACUUUAAGAAAGUCUGAACAAUACUCAAAAGAAAGUAAAUACAAACAACUCUUCAACUUUGUCUAUCUAUGAAGCCUCUACCAUUACAGAAAUAUAUUGGGACAAGACCCAUGACAUCUCAAAACUACUAAUUGUAAGGUAAAUGUAAAGUCCUCUGGAAUAUAAGAAGGCUGAUCACGAAAGCUGACUGGAAUAUCACAUGACCUCAACGAAACGCCUGUUGAUAAUUAACAAUUUAAUUAUCAUAAUUUCAUACUAAAUUCAAUGAUUCUUAUAGCAACAUUAUUGGUUUAAUCAACAAUAUUAAAUCUACUCGAUCAUAAAUUACAUGACUUUUUUUUAUAAUGACACAAUAAUAAAAACAAACAAAUAAAUAAAGAUACAUUUGUGGUAAAUCAUGGUGAGAAAGAAAUACUUGUAUUAUAUUCUAACAUAGUUAUGCAUGAAAUUUAAAAGUUAACGAUAUACUGUGUUUUUUUCAAUAUUCAAUGUUCGUACCGACACUCAUUUAAUGUAAUUUAUGUCUCAUAAAAUCCAUUAAUAUUAAUUCUUUUUGUAUUUAAACUCUCAUUCGUGUAGAGAUAUUGCGAGAAGAGAGAAUUAAGUUGGGACAGUGCAACAUUACAGUUGAUGUUAUAUUUUUACAAUAAAAAAUAAAAAAAGUUAAACACAUAACAUAGAAUGAGAUAUAAAAGAUAAGGACUUGGUGUGAUAUUUACCUAAUCCAAUUGUAUAGAGAUUAUCUAAAAGCGAAAAAUAAUUGAUUUUUUGAUUUUUUAUUUUAUUUAAAUGUUAGUGUAAAUCUACGAUGAAAUGGCUCCUAAAUUAACCCGGAAAUAUCAACUGACAAAUGCUUAUUCUGUUAUUAUUCACUUGCAAAUAUAUUUAUGGAGACUGUCAGCUAUCAUUUCGAUUUUCGAGUAGAAAGACUUGAUUUUAAUUAAUAAUUCAAAAUAAUUAUUAACUUCAAUUAAUCAAUUUUAGAUCUAGACUUUGAUUAGACUAAUUGAAUGUUCACGUUAAGGCUGCACACAUAAAUCAAACAUUUACAUAGUAGACAUAGUCUACAUGAAGUACUAUUGGGUCAUAUGCACUUUUAUCCUUGUUUUAUUAAGAAAAUAUAAUUUGGACUGGUUUUAAGAGUCGCCACUUAAUUUUUAAAGGAAAAUCAAGAAAACUACUGUUUUCAAAAAACUAAAACAGGAAUCUAAUGAAAACUAAAAAAAAGGGUUCGGGGUUCUUAUUAAUAUUCUAGGAAGGUUUUUAAAGCACCUAGAAUAUCCGCUAAUGCGGUUAUCCGACAAUUAAUUUAUUUGGCUAAAAUAAUUUUAACUUGACUUAAAUUGCAAAAUUGAAUUAUUCUAUAGUUAGAACUAUUUUAAAAAGGGGGGAAAUAAUUUUAACUUGACUUAAAUUGCAAAAUUGAAUUAUUCUAUAGUUAGAACUAUUUUAAAAAGGGGGGAAAUAAUUUUAACUUGACUUAAAUUGCAAAAUUGAAUUAUUCUAUAGUUAGAACUAUUUUAAAAAGGGGGGAAAUAAUUUUAACUUGACUUAAAUUGCAAAAUUGAAUUAUUCUAUAGUUAGAACUAUUUUAAAAAGGGGGGAAAUAAUUUUAACUUGACUUAAAUUGCAAAAUUGAAUUAUUCUAUAGUUAGAACUAUUUUAAAAAGGGGGAAAGAGAAAUAUGGAACUACCAUCUAAGUGAGACAAUUCGCAAAAUUUAUUCUUUUAAGUCUUUUGAAAGACGACCGGUUUAGUUAAGUUGUUAAAAACGAAAUGAGCAUCUUUCGGGGAUUUGAACUUUUCGACCUCAAGAUUAGCAGCAAACAUUAGCAAGCACACAAACACAAAAAUAGAGAGGGAAAGAGACUCGGGCCCAAGUUUGGUUUUUCUGUUCGCCUGGACCAAUACUUGGGCCCAUUUUCGUUUUGGGCUUUUGGCCCAUUCGAGUCACCUGCACCUGCCCUAGCCUAACAAGUAUAGCAAAUAAGUGGGCUUAGGCCCAAAACAACAAAAUACAAUUUUUUGAAUCAAGGGUGGGCCUUUGGCCCAAAUUUUUAAUUUUUCUCGAUUUGUCGAUCUGUUGCUUCUUCUUUCGACCGUGGGACCUGUUCACCGAUUUAUGAUUUGGCUGACUUGGAAGGAAGUGAUAUAAGCCUUUAUGGCUUUCUCGAAAUGCAAAGGAGGAAGAUGAGUUCAUGGUGAACUUGGCCAGAUUUCACAUACAAGAAAGAGGGCAAAAACAAUGAAUAAGUAUUCAAAGGGGACGAUCUUACAGACCUUAAGAGUCCGAGCAAAGUUAAACAAGUUAAAAAAAAUAAAAAUAAAAAUAAAAAAAAUAAAGAAAGUAAUGCAUUUGGAUUGGUGACGCUGACUAAAGGAAAUUUAAAAGAGACAAAAAUAUGCGCCAAGACAUCUGACCAUUCCAAAUCUCAAAAGGGGAAUCAAAUAAUAAAUAAAAGGGUUAGCUGAAACAAAACAAUCGAGAAUAAUCACCCUAAAAAAAACUUAAUACCUCGACUGAUUUAAACAGAAAGGAAACCCAUAUUGCUUUUAUUUUCCGUUCGACCAAAUGCAAACUUGCACAUGCCUUUCAAAUAAAUAUUAGAAAAUAAGCCCAGGAAGCACUACCGCAACACACAAUAUGGACAGAAUCUUGGACCAAUUUAAUGAACAUGAAAACAAACAAGUAUUGCAGCUAAAUGCAUUUAAAUUAAAUCUAUAAAAAUGAGUGGGGCAAAGAAACAAUCAAAUGGACUUCAUGCUAUACUUGACUACUGGCAACAUGCUGGAAAAGAGAAAAUAAUCCAAAACUAGACAUAAAUUGACACGUCCGAAGAUAGGUUGACAAUGAAAUAUACGGAAUACUCGACUUAAAUCAAUCUGAGCAAUUAAACGACAAAAUCUAACAUAAAAUGUGACAUCGAGCUUUAUGCAAUCGUAAUAUUGAGAUAGCCUACUUAAAUGUAAUGAACAUAAAGAAAAUUCGAGCGGAGGCAUGUUGCACACUAGACAAACAUCACACUUUAUGCAAUAAUCGAUACCCGGUUUAUCCAUGGAGACCCCAAGCUAACAACUUAUCAUGCUAAAGGGUCAAGCUAACUCACUUGAAACAAAAAGAGGAAAAUGGCUACAAUCUAAAGGCCUAAGCAAAAUGACAUCGCUAUUCAAACUAAAUAUGCUAAACAAUAGCAUAAACUAGCAUAGAUAAUGUCCGUAGAAAACAACAUGGUUGGACAAUGACACCAAAUGAAUAACUCGACUAAUCCACAAGUAAGAACUAGAAAUAAUAUCUACAGAUUUAAACAAAGGCAGGAAAAUUGUUUUCUGGAAAAGGCAAGGAUCACUCUAGCUAAGCCGAAACUUUGCAAAGACGGAGCUAUGACCACAACAUCACGAGUUAAGCCAAAAUAGGUAUGGACAUCAAAUUAACGACUAACAUUAUAUCAUAUGAACAAAAAUAAGAACAAACUGUGCGAGGCCCAAAAGACGCAACCUAUUCACUCAUCAUUUAAACCAAAUGUGAAUCUAACCUUCUCAAGCAACGUGAGGCAGGGAUUCCGCUAAUUAAAGACUCAAAAUCAAGUUAGCGAAUAUAACGAUCAAUAUAUAUCCCAAGAUAGCUUUACUAAUAUCUCACCUAACCAAGACACGAAAUCACAUAGGAGUAUAUGCAUCGCAUCAACAUCACCAUAAACCCAACUACAUAUAUUAGUAGGCCAUCCUCGGAACAGAGAUCUUCCAACAUCAAAUAUUGAGAUAAGGAAAGAGAUGAAGAAAAUGUUAUUGGGAGAGAGUAGUGUUACCUUUUUUCGGGCAGCGAACAGGAACCAAGAGCUAGCAACGACUUCACCACUACACGAACUUGACCCCGGACAACAAAUAGGGAGUCUGGACAGAAAUCUGAGCAGCUAUCUCGAGUUCGAAUGAACUUGUGAUAGAGCGAUGGACAGCACCAAAAGGAAAAUAAAACUAAGUUUUUAGACGAGUUAACCUCUCUAUUUCAGAGUGUAUUUCAUAUGUAUUCAGACUACUUCUUCUUAAGCUAUUCUUAUAUUUUUGCUAACAACUCUUCCAACUCCCAAAAAAAAAAAUCCCCCCUCCAAUGAGGAAGAAAAUGAGCAUAUAUAGGGGGAAUUUAGGGUUGUUUUGGGGGGAAAAGAUGAGGGCAAUUUCGGGUAAGAACAAGACCCAAUUCGAAAUUCAAACCUAAAAAAAAAAAUCUUGCACUAAUUAAGGAAGACAUACUUUUUCUGCAAAUUCAGCCCAUUCCCGAAGAGGAAAGGGCGAGAUGGACGCUCGAGAUCAAUUUAUUCGUCCUCAGGUGCGACGUGGUCUCAUCUCGCAGCUGCAAGGACGGUUCUUGGCUAGAAAUGGCGCUGGAACAGUACUGCUGGAACAACACUGCGUUGUUGCUGCUACUCACGCGAGGAAGAUGAAGCGUGGGCGUUGGGGUCGUUGUUUGCUAUGUAUUUGCUGGAAAGAAAAAAAAAAAGAUGGGCUGACACGUAUGUAAUUGUAUUGUUGUAUGUUAUUGUCUUAGUUGGUUUAUGUAUAGAUAAUGGGCUGGGUCGGUGGGGCUGCUUGUAUUGUUGUUAUUAUUUUAUUAUUAUUGCACGUUAUAUUGUAUGUAUGGGUCAUUUGGAUUUUUAUUGGAAUGGGUUGGGAGGAAUUAUAAUAUUGGGUUGGCUAGGAAUUAUUGUGGUAGGCAAUUUAAGUUUAAGACUUAGCCAACUUGAUCAAAUUUAAUAAAUUUGGCUAAUAAUUAGAUAAGACGAAUUAAUAAUUAAUUAAUUAACGAGCUUCUUAAUCUUAACGAAAUAAAAUAAUAAUUAAUUAUAAACUAAUUAAUUUAACAAUAUAAACGACUAAAUAACCAAAUGUUUAAAUAAAGCUAAAAAUCCUUUUGAGACAAUUUUCGAACCUUCAUAAAAAUAUACUAAUUAGACACAUAAUUAUAUAACAAUUAACUUAAUUAUAAACUAACUAAUUAAUUCAAAAUUGCAAACUACUAAAUAACUAAACUAACUAACCAAAUAUUUAAUUAAACAAAAUAUUUUGAGACGAUUUUUGAAUAUUUUAUAAAGUUCAGAAGUAUACACAUAUUAUUUAAAAAUUAUAAAAAGUGACAAACCAUUUAAACUAACUUGAAAAAUAUUUUAAAUUUUAUAAAAGUCAAUAUUUUAAAUCAUUUGAAAAUUAAGAAACUCAGAAAUUAAUUAUUAUCGGGGAGGGUCAAAAUUGGGUGUCAACAAUCCUUAUUUUAUGCUGCUCUUUAAUUUUUGCUCAGUGGUAGAGUUAUCGUCUCGUAAAGAUGGUUAGACGAAUAUCAUUCAUUGAAAAAAUUACUACUUUUAUUAAGUAUAUAUAUAGAUAAUAUAAUAUUUUUAUACUAGGUAAUUAGAGGAAAUGUACAAAGUCAGUUAAGCUUAAGCCUUUACGAAAUAUAAAUUUAUGGAUCAAAUGUCACGACCUAAAAAAUGGAUGUGAUGAUACUCGUCUUAUCCCACCAAGACAAGUUAGCCUGAAACCCAAAUAUCACAAACUAUGCGGAAGUAAGACAUAUUGAAAUUUCAAAAUAUCAUAAAUGCGGAUAACUAAGUCAACUUAACAAAAUCCCCAAAACUUGGUCGUCACAUGUACAAGCAUUUAGUGUGUUAUAACAAAAUUGAAAGAAAAUACAAGUCUCAAAUGACAUUGUUUCUAGAAUAAAAUAAGAUCAUAAAUAUGGAGAAAGAAGUUUGGUUGAGAUGACGAGCAACUACCUCACAAACCUCCACAAGAAGCCUCAGACAAGAAGAGAAGAGAAAGUAUCACGAAGUUUUGGGCUAGUAACCUACAAAAAUGUAGAAGCAUGGGGUGAGUACCAAACCACACGGUACUCAGCAAAUACAAGCUAAGGGAAUAGAAUACAGGUACUCCUUACCACCCCAACCGAACCUCCACAACUACAACAUGCAUAAAACCAGUCCAACCUAACAGUUCACGACUUACAUAGCACACAGCUCAACAACAACACUCUAACAAUUACAUAUCCUCAACAACAAACUCAAUAUUCAUCAGUCACAAGUUCCACAAAAAAAUACUCAUAAGAUCAGCAACACACAAGAUCAAGUUCACCAAUGAUAAAGAUAUGCAAUGCAACUAAAUGCAAUGUCAAGUAUAGUGAUGCAUGUCUAAUCUAACGAUACACACCCGCUGUCUCUUAGUCCGAGACCCAUGGGGGACAUAUCUGUUCAUGCAUCUGUUGCGGUGUGCGACACGACCCUCGAUAAUGAAAUCCGUCGUGGCGUGAGACACAUCCCUCGAUAAUAAAUCCAUCGUGGCGUAGGACACAUCCCUCAGAUUAUAAUAUCCGUCGCGGCGCGCGACCCGUCAUUGAAAUGGUAUGUCCUCUUUAAUUUCUUAUUCUUUUUCAAUUCACAUAACACUUAUCACAACCAUGUCUCAAAACCAAUGCAAAUGACAUGUUCACACAAAUAAUAAGGAGAUGAUCAUUUUCAUAACAAUGUAAAAUACACAACAUGAACACAAUCGUGAUACAACAUCAACUAUGAAUCAAUAAGCCUUUCAAACUAUUCUCAACACAUCACACACCAAUAAUUAAUCACAUAAUUGUCUUUUAUUCCUUUUUUUCAUCAUUAAAAUUAUUUCAAUAUGAACAAGUCAACCCAUCACAAUGUCCCAUUACUCCCCAACACUUACCACAAGGAAAUACACGAUUUUAUACACUUAACAAGGGUUGAGAAAUUCACUUGCCUCAAAUAAUCGAACUAUCACUAUGGGACUUGAGCCUUUCCCAUUUAUAGGGCUUCCAAAUCAAUGCAAUCUAUUAACGUAAAUAAUUAUAGUAAGAUUUCUAACCCAACACCACUCAUAUUAUAAUUUCUAGCCUAGACCCAAAAACAUCACCCAAAUCUGUAGUCAAGUUCCUAAAUCUUGAUAUCAAUUAACAUGUCAACUCUCAUAUUUUCAAAUUUCAAGUCUAGGGUUAAGUUCCAAUUCUCCAAUAUCAUAAAUCUAAUGGUAUUUAUAUUUUUGAUUAUCACAUUAUGAUUCAAGUUUCGAUAUAUUAACAUAGGUAAUUAAAUAGUAGACAUAUUCAAAUCAUGAUUUCAAAUUAGAUAUCCUAACACUUAUUUGAAAUCAUAACUUCAUAACAUUUGGUCAGUGUUCUUCAUCUGAUUUAGGCCAUUUAGGACAUAUAUAUAUCAGAGAGUUCACACGAAAUAAGAUUCAUAACUAACAAAUAACAUGCAUGUCUUGGAACAAUACAUAGAUAUUCAAAGCUUAACUACUCCAAAUAUAGCAAAUUACUCCUAAUGAGGCAAAGCAAUACACAAUUUACAUGAAAGAAAACACUCAGUUAAAACAUCUCCAGAACAAGUUUGUUUAUUGGAAGCAGUAAUCAGAUGAAAUCAGAUGGAAGCGUUGUGUUGUUUCUUUCUUCAUUGUUGCUCUAUCCUUUGGGCAUUCUGCAAAUCAUAUAUAGUAUGAUUUAAAUUAAAUGAAGUACAUAUGUAGGGGUGAAGAUGUAAGAAAUCAAUUACCUCUUCUUCACUUUAUUAGUAUAUAUGGAACACAUCUGAUAUAUGCAGGGGAGGCUCAACGUUAUUGGGGGCCUAAAGAAUUUUUUUAAUUUGAGGCCUAAAAUAUAAACAAACUUCAUAUAUGUAUUUAUUCAAAAAAAAAUAUUUUUCUUACACUAUUUAGAUGAAAGUUAUUAGUAUUUAAAUUGUUUUUUCAGUUAUUAGUUUUAGGUAAGAUUUCAUCAACUCAACAUUGAAAAACAUCCUUUCAGUGAGGCAAUUAGUAUAUGAAUUGUUAACAUAAUUCAAAAGUAAUAAGUUGACAAAUAUUAAAUAAACAUAAGAGUUAGAAACAUAAAAUUUGACUCAAAAAGUUGAUGACUUGGUAUACCCCAUUUUAAUAUGCUUAUAGUAAUGCUUGAAACUAAAAUUUAAAAAGAAAUAAAAAAAGAAUUUGUAAUUCACUUCGUUCAACACUUUUCACUAUUAAUUAUUAUUUUUAACAAAGUACAAAAAAUGCUUAAGUAGGUAAAAUAAUAUAUUUUUAUAAUAAAUAAUCAAUUUUUUCUAUAAAAUUUUUAACACAUAAUUUAUUGGGAAAAUUGUAUAUAAUAGCAAACUAUUAAUUCAAAUUAAAUGCUAUAAAUAAAGUUUGAUUUAAUUGUACCUCAUAGCAAACUGUUGCUAUUUCACCUCUCUCCUGGUGAAUCUCUCUCGCCACUCUCGUUCUCUCCCUCGCCUUUCUCAUAUUUUAUACAAACACAAGUGUAUAAAGUGUGUUUGUGUUUGUAUAAAGCAAGAGAAAAUUGUAUAUAUACAUAUAUUUUCGUUCCCCUCUCUCCCCUCUCCCAGAUCUCACUCGCCACUCUCCCAGAUCUCGCUCGCUCACUCGCCUCUCUCACUUUAUACAAUUGAUCUUUUUGUAUAUUAUACCAAAGCAGAUUAUACAACUUCUUUCUUUUGUAUAUGUAUAGAGAAAUAUACAUAUUUAUGUUUGCUAUGGAGCGCAAUUAUGCAAAUUUUGCUAUAACAUACAAAUAUGAAUUUUGUGUUUGCUAUAUGUGAAAGUUGCUCUAAUUUAUUCUUGAUAAAAAAUUGGGCCCCCAUAAGGCAAAAGCCUUAUUUCCCAAUGCAUAGAGCCGGCCCUGGAUAUAUGGACAUGAAGUCUGUCCUCUCCUGCGAAAUCUAUUACAUCUUUCUUAAUCUCCAUGGCUGAAUCUACAACCUGACUGUUAAUAUUUGUUAAAUGAAUGAACUUUAAACUGUCUAUAUCCCCAAAUGCACAAGGGAUCUCCGUAAACUCCUCACAGUAUUCUACUAUUAAUUCCUCAAGCUUGGGAAAAGUUCCCUUAUCAACUUGCCAUUCUGAAAGGUUGACCUCUCGCAAAGUCAAAGUCUUAAGACUUUAAUACAUGUCCUCACUUGCAUCCCACUUAUCCUCCACGAAAUAAGAGUCGAUAAUCGCCAGGAUUUCAAGGUGAGGCAAUGCCGCGAUUGCUGACAACAAAGCAGGUCUCAUGUGAAAUAAAUUCAACCGUAACUCUUUCAAGCUGCUAGGGAAGUGAUAUUCAUUGGGAUGUGGUAUUUGGUAGAUUGACUCGGUGUGAAAUAAGUACUCUUUGGGCAUCCUGUAUUUUGCAAAGAGUGAUUCAAGUUUAUUAAGAACAUAAAGCUUGGGAAAAAGGCUUACUCUUCUUGGAGAGCAUAUGAUCCACCAUUAUCAGGCUACUAGAAAUUAAAGCAUCCAAGUAACUUUGAGUUGCUUCCUCUAAACUACACUUGGAUGGAAUAUUAUGCUCCACCAACCCUUCAGCCAUCCACAACUGCAUCAACUUAGAGACUGGAGCUCGUUUGCUCUUUCGAGAUCUUGCAAAGUAAAGCAACAACGGCUUCAGGUGGUAUGGUUAAUGGUCAUAACUUAAUUGCAUAACCUUCAUAAUCUCUAAAUUGAUCGGUCAAUUGAUCUUGAAAGUUCUGUCCCAGCAUGAAAGAUUAUUUUCUCUUGUUCGAAAAAUCAUGUACUUUGUUGUACAUAUUCAGGUGAAUCAAUUAACGACAACCAUCCAUUGAUUUAACUCUCCCUGUUGUUUUACCAAAGUCUAAAUCCGUACCCAACUUAUCUCCAAGCAACAUGAAGCCUUCCAAUUUCAACCUUGAAUCAGAAGACGAGUCCAAGGUCAGCAACUGCCAAGUGGGUUCAAACAUAUCCGUCCAAGAAAUUCGCCCUGGUCCUUCCCUUAAUCUUCAGCAGGAAUCAGUUCCUAUUACUCUUGACUUGACUCUUGGCUUCAACAGCAGUGACUCCGAGUUGAAAACCAAUGGAGAGGCGAGUGAUGAAGUAGUACCCCAUCCUCCAACGGCAGCACUAUCCCGAGUUUUCUCGUGCAAUUUCUGCAGACGCAUGUUUUACAGCUCCCAGGCGUUGGGCAGACAUCAGAACGCACAUAAGAGGGAGAGGACUUUAGCUAAUAGAGCAAUGCGGAUGGGAAUGUUAUCGGACAGGUACGCUAGCUUAGCAUCAUUGCCCCUUCACGGGGCUGCAUUUCGAUCUCUUGGCGUUUAAGCUCAUGCUUCCACACACCAACGCAUCUCGCACCAAGAAACGCCUAUUCAUGCGGUUAGAAGUAGGGCUAGAUUUGAACAAGGCUAUUUCGGGAUGCCAGUAUUCGUGGAGGAUGAUGAAGUGGAAGUGUUCUGGUCCGGUAGCUUCAGGCAAAUAGAGGGAAUUGGUGGCAAUACGGGGUAUAAUUCAGGGUAAAGUUCAAGCAUAAAUUUUGUAGCUGUAGCUCCUCAAACUAGGACAGAUCCAACAUUGCCUGAUCUUAAUUUGAAACUCUGUUGGUUUUUUUUUUUUUUUUUUUUUUUUUUUUGGCAUUCUAUUCUACUUUUUUGUAUCAGAAUUUUCACAAUUGUGGUAUUACACUAGUGCUCUAUUUGUACAGGAGGUGAAUAUUUGAGACUGUCUUGAGCUUUCAAUUUUGAAUCUUCUUCAUUCCCAAAUUUGUUUAGUUGACCAUCUUAUUGUACAAUUAUAUGAUAUUAUUACAUAAGUACAGAUUUGGGACAGUGGUGGUGUUAUUUAGUCUAUGGAAACCUUUAACUUCCUCCCAUUUUAACCCUGUUUAUAAUUAUUCGCUAGAUUCACUUCAGAAAGUCUCACAUUGGGGGUAAGACAUGCAUUCCGUAAAAAAGGCGACUCUAAAUCCAGUAGGGCUCGAACGCGAGACUUCUGAUUAAGGAUCAAAGAGUACUACCACUCCACCACAAUGCUUGUUGGCAGUAGUCAUCUAACUGUCCAUAUUAUUAAAAAAAAAGGGAUAGUUGUCUUUUUCACGUUCUUAAAAAAAAAGAGAGACUUGUCCAUUGAUGACUGUUUAUCAUCAGAUUCAGGCGAAAUGGGACAUAUAUUGAUUCACAAUUUGGCAUUGAAACCUUCCAAUUGAAAAACUAGAAUCUUAUAUGAGAGAUUACAAACAAAAUAAGAUUCAUAACUAACAAAAAACAGGAAAAACAAAAACACACACAACACAUUAAAUUAAAAUAUGUCCAGAACCAGCAAUGAAAAAAAACCAGUAACAAGUUUGUUUAUUGGAAGCAGUAAUCAGAUGAAAUCAGAUGGAAGCGUCGCGUUGUAUCUUUCUUCAUUGUUGUUCUAUCCUUGAGUCCUUUGGGCAUUCUGCAAAUCAUAUAUAGUAUGGUUUAAAUUAAAUGAAGUAUAUAUGUAUGUAGGGGUAACGAUAUAAGAAUUAAUUUCCUCUUCUUCAGCCUCUUCUUCAUCUUCUUCUUCAGCUUCUUCUUCAGCCUCUUCUUCAUCUUCUUCUUCAUACACAUCUUCUAUAUGGACUUGAGGUCUGUCCUCUCCUGUGAAAGCUUCUACUUGUUUCUUAAUCUCAAUGGCUGAAUCUCCAAGCUCACGCUUAGUAUUAGUUAAAUGAAUGGACUUUAAAGUGUGUGUAUCUAUAAAUGCAGAAGGGAUCUCCGUAAGCUUGUAACAAUGUUCUAGUCUUAAUUCCUCAAGCUUGGGAAAGGUUUCCAUAUCAACUUGCCAUUCCGAAUGAUUGACCAUUCGCAUAGACAAAGUCUUAAGACUUUGAUAGAUGUCCUCACUUGCGUCCCACUUGUCCUCUACGAAUUCACAGUAAAUAAACUCCAGAAUUUCAAGCUCAGGCAAUGCCGCGAUUACUGACAACAAAUCAGGUCUCAGGGGAAAACCAUUCAACCGUAACUCUUUCAAGCUGUUAGGGAAGUAAUAUUCAUUGGGUUGUCGGAUUUUAUCAGGAUAUUCGGCAUUCUCGUACAUUGCAAUGAGUGAUUCAAGUUUAUUAAGGACAUCAAACUUGGGAAACCAAUCGCGGUGUGUAGGAGGAUCUAUCGGUUCCUUGAUGUAGCAAUGAAGGUGCUGAAGAUUUGGGAACUUCUCCAGAACAUCACUCGUGCUUCAGUAAAUGAGAUAUCAACUUUGGAUAAAGUUGUCAAGUCUUCUAACUUUGAAUUCUCAGCUUCCAAUAUUCUACUUGGUUGAUGCAUAAUAUUGUCCGCAUCCAUUUCCUCUUCCUCUUCAAAGAAAGAACUCCUGUCAAUUUUCACAUGUUUUAGCUUUGAUAGUUUGAAUACUAUGGGCAGUAAUACCAUGGUGGAAUAUUGUGUAUUGUCAAGAGUCCAAAGCUUUAAGAACCUCAAAUGAAAUAGGGAGCCUAUUUCUUCCAUUAAAAAAUCUUCCAGAAUAAUGCUAUCCAGUUGCAACACUCUAGCAAGUCCAAAGGGUCUUGUAUGGCAGAUAUAGCUGGAGUUAAGAAGUGAACCGCUAACUUUCAAAGAUAUGAGAUGCUUACUACCAGCUGAACACUUAUUAGAAUUGAACAAACCACAUUUUUUGUUAGACGAUGAUGUAGGAAAUCCAAAGCAUGAAAUCGAGCACCUGGAUUCAUUAACUUGAAAAACUUUGCCUUUUUAGAUUUUGCUGAACAAAAAUCGUGCACAACAUCAUGCACAUAGCAAACCUUGAUCCUAACAGAAAAAGGCAUACUCUUCUUGGAGGGGACUUGAUCCACCAUUAUCAGGCUACUGGAAACUAAAGCAUCCAAGUAACUUUGAGUUACUUCCUCUAAACUACUCUUGGAUCGGAUAUCAUGAUCCACAAACCCUUCGGCCAUCCACAACUGCUUUAACUUAGAGACCGGAGUUCGUUUGUUCUUUUGAGAUCUUGCAAAGUAAAGCAACAACGGCUUCAGGUGGCAUGGUAAAUGGUCAUAACUUAAUUGCAUAUCCUUCAUCAUUUGCAAAUUGAUGUUUGCAGAAAUAAAGGAAUCCAAAUUAUGUUGAAUCUUAAGCCACAAAUUCUUUUCCUUUUUCUUUCCUCUAACAAUUACUCCAGCAAUCAAAACAAUAGCCAAGGGAAGUCCUUUACAUUUCUUAACUAUUUGGUGUCCAACAUUUGACAGUUCAGCAGGGCAGCUUCCUUCUCCAAAUACCCUUUUUUCGAAUAGUUCCCAACUUUUUUCAGGUGUUAAAACUUGAAGGUUGAUAGGAUCAGUACGACAUUUAACUUGCGAACCUACCUUACUAAUUCGGCUAGUUAAAAUAACUCUAUCUCCUCUUUUAAGCUUUGGAAAACAUGCUAUUAACAUCUCCCCUGUUGCAAUAUCCCACACAUCAUCCAAGACGAUGAGGUACCUUUUAUUGUACAGCGCUCUUUGUAGCUUUUCAGCAAGGUCAUCCUCACUUCCUUUUUCAGAGCCAGUAACUUGCUGAAGAAUCUCCCGCAACACCUUUGACUUGUUAUACUUUUGGGAAACAGUCCACCAAGCACGAAUCUUGAAAUGACUAGCAACUAAUGUAUUGUUAUACACUUUGUUGGCCAGAGUAGUUUUACUGAGUCCUGGCAUUCCGACAAUAGAAAUGACAUCAAGCUCGGAUUCAUGUUCAUCAAGGAGCUGGUCAAUGAUCUGGGAUUCUUUCUCAUGAACUACUGUUACCUCAACAAAAGGUGAUGAGGUUAACUCAAUUGGCUCGAUGGAAGACUUUGCAUCAAGGGGGGUGAUCCCCAUUCUUAUCCUCCAGCCGUAAACCGGUGACUUCUGCCACGAUAAGCUUGAUCUUAUCAGUGAUCCUCGGAAGUGAGAAGAUUAAAUGGGAGAGAGCUUUAUCUCUGACAAGAAUGGAAUUAAUGACAUGUUCUGCCUCAUAUGCCACAUCUAAUGCACGCACCCAACAAUCUUUAACUACUCCACUAGUACUGUCAUCCAAUGUUUGCCUGAAAGAUGAUGUUAGGAAUUGAAGGCUUUCUUUCAUCAUCCCAAUUUCUUUUUUUUUGAGAGAAACUGCAUAGACAUUGGAAAUGAGCAAAUCAUUUAAAUGUCUGAGUAGAAGAUUCAUGAAGAGGAAACCAUCAUCCAUAGGAAAGCAAAGUUGAGAUAACUCUGGAGCUUUCAAAAAAAUGUCUAAUAUCUCGCUUCAUUUGUUCUAUUUCUUGCAACAAGUCUGAAGCUGAAAAGUCCGCUUCAUUGAUAUUAUUCUCAGAGCUCUCCUCCACCAGAAUAGAUAUCUUCCUAGCAAGUUGCCCAACAUGUGCCAACAUAUCAUUCAAUUUGUCAUGAUGGAUAAAUUGCUUUGGUAUAUCAGUGAGAAAGAUCAAUAGGAACUCUAUCAUGACAUUAAUGCUUUGAGUUGGAGCGUAAUUGACAGCUACUGCAUCUGCCAUGCGUCCAGGGCCGGCUCUUGCCUAUAAAAUUUUAGGCAUUGGCCUUAGGCCCCAAUUUUUGGGGGCCUCAAAUUUUUAUAAAUAAAAAAUUAUGUAUCUUAAUCCCAUUCAAAUAGAAGAAAUUAAGGAAACAUUGUCUUGGAUUCUUACAUUUUCUUCGUUAACACUCACAUUAUUUAUCCUUUGUAACUCUUUUUGCACUCUAUUUCUUCAAAUCUUUGAUAGUUAGAGUAAUACACUCUCAAAAAUAUGAAUCAAUAGUCGAAAAGUGUUGAACAAAGUGCAUUACAAAUUCUUUUUUUUAAUUUAUUUGUUAAUUUUCAUAUUAAAGUAGGUAUACCAAGUUAUCAACUUUCUGAAUCAAAUUCUAUGAUUCUAACUCUUAUAUUUAAAGUUUAUCAACUUAUUACUUAUAAAAUUGUGUUAAUAAUUCAUAUAAUAAUUGUCUCAAUAAAAGGAUGUUUUUCAAUGUUGAAUUGAUAAAAUCUUACUUAAAACUAAGGGAAAAUGUAUAAGUACCACCCCAGCCUAUGCCCGAAAUCCCAGAGACACACCUAACCUUUACUAAGGUCCUAUUACCCCCCCGAACUUAUUUUAUAUGUAAUAUUCUACCCCUUUUUGGCCUACGUGGCACUAUCUUGUGGGCCCAACGCAUGUUGACAAAAUUUUCAAGGAUAGUGACUUGUGCCACGAUAAGCUUGAUCUUAUCAGUGACACUGGAAGUGAGAAGAUGAGAUGCGAGAGAGCAUUAUCUCUGACAAGAAUGGAAUUAAUGACAUGUUCUGCCUCAUAUGCCACAUCUAAAGCACGCAACCAACAAUCUUUAACUACUCGGCUAGUGUCAUUCAAUGUUUGCCUGAAAGAUGAUCUAAGGAAUUCAAGGCUUUGUUUCACCAUCCCAAUUUCUUUCUUUAUGAGAGAAACUGAAUAAGCAUUGGAAAUGAGCAAAUCAUUUAAACGUCUGAGUAGAAGAUUCAUGAAGAGGAAACCAUCAUCCACAGGAAAGCGAAGUUGAGAUGACUUUGGAGCUUUCAAAAAAAUCUGUCUAAUAUCUCGCUUCAUUUGUUCUAUUUCUUGCAACAAGUCUGAAGCUGAAAAGUCCGCUUCAUUGAUAUUAUACUCAGAGCUCUCUUCCAACAGAAUAGAUAUCUUCCUUGUAAGUAGCCCAACAUGUGCCAACAUAUCAUUCAAUAUGUCAUGAUGGAUAAAUCGCUUUGGUAUAUCAGUGAGAAAGAUCAAUAGGAACUCUAUCAUGACAUUAAUUCUUUGAGUUGGAGCGUAAUUGACAGCUACUGCACCUGCCAUGCGUCCUUGGAGAAGAAUCAGAUAAUUUUGAAGAAUCCUUGGUGAUGCUUUCCGGAUUUGCUUAACAAACCGUUCUAGUUCAGUUGAUCUUGAUUCUUUGAUGAGCAGUAGAAAUGUAUAAACCUCCAGCUCAAGAGGGAUUAUGUCGAUGAGUAGAGAAGCAAUCUUGGAAGAGCAUUGAGAGACGUCGUCACACACCUCGUAACCAUCAUAAUAAUAUUCAGUCCAAAGAUCAAAACAGAAUUGUGUUACUCUAUCAGCAGUCAAUUGGUGCCAAAGGUAGAGAUAUUCAGUGUGUGCUUUGUUGGCCUUGAGGAUAGGAUAGAAAUCUCUCAGAUGUCGGAAUACUUGCUAUUAGCACGAUAGUUUGGUAGAUCAUGAAGGUGUCUGAAGAGAUAUUCAAACAUUUUCUCGUCAGUCGUCAUGGCUACAUAAUAAUCAUUCUCCAAAUUCAAAAAAUAACUUUUCAUCUCUUCCAGCAGCAGAGGGGCAAGACAUUCCAUGUCGCAUUUCGCUAGGUUUAAUUUAUCAUCUUCAUCUUGAUAGAAAAGUGAGCAACUAAGUUCAUAGAACUUGUCUAUUUUCUCGGACAUGCUGGAAUAAAAAUAAUCCAAACUCGGUUUCCCAAACAGAACAAAUGUUCUUAGGAAUCUCAACUCCAUUCUUAGCUUUUCAAUGUCAUCCAAUUUUGAUGAAGCAAUUAUUUUUUCAUUCUUUAUUUUCUUCAAGCCAUUUAAGAAAUCAUCAAUAUGACUGCUGAUUCUUCUUCUUUCUUCCUCAAAUGGAAGCUGCUAAAUUAAAAACCAAUCAUUAGUCGGGAUAUAUUAGUGACAAAUUUUGUUAUUUAGUUACACAAGUGUAGUAAGUAGUUUGUUUAUGUGAUGUAAUAUAAAGUUUAGGGAUGUAAGAUUCUUUUUAGUGAAUUUUAACAUUUUUUUUUUAUAUUAAACUUUUUUUUAGUAGCUUCUAUAGAUAAUUUAUUACUAAUGAGAAUGGGUGAUAUAAUUUUUAAAUUAAAUAAUGAAUUUGUUUUUGCUAAUAAUACUACCUCCGUCGACUUUUAUUUGUCAUGCGCUUUUCGAAAGUCAAUUUGACUAAUUUUAAAAAUUAAAUUAGAUUAAUUAAUUCGAUAUUUUAAACAAAAAUUUAGAUAUUCAAAAAAUAUACUAAAAGUACUAUAAAUUGCAAUUUUUUGCAUAUCAAUAUGAUGAAAAAUACAUCAUAAAAUGUUAGCUAAAAUUCUUAUAAUUUGAUUCUAAAAAGAAAACAAUGACAAUUAAAAAUGGAUCGAGGGAAUAGAAAAAAAAAAAAAAAAAGGGCAAAGUGCCCAAUUAAUUAAAUAAAUAAAAAGGAAAGGAAAAAGGGCAACUACCCAAUAGACCAAAGAAAAUAAAAAGAAAAGUUGAAAGACGUGAAACGUCAAACAACAUAAACGAAAAAAAAAAAAACAACAGUUCAACAAACGCAGUAGAAGAAUAGAAAAGAAAGAAAGAGAAAAUAAGAGGAGAAAAUAAAAGAGAAAAAGUGGAAACUUUAUCUCAAAGUGAUUCUUGUUCUUUUCACAAAAUUUUUAUACGAUUAUGAACAGAUUUUUAGGAUAGAAAGUGUAGAAUUUAUGCCUAAUUGAGAAAAAUAUAAUUCUAGGAUUUUUAGAACAAAAUCUUGAUUUGAGGGUCGAAUAACUAUUCGUUUUAACUAAAAUUUAUCAUGCGAGUUAUUUUAUUAUGAGUGAAAUAAUCCAAAGAAAAUUUCAGAUUUGAAUUCGAAGGCUCAGGGUGACUUUUUUCACCCAAUUUUGAGCCAAAAAAAAAUAAUAUAAUAAUAUGUGUGUCAUUCAAUUCGUAUUCUUACGAGAAUUAUAUAUCUGAACAGAUUUUGACCAUUCAAAAGCAUUACAAAAGGAUGAAUUGGUAAUUUAACUUUUGAACUUCAGUUUGAAGCAAGUAGAAAUUCCUUCCUUUCUUUGGAGUGUUAGUUUUAUGAAAUAUAUAAAUAUAAUGAUAACGAAUAAUAAGAGGGUCCUGUAUAAAUGUGAACAACCCGAACCGUCGUUAUUUAGGAGAAACAAAAAUUCGGGAAAAUUUGGCCAUUGUCCCGCCAUAGCGGGCCAGAUGCCGCUAGGGCGGCGGCGCCAAGGCGGGGUAAGCUAACGCCAGGGCGGGAUAGGCGAGGCAGAACGUAAAUUACGCGAAAUCCUAUUUUCCUCCUUCUUCCUAAAAUACCUAAAUAAGUCGUAAAACACCUUAGAAACCCCCAAAAAGCUGUUGCAAGCUUGGGAAGAAGGGAGAGAGAGAUUUCUAGCGUGAGGAUGAUGAUGUCUUAUGGAUUCUUGGCCAAAAUCACCGUCACGAAGCCCAAAAAACAAGAAUCGAAGUCAAUAACUCCGUGCAAUUGCUUGGCACCCAGGUAGGUUUUAUGAAUUGAGUAGUUUAAAUAUGUGCUUACUACGUAAUAUAUGUGAAUCGAUGGUUGGAUUUAUGCGUAGGACUUCGUGCACUGAAUGAUUAUUGAUUUAAACCCUAGAAAGAAGCCUUAGACGAUGAAUUAGGGCUGAGAAUGGUCGAAUUAGGGUUGCAUGAAGUGUGUUGAUAAAUAAUCCGUUGUGAGGGUGGUGAUUCCAUGAUUUAGUGAUGUAUGUUGUUCUUGCUUCAUUGUGAAACAUGUAGGUAUACGAAUGUUGCAUUGUUGAUCACACUUGUUGUAAAUAAGGAGAUGUGAAUGAUGAACGCUAUGAGUCAUGAAUUGUUUUACAUGAUUAUGAGGAUAAACUUGUGAUAUGUUGAAUGGAUCAGUUGCCACGUUCCGGCAUAACUAAUUGGGAUCGAUUGCCACGUUUCGACAUAACUUACUGGGAUCAAUUGCCACAUUCCGACAUAACUAACUGGGAUAAGUUGCCACGUUCCGACAUAACUAUAGGAUCGGUUGCCACGUCCUGGCAUAAUUAUGAGAUCGGGUACCACGUUCCGGUAUGCUAACUGUUUGGGUUUGGGUUCCAUGAGAGGACCAAUGAUGUGGCAAAAUUGUGUAUCUUGAGAAAUGUGAAGUUGUUCGUAAGUGUCGUUAAUAUUGUAUAUAUUUGAUAUGCACAUGUGAGUAUGUUGUUGUAUUGACUUACAUAUGUUGCACUCAUUAGGUACAUGUUACGACGACUUAGAUUUGAUGGUUCUUGUGUUGAGCGAGUUGUUUGGGUAUAGUGGAAGGGCAAGGUGUCCAAGGGGCGAAUAAUAGAUAGUAAGGGUUGUUCGUAUGUUGUAAUGGCGAGAAGUAGAGGCUAAGUAUGUGAUGAAAUAUGCUUAGGUGGAUUUCACCCUGGGGAAAGAGAUUGGGUUUAGCGGUAAGAAAGCUUGAUAUAAUGUAUCAUGUGACCAUGGUUGGGUAAUGUGACGAGGAAGUAAGGAUAUGACGUGAGAGGUUAGUUGAAAUACAACGUGGUGAUUUUUGAGGGAACGCUUAAUGUGUUAGAAUGGUUAGGCCAUGAUCAAGUAUCCAGUAAGUAAGUUGGUUGAGAAGGUAGUUAGUAGUCAGAGUACUAGUGAAAUUAGGAGGUACUUCAAGAAAAGGGUAGAGGUGGAGAAACGAGUGGUUUAUGUCAUGAUCUUACUAGUUGGUCCCUUAUGUUAUGUGGUGGGCUUCGGGUUGACCGAUUAUGCAUACCAGUAUGUGUGUUUUGUACUGAUACUACUCUUGCUAUGUCUUUUGACAUAGUCUGGAUCCAGGCCGGCGACGUUUCAUUAGGUGAAGACGAAGAAAUUCUCCAGCAGCAUCUAUCUUCCUUCUGCAUGGUGGGAGCUGUGUCUUUUGUUUAUCUUGUCCAGAUGUACUCUUAGUAGCUCUUGUAACUGUUUAGACUAGAUCCUUGAGAGUUGUUAAUUACUUUACAAGUUUAAUAAAAAAGAGUGCCUAAAGUUAUUGUACAAAAAAUCAUAUUAUUAUAUUUAUCUUUGUUUUCUUUUAACUUUCCGCAUGUUUAACUAUUGGAAUAUGAGGGUUCUCCUACUUAGGUGUUAGAUUGGGUGCCCACACGGCCCGGUGGGUUGGAUCGUGACAAAAUGAGAUAACGAACAUUUAUGUAGGUACGGAUGUUAUAAUAUGGGAAAAUUUACAUGAAAUUAAUUAUUGCUUGAUAGUAGCUGUAAGUUGUGAUAUGAUUGAAUCAUUGAAACUAGUGAAUUAUGUAAAUUUGAUUGUGAUUAAUGAUCCUUAAUUGUAGGGUCAAUUGAUGAACUCAUAUCAUAUGUUUUUUCAUACAUAUCCGUACCACUCUUAUUGUCGUAUGAUUAUUAUUGGUUGAUAUUAUUUAUUCAACUAUUUGUAAGAUUCGUAUUCUUAUCAUGCCAAUGAGAAAUUGUUCCAACAAGUGAUAUCAUGCAAAGCCGAUAGAAAAUAAUAUUGGCGAAAGGUAUUCAUGUACCAAUGAGAAAUGGUUUUGGCAAAUGUUAUUGUGCCGAUAAGAAAUGAUUCCGGCAGUUAAACAGAUCUCUUGAGUCCUCGACUAUCUGACAGAAGAAGCGGUGUAUACCAUUUCUUGGUCAGUGCAUUGCAUUACAUUUCAUCUAUAUUGCAUUUCAUAUAAAUUUGGCGUUGACUUGUUGAACUGAUUGUGAACUGAUUUGAUUUGAUAGAUUUGAGACAUCUUGUGAUAUCAUUGAUGGUGUAAUUGACAAUUUGGGAAAAAUAUAUGUUUUAAUUGUUAUGUUGAGGUGAUUUAUUUUAUGAUGUAAUUAUACUUUUAGAAAAAGAAACUUUUAGAACAUACCUCGUUAUUGCUUCUUAGAAGAGUUAGUAAUCAAAACUUGUUGAAUACACGUAUUUUUCGUACGGAUCACUCUAUACUUGUUACACCUUUUUUCAAGCAGGAACUGAGUCAGGUACUAGCGGUAUUUGAUUUGUUACUGCGACUGAGAUUGAUGGUUGUUGAAAUUUAGGGUGAAUUGAUUUCUCUUCUUUUUGUCUUAUUUCCUUCUAAACAAAUGCGUUUGUUUUCAUGUUUGUUUUGUAUUAAUAGAUGCCAUUGUACUAGUGUCACCAUGUCUAGGAAUAUUUUAUUUUAACUUAUCUAUACAAAUUUUGCAUUGUUAAAUGAUUAAUAGAGGGAUCAGGUUUGCUUACGGGGAUGGUAGGUGCCCUCACAAAUUAAUGAAAUUUUGGAUUGUGACAACAUGGUAUCAGAGCAUGGUUCAUAGGUCCCAUUAAGUACAAGAGCUGAGUCUAGUAGAGUCUUGCGGAUCAGUUCGUAGAUCUCCAUUACUUAUCUUUGAGAGACUAUAGGACUUUAAGAAACUUUCAUUCCUUAUCGUGCGUAUGCGGUUCACUUUAAUAUCUAAAUUCUUUGUUUUAUUCUCUCACCCAUUGUGAGGAUACGUAUCUAAUUUGUACGUAAGUUAUGAGAGAUGGUGUUACAUGGUGUGGUGCGAGGCGUUAUGAUUUGGUUAGCAGAAUGACCAAAUAAUAGGAAUUGCGAUAUUGAGGAUGUUAGCAUAGUAUGGAUGGUUCGUUUGAGGUGUAACAAUGAUGUUUUAAUUUUUCCAAUUUAUUGGGACAAUCUUAUGACACAAUAAUAUCAAUGAUAAGUUGACAGUUCAAUACUGGAAUUAUAUAAUAUGGAUGAUAUGAAUAAAAAUGUAAUCUUGGGAGGAUCAAUUGAUUAGAUAAGAAAAUAGUGAUUAUGAUCAGACUAAAAUGAGAAGUUGAGGAAUAGCAAAAAUAUGAGAGGUGAUAAGUUAUAAUGAAGUUAAGAUGGUAGGACUAGUUAUAAGAUGGGUAUGAAAGACUUUCUUACCUUUUGAGUGAAGGUAUACUAAGAAAAAUUCAAAUAGUUCGAGUUGGAUAACAUGAUAAUCACAAUGAUAAAGUUUCUUAUGAUGGGAGCCACUAUACGUAGACUAAAUAUAAUAAUGUAUGAGAUUAUGAAGCUAGUUGAGUGUCAACCAACAAGGACACUUUAAGUGGUGAUUAAAUGAUAGAUACUGACAUAUUUACCUGUGAGAUGUCUUUCCGAAGUUGAAUUGAGAAUCAACAAUAUUAGUUGAAACUAAUGAAAAACAUGAUUUGAUUUUGGAAAAAGAUACGUGUACAAAACUAUAUGAGAUUAUUCAUAGAGACAUGAGUAUAGUGGUAAAAGACCGGCUUACAAUUCAUGGACUAAUAUUGGUGGUUGGAAAUAUUAUAUCGACAAAUAACUAACUCUAUUGAAGUAACCAAGGUUUUUCCAAGUAUUGUUCAGUAUGCUCUCGAUCUUUUGUAGUUUUAUUUUGGUCAUUGAUCUACUUCUUUUUAUGUAUCUUUUUUGAAUUUGGAUAUAUUUUGUGACUCUCCUUCUAUUUUUGUACGUAUCUCGACACCCUUAGAUGAUUCUUAGUGGUGGAUUGAUUACAUCGAUUUCAAGUUAUUGAUUUGGUAGAACAAGACAUUUGGAUAGACUUCAUUACUUUGAAUAUGAUAGACUUCGACAUCAUGUUGAAUAUGGAUUGAAUUUUUUCCGUUUCAUGCAUUCAGACUAUUAUGUCAAGACAAAGAUCUCAGUUUUGUUAGGUAUUCCUAAAUUGAAGUUACAUGACACUCUAAGUAUCUAUCUAAGGAAAUAUAGUAUCAUCUUCAAAGGCUUAAUGUAUAUGGUUCUGAGACAUGGUUGUGACAAGUGUUAUGUGAAUUGAGAGAGAACAAGGAAUUAAAGAGGAUGUACCAUUUUGAGGAACGCAUCAUGCACUACGAUAAGUAUUAUAAUGUGAGGAACAUGUCAUACGCCGUGAUAAUUUCUAUUAUUGAGAGACGUGUCGCAUGCCGCGACAGAUGUAUGGACAAAUAUGUUCCCCACGGGUCCCAGACUGAGAGACAACGGGUAUGUAUCAUUAGGUCAGACAUGUAUCACCAUAUUUGGCAUUGCAUCUCAUUGUAUUGCAUAUCUUUAUCAUUGUGAACUUGUGAGUGCUUUUCUAUGGAACUUGUAAUUGAUAAAACUUUAUCAUAUGUAUUGUUGAUAUGAAAUUGUCGGAUAUUAUCGUUAAGCUAUGAGCUAUGUAGAUUAUGAACUGUUAGGUUGAGCUGAUUUUAGGCAAGUUGUAGUUGUGGAGGUUUGGUUGGAGUGUAAGGAGUAACCUUAUUCUAUAUUUUUAGAUUUGUUAUAGGAGUUUGCUUGCUGAGUAUCAUGUGGUUUGAUACUCACCUUUUGCUUCUAUAUUUGUGUAGGUUACAAGCCUGGAUCUUCGUGAUACUCUCUACCUCUUCUUGUCCAAGACUUUAUGUGGAGAUUUGUGAGGUAACUGUUUGUUAUCUCAGCAAACCUUCUUACUCCUAUUAUUUAUUUUAUUCUGCUUUAGAGACAAUAUCAUUUGAAACUUUCGUUUUCUUUCAAAUCUAUUAUAAUACAUUAGAGACUUGUGCACGUGACAACCAGGUUUUGAUGAUUUAGUUAAGUUGACGUGUUAUCCGUAUUAUUAUUAUUAUUAUUAUUAUUAUUAUUAUUUGUUAUUAAACUUUUAUUUAUACGUUAUUUCUGCACUUUAUCUUAAUGAUUGGGUUUUAGGCUGACUUGUCUUUGAUGGGAUAAGACGAGUGUCAUCACAUCUAUUUUGGGUCGUCACAUUCUAAUUCAACUCACAAAAUAUGAUAUAUAUUUAGUUAAUUAAAGUGGAUGAACAUGAAAAUAACAAUUUAUCUAUCGUGCACAGGAUUAAUAAAUAUAGGCAUGAUCGAGCGCAUAUUGUCAACGUGACGGAAGUAGAUCAUAUUUUUUAUACUUUUAUGGAGUUUGUAGAAUUAGAUAUUUUAAUUCCUUAUGAUUAGGUUCAUCUUAAUUAGAUGAUAUUUUUAAAAUAUAAAUAUUUUAAUUGUUGAGUUUAAAUUUAUUUACAUUUUGCCGACAAUCCUUUUCAAGAGUCAAUGGUCACAAAUAUUUUAAUGGAUACCGUUAGCUUUAUUUUUACUAUUUUUGACCUUUUUGUUAAGUGCAAGUUUUAAAAUGAAUUUUAACCAUAAAUUAUUUUAUGAUCCACAUGACAUUAAUCUAAGAGGUAAUUGAACUUGUGGGAAUAGUAGUACUUGACUGAAUCUUUUUCCCGCAAAAUGAAUAUAUAUGCCUCUAUAUAUUUGAAUAGGCGUUAACAUUGCCAUGUAAAACAUACCAAUAGUAUUGUUACAAAAACAUGUAAAACUAGUAAUUGCUAGAGAAGUAACCAGCUUAAUCACUACUCCUAAUUCCAUUCCUUUUUAGUUGUCAUAGUUUUCUUUUUAAGACUCAAACGAUAUAGAUUUUGACCAAUAUUUUAAGUUGUAUUUUUUCAUCAUAUUGAUAUGAAAAAAAUUGCAAUUUAUAGUACUUUCGGCAUAGUUUUUGAAUAUCUAAAACUUUAUUUUAAAUAUUGAAUGAAUAUAAUCUAAUUUAGCUAUGAAAAUUAGUCAAAUUAACUCUCGAAAAACAUAACAUGACGAAAAAAACGAAGAAAGUAUUAAUUUGGAGCAUGUAAAAGUAUUAGUACACAUACCGAUGACCUUCCUUUUUCCAUUUAAUCUCUAACGUCGAACCAGCCUUCAAUUUCUAGAGAUUUGAUGUUUCAACUAAUCACAUGCACAUUUAAUAAGGAUAAAAAUUAGAAAUGCAAGUAAAAGGAACGGCAACAAGCAAGAAUUGUGAAUGUAAACUAUUAAAUUUAUAGGUUUUGAAUUAUUAAAAUGAUAUAUAUGUAAAUAAUAAUUCAGAAUAAAUACAUGAUAAUUUUUUUAGAGAAAAUGUUCUCUAAAAUUUUUGACCAACCAAAAUGAGAAAAUUGAAAAACAGUUUAGAGAGGGAAGAGAAGAGGGUCGGAGACUAAUCUUGAUGCUAGGAAAUAAACUCUUUCAACUACUAUAUAUUGAUGCUUAAUUAUCGACAAUUGCGCUCUAUCGGUGAAAAUCUCCUACUUCACAACAGGAGAUCGUAUCGGGUAAGAAAGUAGGCUCACUAUAUCCAUUAUACUCUUACUAAAGUACAUUUGAUCUUCUUUGUCUCGAACCCAUACCCCUAUAAUAAUGGUAGAGUCAGGGGUAGCCCCAAAGCGAAAUUGACCAGUAGUGCUUGGUCGAAGCUCCAGUAGGUCCUUCAACCUUAAGAUUGUAAGCAAAGAUGACAGAAACUCCUACAUAUCAUUCUGUAUAUCCAACAUAUACAUUCUAUAAUUAUCAAGUCAAAAAUAUAAACCAUUUUGCUGUUUCUUAUGUAUGUAUGUAAUCCACAAAUAAAUACAAAAAGGGAAUAUUACUCUCUCUGCCUUUGUAUUCAAAUAUUACAUGUAAAAAAAUGAAAUAAAAAGAAAAAUAGUUUACCUUUUUCUCUACUUCCAAGCUGUUAAAACCAUGAAAAUUAACUAGGAAAUGAUGAAUGUGAUAUAUUAUGAGAGAGCUCACAAUAAAACUUAAAUGCUAAUUAAGGCUACCUUGAAUCUAUAUGACUAUAUAGCCAUACAUACAAUAAGAAAAAAAUGACAAAAGGUUAAGUUGGUCAAUAGCUUACAAUACCAUGUUCUUACAAUUUUCUAUUUAUAUUAAAUUUUUUGAAAUAGUCAACUUUUUUUCUAUUUAGUCUAAUUGAUAAUAAGAAUUAAUUUCUUCAAAAAAAAGACUUACUAAUAGUUAGUUCUAUCAAGAAUUUUUAGAUAAAAAUUGUUCACAUUCCUAAAAAUCUCUCUUUUUUAUGGGUUUUUCACCCGGUGUCCGGAGUCUACAUUGAAGCAUUGCACAGCAUUGCAAGAGCUCAUUUGGGGUUGACGCUCCCAACAACAUUUUCUUUAUUUCGAACCCUCUGUUUAAGGUGAAAAAGCCCCAUAUUCCUAAAAAUCUCUCCAUUAUUAGUCAACUAAACAGACAAUAGAUCUGCCAAUAAAAUAAAGGACCCAUUUGGUUAUAAAAAUUAUUUAUUUAUUUAAUUUAAAUGUUAGUGUAAAUCUACGAUGAAAUGCCUCCUAAAUUAACCCGGAAAUGUCAACUGACAAAUGCUUAUUCUGUUAUUCACUUGCAAAUAUAUUUAUGGAGACUGUCAGCUAUCAUUUCGAUAUUCGAGUUGACAGACUUGGUUUUAAUUAAUGAUUCAAAAUAAUUAUAAACUUAAAUUAAUCAAAUUUAGAUCUAGACUUUGAUUAGACUAAUUGAAUGUUCACGUUAAGGCUGCAAAUAUAAAUAAAAAAUUACUUAUAUUAAGUACUCAUAUAAUAUUAUUUUUAUACUAGGUAACAAGUUUGUUCAUUGGAAGUAGUAAUCAGAUAAAACCAGAUGGAAGUUGCGUUGUUUCUUUCUUCAUUGUUGUUCUAUCCUUGUGUCCUUUGUGCAUUCUGCAAAUUAUAUAUCAUAUAUCAUCAUAUCACAUAUUACUAUAAGUGGGAAGCUUAACCCCAAAGUUGAUUUACCGGUUUUGACCUUACAGUAUUACUUAAAUAUUAAUUUAGUAAAAAUUAAAUUUGCUGAUAAUCUCAGCCCUAAUUAAAUUCUCCAGAAACUUAUAGUUGCUGCUCAGCCUCUUCGAUCACUGUACCAGAAACCGUAUAGUUGCUGGUUGCUGCUCAACCUCCUUGAUCAGUGCGACAGUUCUUUUCCGACGCUCAAGUUCCAUUGCUUUAAUUAGCAGCUCAUUCAAAACCUUUUCACAUUCUUGGAUCAUCUAUAUAAAUGUCUCCAACAAUGUGUCAUUGUCCAAUAAUUGGUUUUUCUUUUCUCUGCCUCAAUCAAAUACAUCAUUGUCAAGUAAAAAAAAAUUCUCCUCUUUAUUUAUCAAGAGCUGCUCUAUUUUCCCUGUUUACUGUGCAUGUCUUUAUCUGGCUUAUUUCGUUUCAUUCUCUUUAUCAUGAGUCGCUCUGUUCUUGAUAUUGUUAUUUUUGUGAAAGUGUUGGAAUUUUGCGAAUGUUCGGAAGUGAUGGCAUGCUGGGAAGUGGAAUAUUGGCAGGCAUUUGAGGUGGCUGCUGUUGGUAAAUUGGGAAUAGUCGGUAUUAGCUGUUGGAAGUGUUGGCAAAGAUGUAAUGCUUGGCAAUGGUGGCAAUGUGGCUGCUGUUGGUAAAUUAGGAAUAAUGGGUAAUUGUGGCAUUGUUGGCUGAGGCAACAAGGGGAUCGUUGGCAAGUUUGGAAGUUGCAGUAGGCUAUAACCAACAUGACUUGUGGUGAUGUUUGGUCAUGUCUGGUAUUUAAGUCGAGAAGGGAAGAGGGAUAGGGCUAUUUUUCACCGAGUUUCGAACUAUGUGCCUAUUUGCCUUUGGGAAUUCUCAGUUUUCAUCCUAUGCUACCAAAAGAUUCAAACUCAGUAUACUUUUUUGCAGAUUUGACUUGUGAAAGGUGUUAUCUUUAGAUUCUAAUGUGAUACCUAAAUUAGAUUUCUUAGACAAGUAUUUAGCGGUCAUACAAAAUGUGGUUAAAGCUAGAGUGCAAUGAAUUUGCCCCCUGUGCUUUGGCAGUGGUCAAAGUCUGGUAUUUUAGUUGAGUUGGGCAGAGGGAUGGGCCUAUUUUCCACGGAGUUUUGAACUAUGUGCCUAUUGACCUUUGGGAAUUUGUCAGUUUUUAAGGGAAAAAAGACUGAAUUGUUUUCAUCCUAUGAUACCAAAGAAUCAAACUCAGUAUACUCAGAAAGGCAGGAUUUACCCUGCCUUUCUGUACUAUAUGUAUGAAUAAUCGAAGUAAGAGUGAUUAAAUGUUGUGUUUGAGACUUCCUUCACAUAGCAUUGGAAUUCGCCUUUUCCUUUGUUAAGAUGUUAGAACACAACCUUGCUGGUUCACCGCUUGGUCAUUAUCAAAUUAAACUGUGAGCAACUGUUCUAAAGCUGGAGUCUUUGUUGGGAACCUAGGACCCUUUAUUGUUUUGUCUCAAUUGUUGUAAUAUAUUGGAAUACUCAGCUUUUCUUGGCUACUUCUAUGCAUAAACGUGCAAGUGGUGUAUAAUCUGUUUAAAUGUUUUCACAACUUGGCCUUUGGAGGUAUGUAAAGAGUACAAAAAGUAGGACUUGUGUAAAUCUACAUAAUAAAGGAGUUUAACAAGUCCAUAAACUCUGUCCAGUUAGUUACAAUAAUCAUUUAGGGAUUCUUUUCUAGCUGUCAUUUCCCGGGAGAAAAGGUUGUCGUGAGAUUUGAACUUGCUGAUCCCAAAGCUCAAAAGCGAGUAGUUGCAGUGCUUCACGAGCUCCUUAGUUUGACUAUGGAAAAGAGGUUGACAUCUGCUCAAAUAGAUGCAUUUCAUUCCGAGUUACAGUUAGGUAUAUUCUACAUCACUAAUAAAGGUGUCAGGAGUAAAAUGAUACUUAAAGAGGCUUAUGAUGGGUCUAAUUUGAUCUGUAAAUGCCCUAUGUUAUUAUUUAGAGAUAAGUUUAUAGCACUUACAGUAGGAAAAGAUAUUGAUUCAUGUAUCAAUGCUCCGACUUAGUUUAUUUAAUGAAAACAGUGGUUGACACUGUAGUUUGUUCUUUUUACCCUGCUUCUCAUGGGUGUUGAUCAGUAUUGUUGCAGUGUUGUUCUUGUCAAGAAGGAUAUUUUGUGACUUAAUGUUGCAAUGAAUGAUCUGGUUCUCGCAGUCUUCAUGAAAGUAUAACAGGCCUCUGGCAAUGUCAAGUUCUAUGUCACUUCUUAGCUUCCAGCUUGGUCUUUGUCCAUCGCGAAAGAUCAAAUUUGACACAUCCCCAUUUUUCAAUAAUUCAUAAACAACAUGCCUGUUGCUUUUUUCAUUGCAGAAGCCUAACAAAUGAACCAGAUUUUUCUAAUGUGUUGGGCCUAUCACCCUUACUUCUGCCAAAAAUUCUUUAUCAUCACCUUGUUCAAUUCCAUUUCCUAAUUUCUUCACAGCAACUUCAACUUCCUCAUCCUCUAACUUGAGAAUUUCGCUAUAAACACCACCAGAAGCUCCUUGGCCUAAUUUAUUCUUGAGACCAUUGGUGGCUUCGUGCAGCUGCUGGAAUGAAAAUGCCCUUAAAUACAUCGCAAUUGCCGCCUUUAUUUCUUUCUUUCUUUCUUUUUGGAGAGGUUUUGGCAUCUCUAUAUUUCUUCAUAAAAGGGUGCUAAUAUAUAGCAAUUGCUGCAAAAAGCAGAGCAACUACUGACAAAACACCCUUUGAUGCAGAGUGCUUUUUGUUUUGAGUUAUCGAAGAGCUGCUAAUUUUUUAAGAAAUGCAACCAUGUUAUUUGUAUGAGGAUUAAUAACAUGAUAAUAUCUUGAGCUUUUCUUGAAAUUUUGUGGGUUGUGAGUAUUUUUUGUGAUUGUUGAUGUUAUAAUCAUUGUUAUGGUAAUUACUAAUAAAUUCUACUUCUACUUAUAUUUGUUGUUGUUAGUUACUAUGAUUAUGAUUCUUGAAUUGUUGUUGUGAGCUUUGUAAAUUUGGUGACUUUGGGUUCUUUUCUUGAUCUACUAUGAGUUGCUUGAAUUUUGGUCUUGUGGUGUAUUUGAGGUCUUAGUGGACUAUGGUGUUUUGCAAUUUUCAUGUUGUAAUUUAGAUAUAUGAUGUUAUUUUAAUUUUUUCUUAUUUAUUAUUAAUAUAUCAAGGGCAGGGGAAGGGGAAACGGAGGAGGGGAUUAUAAGGUGGUAAUCGAAUCCUGACUAAUAAGGUGAAUGUUCAGGUAGUCAACUAACCGAAGCUAGCUAUCAAGAUUCUGUACUUUAAGUUGAAAUUGUCUUAUGGACAAAAUUCCACUAUAGGUGAAAAUGAAGAAACUUGAUUUUGUGUCUUUUUUGGUACUAAUUUAUGACCUAUUUGAGGAACUGAACUAAUUUAUCGAAGUUUUCGUCUGUGAAAAUUUGUGAAAGAUGUUAAAUUGUUCUUGAAAUUUCGUAGUUCAAAGCAUAGUAAACUUGAUGAGCUCAUGAUUACAUGGAAAAUAAGUGUAUUUUUCUACUGAUUUUUUGGUUUGAUGAUGAUUUAUGUUAGGUGUUAAGAUACCUCUAGUGAAAUUGUGUGCCAAGUGGAACCAAGAUUUGAACUUUAUGAGUUCUAAGUUCUAAGAUAGCAACAUCAGGUGUUAGUAACUGUGUUCUGAAUUUAAUAUUUGUACAUGUUUAGUGAAUUUCUUAAUACAAAUUUAAGGGUUUGAACUUAAGCUACUGAAUUCGACUUCUAGCUCGCCCGUGAUUGUGUUCAUUUGCUUCCUCGAUGUUUUCCCGUUUCUCAUAAUUUUCCUGAUGAUGCCUUUUGUUUCCCAGGUUCUUCCAAAAAGUUGAAUUUUGCUACAGUUCAAGAAGUUUUGGAGUUCUUCUGAUUAUUUGUCAAAGUGCAAUAAAACUGAAACUCCGUAGGUAUUGUAUUUCUCAUUUCAACCUUUAAUUAACUAACCAUUUUAGCACUAUCUUUUUGAAUUAAGCUUUUUCCUACACGAUUUAACCGACCUUUGAGUCAUUACUAUGAUAACAACCAGUCGUAAUUAAGCUUCAACAUGAGCCUGGUGUUUGAGGUUGUAAGCAGGUAGAUCUUUUCCCGCAUGUGAACAAAUGAUGUACUUUUAUUUGAUGCACUGGUACUGAUUUGAGAAUGUAGAAUUCGUACUCGUUCGUGUGGUAUCUAUUUUACUGAUCUGGGAAUUUCAAAGCUGUUUCAAAGCAAUUACUGAUCUGGGAAUUCUCCGUAAUGUUAUAAACCAUUGGGGUUAGUUGUACCUACAGAGUGGAAAGCAAAUCAAAACCGAUACUUCGAUGUUAUUCAUUUUGGUUUCUGUGUGACUUGGUUUAGAAUUCGAGGGAAAUGAUUAAUGUAUAGCUUAAUAAAUUGAUAUUCAUCAUUGGCCAAUUGAUCUUGAAAGUACUGUCUCAG